GAUUUGUUUUUUUUGAAAUCUUGAGUUUUGGUGAAAUGAACUCGCCACAAGUGAAAGAAAGAAAAAAAGAAAAAAGAGUUUCGUCAAUACUUUACUCAAUUUCUACUGCGUUAUCAUGUUUUUGGGCAUAAAACUCCAAAAUAUAGCCCACGAAACGUAUGAAAGCUAAAAAACCAAAAUAAUCUUAGCGGAAGAAACAUAGCUUACCCCCAUCAUACAAUUUUUUGCAUACGUCUCCCUUUAUAGUUCUCAUUUUAGUUUACCGAUUUUCAACAAUGUGCGCUGCAAACUUGGGGAGUAUUUAACACGUUUUGCUUUGGCUUUCUUAAAAUUUCACGGCAAAAUAUGAAAAAGCAUCUUUAUAUUUCAGCUUCAUAUUAAUUCGCAGAUUAAGUUUCGCAAACCUACCAUUAGCAUUCUGAUUACGUGUAAGAGCUGGUCAUAUCUACGAAUUUGUCAUAGCAUUCUGAUUACGUGUAAGAGCUGGUCAUAUCUACGAAUUUGUCAUUUUCCUUCCGAUCUUGCCACUUUCACCAUUUCAAAUUCACUCAAUAAAACUUCACUUGCUAAAGCCCUAACCUGUCGACCCACCCACUGCGCCACUCCUCCCUUCCCAGCAUUGCCAAUGCAAGCUGCGCCGUCGCCACCCACGCCAACCCCGCUGAGCCAGAACUUAGAUCUGUUGAGUUCGACUCAAAUCUGAGUCUCCAAAUCUAAGUCGAGCUCCAUGCCGAUCGUCGCCAAGAAGAGGGAUACACAGAGAGAGAGAGAGAGUGCACAGAGAAUUCAGUAGGGUUCGAUGGCCGCAUAGCGUUGGUCGGAGUCAAUGGUGAGAGCCCAUUGCAGGGAGAGAGCAAGGUGGGAGAAAGCCAGAGCAAGUGCUAGAAAAGAAAGAGGGAAAACGGGGGAAUGGUUCAAAGGUUUGGAUUAGCCAGAGGGUGGAUUGAUCUUUUUGAAUUCGAAGAUUUUUAUUUUCUUUGGCGGAAUUUGAGGAUCAUGCUAAGAAGUGCAAAUUAUAGGUUUUCAAAAUCUAGGAUGAAAACUGAUAUUGGAAUAAAACAUUGAGAUGGUUUUUGAAAUUAUUCCUAUUUUACAUCUAAAAUCUUGAAAUUAACAGGUAAAGUCACAUCAUGUUUUACAUAAAUUUUCUCAAAAUGGCAAUAAGAAUUUUUCAGGAAAGUCGAAAGAGACUUCUACUUGCCUUGUUCCCUUAAGAAAAUCAAUUCUGUCGAUUGAGCCAAAAUUCCAUCCCCAAAGCAGAUACGCCAAAGAAAUAACAUCAAAAAAAUAAAUAUCACAGACUACGGUACUAGGCUUCAACUUCGAGUACGUACCCUUUGGCGGCUUUCAACUCGUAACCCGCCUUCGCUAGGGCACUCCACCUCUUCUGAGCAUCUGUCUCUGUCUUUCUCCUGCUUCUGAGAGCUUCCUUGAAUUUGUUAUUACUCGCCAAGUUUGAAACGCCUGCCCUGUCUAUGUAAAAGAUGGGAAUUACCACGAGUUUGGGGUCUUUUUGGCAGUAGAGGAUCUCGACCAGCUCGUUCAGGCACGGGCUGGAGUCAACAUACUUCUUGGAGAACACGACAAGGGCGAAGGCAAACGUCAGCCGGCGGAUUGCAUGGAGGCGCUCGGCCUCGUUGUUCUUUGUAGCGCCCUCUCUUUUGUCAUCUACGAAGUGGCCAAUCCCCACCUGGUGCAGACGUUCGAAGAGGUUUGAUAUGAAGGUCUUUCCCGGUUCAUCCUUCACGAAACUCACGAAUACGUCUUGUUUCCAUGGAGGAUGAGACAUGGUUCCUCUCUUCUUUUAACUCGGCAUAGAAACUUUGAUUGAGAGGUCGUAUGUGUACUUAGUUUGAAUGACAUUUGAGAGGAAACCGAUGUCUUUUUAUAGCUGAAGGUACAUGUCUCGUCGUGGUACGAUAAUUUACCAGGUAAAAAAAAUAAAAAUUGAUGGGAUGCAACUCUUUGAUCAAAAAAAUUAAACUUAAUUAAAGACUUGUUCAUGAUUGGUUUGGGGAAAUUUGGAGUCUGACUUGGAUUCACUUGACAAAUUUGAUCAGUUCUCAUUGACUUACAAUUAUUAUUAUUUUUUUUUCCUUUUGGUCAGGCGACAAAAUUAGGUAAGGAGCUAAUGCUCCUAGAAAACAGUGCGAGAUGCUCAAUUCGUUUUUUUAAUGUUCUAUUAAAACUAUACUAACAUUAAGCAAUAAACGUGAGUGUAUGGAAAUAUAGAUGCAAUAAAUGGAUAUGGAAUCUCAAAACAAAAGAAACACUACAUUAUCAUGCACGUCCAACCCCAGAGAGAAAACAACGCAAACAAGUCACAUUUUCUUCCCGUGAUCACGGCAAAAUUUGUCUAGAUCCAGAUUCUACAGACUUGAAUAUCUAUGGUUGAUUAGGUGACUCUUUUAUUAGGCCCACAUGAGAUCCAACAGCCGUGUCGAGCACCCCAUGCAUUCACCAAUAAGGAUAUACAACCUUAUAUAGAAUAUAGCUACACCAUAUAUGUGCUUAAUCACACUCAAGUUUUUCACAUGCAAUUCUUAGCAUAGCAUAGACUACCCUAAGCAUAAAAUGCAAAGGUUACGGAAUCUCAAAACAAAAGAAACAUUACAUUAUCAUGCACGUCCAGCCCAAAGAGAAUAACGCAAACAAGUCACAUUUUCUUCUUGAGAUCAUGGCAAAAUUUGUCUAGAUCCAGAUUCAUCAGACUUGAAUAUCUAUGAUUGAUUAGGUGACUCUUUUAUUAGGCCCACAUGAGAUCCAACAGCCGUGUUGAGCUCCCCAUGCAUUCACCAAAAAGGAUAUACAACCUUAUAUAGAAUAUAGCUACACCAUAUAUGUGCUUAAUCACACUCAAGUUUUUCACAUGCAAUUCUUAGCAUAGCAUAGGCUACUAUAAGCAUAAAAUGCAAUGGUUACGGAAUCUCAAAACAAAAGAAACAUUACAUUACCAUGCACGUCCAACCCCACAGACAAAAUAACGCAAACAAGUCACAUUUUCUUCCCGUGAUCAUGGCAAAAUUUGUCUAGAUCCAGAUUCGUCGGACUUGAAUAUCUAUGGUUCAUUAGGUGACUCUUUUAUUAGGCUCACAUGAGAUCCAACAGCCGUGUCGAGCUCCCCAUGCAUUAACCAAUAAGAAUAUACAACCUUAUAUAGAAUAUAGCUAUACCAUAUAUGUGCUUAAUCACACUCAAGUUUUUCACAUGCAAUUCUUAGCAUAGCAUAGGCUACUAUAAGCAUAAAAUGCAAUGGUUACAGAAUCUCAAAACAUAAAGAAACAUUACAUUACCAUGCACGUCCAACCCCAGAGAGAAAAUAACGCAAACAAGUCACAUUUUCUUCCCGUGAUCACGGCAAAAUUUGUCUAGAUCCUGAUUCGUCAGACUUGAAUAUCUAUGGUUCAUUAGGUGACUCUUUUAUUAGGCCCCCAUGAGAUCCAACAACUGUGUCGAGCUCCCCAUGCAUUCACCAAUAAGGAUAUACAACCUUAUAUAGAAUAUAGCAACACCAUAUAUGUGCUUAAUCACACUCAAGUUUUUCACAUGCAAUUCUUAGCAUAGCAUAGGCUACUCUAAGUAUAAAAUGCAAAGGUUACGGAAUCUCAAAACAAAAGAAACAUUACAUUAUCAUGCACGUCCAACCCCAGAGAAAAUAACGCAAACAAGUCACAUUUUCUUCCCGAGAUCACGGCAAAAUUUGUCUAGAUCCAGAUUCAACAGACUUGAAUAUCUAUGGUUGAUUAGGUGACUCUUUUAUUAGGCCCACAUGAGAUCCAACAGCCGUGUCGAGCUCCCCAUGCAUUCACAAAUAAGGAUAUACAACCUUAUAUAGAAUAUAACUACACCAUAUAUGUGCUUAAUCACACUAAAGUUUUUCACAUGCAAUUCUUAGCAUAGCAUAGGCUACUCUAAGCAUAAAAUGCAAAGGUUCAGAAUCUCAAAACAAAAGAAACAUUACCUUAUCAUGCACGUCCAGCCCAAAGAGAAUAACACAAACAAGUCACAUUUUCUUCUUGAGAUCAUGGCAAAAUUUGUCUAGAUCCAGAUUCAUCGGAGUUGAAUAUCUAUGGUUGAUUAGGUGACUCUUUUAUUAGGCCCACAUGAGAUCCAACAGCCGUGUCGAGCUCCCCAUGCAUUCACCAAUAAGGAUAUACAACCUUAUAUAGAAUAUAACUACACCAUAUAUGUGCUUAAUCACACUCAAGUUUUUCACAUGCAAUUCUUAGCAUAGCAUAGGCUACUCUAAGCAUAAAAUGCAAAGGUUACGGAAUCUCAAAACAAAAGAAACAUUACAUUAUCAUGCACGUCCAGCCCAAAGAGAAUAACGCAAACAAGUCACAUUUUCUUCUUGAGAUCAUGGCAAAAUUUGUCUAGAUCCAGAUUCAUCGGAGUUGAAUAUCUAUGGUUGAUUAGGUGACUCUUUUAUUAGGCCCACAUGAGAUCCAACAGCCGUGUUGAGCUCCCCAUGCAUUCACCAAAAAGGAUAUACAACCUUAUAUAGAAUAUAGCUACACCAUUUAUGUGCUUAAUCACACUGAAGUUUUUCACAUGCAAUUCUUAGCAUAGCAUAGGCUACUAUAAGCAUAAAAUGCAAUGGUUACAGAAUCUCAAAACAUAAAGAAACAUUACAUUACCAUGCACGUCCAACCCCAGAGAGAAAAUAACGCAAACAAGUCACAUUUUCUUCCUGUGAUCACGGCAAAAUUUGUCUAGAUCCUGAUUCGUCAGACUUGAAUAUCUAUGGUUCAUUAGGUGACUCUUUUAUUAGGCCCACAUGAGAUCCAACAACUGUGUCGAGCUCCCCAUGCAUUCACCAAUAAGGAUAAUACAACCUUAUAUAGAAUAUAGCUACACCAUAUAUGUGCUUAAUCACACUCAAGUUUUUCACAUGCAAUUCUUAGCAUAGCAUAGGCUACUCUAAGUAUAAAAUGCAAAGGUUACGGAAUCUCAAAACAAAAGAAACAUUACAUUAUCAUGCACGUCCAGCCCAAAGAGAAUAACGCAAACAAGUCACAUUUUCUUCCCGUGAUCAUGGCAAAAUUUGUCUAGAUCCAGAUUCGUCGGACUUGAAUAUGUAUGGUUCAUUAGGUGACUCUUUUAUUAGGCCCACAUGAGAUCCAACAGCCGUGUCGAGCUCCCCAUGCAUUAACCAAUAAGGAUAUACAACCUUAUAUAGAAUAUAGCUACACCAUAUAUGUGCUUAAUCACACUCAAGUUUUUCACAUGCAAUUCUUAGCAUAGCAUAGGCUACUCUAAGCAUAAAAUGCAAUGGUUAUGGAAUCUCAAAACAAAAGAAACAUUACAUUAUCAUGCACGUCCAACCCCAGAGAGAAUAACGCAAACAAGUCACAUUUUCUUCCCGAGAUCACGGCAAAAUUUGUCUAGAUCCAGAUUCAACAGACUUGAAUAUCUAUGGUUGAUUAGGUGACUCUUUUAUUAGGCCCACAUGAGAUCCAACAGCCGUGUCGAGCUCCCCAUGUAUUCACCAAUAAGGAUAUACAACCUUAUAUAGAAUAUAACUACACCAUAUAUGUGCUUAAUCAUACUAAAGUUUUUCACAUGCAAUUCUUAGCAUAGCAUAGGCUACUCUAAGCAUAAAAUGCAAUAUUAAAAAAAAAAAAAAACACCAAAUAACAUAUUAUGAUAAGGGGUGUUCAAGAACAUAAAUCGAAUUAGCUAGGGCAUGAGGAUAUCGCAAAGAAAACCGAGGAGUACUCUACAUACAACCUCUACUUCUCCAAACUUAUAGGGCAAUAUGGCAAAUAAUGUCAAGUGAACUGACGAUGACCGAUUACAUACACUGUCAUGUUCUAAGAAUGAUGGACGAUGUACCCUUGUGCAAACGCAUGACAUGUAAAAUCUUAGGCACACAUGGUCAGCUCUCCAUAAUGGUGUCUUACAUGCACACUGAGCGAAGUGAGGAGUGUUGGAGAAAUCUUCUUGAAGUGUUUUGAAGCUGACAAAUCGUUUCCAUCAGUCUAGUCUGAAGGCUUGCAGACUCUGCUGUUUAAAGUCUGAAGACCUCCGGACAGCCAGACUCAAGACUCAAAGUCUAUCCUCAUUGACAGUCUCUAAUCCGCUGAAGAAAGGUUAUCUAGAACUGGAUGUUUCGUUAAGGAUUUAAUCUUAUCAACUGGAGAAGAUCUCAUGGCUGGAAAAGACAUAACGGAGUCCUUUGAUUGAUCGAAGAUUGACUCGAUAAUUGAAGAUCCGGUGAUUGCCUAAAUAUUAUUGGAAGGUUCUACUUAUGGAAACCGAGAUCCUGAUUGUAUGGGCGAACAUGAUUGAUAGGCUAUCGACACGUUCCUUUAAUAGCUCGAACAAUCUUCCUAAUUGAUUCCGUCCAACGGGUAGAUUGGAGGAAUUCCUUUGGUAAGUGCCAAUGGGUAUGAUGGCAUAAAUGAGUAUAUAAGGAAGACGGUCUUAGUUGUUCAAGGUGUGCGCGAUAGAAGAAUUCCAAAGUCUGAAGCUCCUUUUUGUUUAGACAAUUCCUUUGAGCGAAUACUUGUAUACAAAAUAGAGUCUAUAUUUGUGAGAAAUCUUGAGGAGGUGUGGUAGAACAUCUACACUAUGGAAUCAAGGCAAAGCUGUGCUGUAACUUCUCUUUUGUUCAUAGUGGAAUCCAGCCAAUAGGCUGUCAGUGAAGAAGAGUGGAUGUAGGCUUGAUAUAAGCCGAACCACUAUAAACCGCGUGUUCAAUUUUCUCUUCUCUCAGUCUUACUUUGAUUAUCGUUUGUCUCAAACCCAUCAACUGUCUAGUAUUGUGCAAUUAUCGAAGAAAAAUCUUUUAUAUACCUAUUCACCCCCCUCUAGGUACUUAUACUAGCAAUAUCAAGGAGGCUUCGAGAUCUUCCAUGAAAUCCGACAAUAUUUCCACCAGUUGAAUGAAAUGAAGAGUACUUCCCUUUCUCGAUCCCGAAUGGUCCUUCAGCUCUUUUGUUGCUCUGAGAUGUGAGGGAGCAAAUCACAACAUGUCCAAAAUCAUCUCUUAUGUAACCAGAAUACGAAGUCAAAUUCUCUCCAGGGUAAUCGAGCUUAAUCUGCAAAAAUUGAAAGGGAGAUAUUUCAAUGAGAAGCUCCUCACUGUAGAGUAGUAAAAUCUCCAAAAACAGACCCCCACUGAUUAACCAAGUUAGAAUAAUAAGGCACAAGAUCCGAGUAGAACAUUUCAGUGGGUCCAAUUUUGCGUAUGAGUUUUUAACAUCGAGAUAACUUUUCAGCGUUGGUCGUUGUAAAAGUUAAUGCCCUCCAGUUCCAGCCGUUUCAAAAGGUGCGAUAUGAAGGUCUAUGUAGCACAGACACUGUCUAGAAGCCUUCAUGUCGUGUCCGACACUCCAACACAUGUCCAACACGCUCCGACACGUCCCGACACGCUCCGACGCGCGGUCAACGAGUGUCGAAAAAUCUGACACGUGGUCAACUUUCUCCGACACGCUCCGACAAGCGAUUCCAACACGCACAGGGUCAAUUUUAAAAAUUUCUAAUACUUGAGGAGUCAAAAUAUAAAUAUAUACAAAAGAAAUAAUAAAAGAAGUAAUAAAAUUGCUAUAAAUAUACAUGCACGGGGUCAAUUUCUUUUUUCAGUUUUGUUUUUUUAGAAUUGUUUUAUUUUUUUAAAAAGUCUUUUACUAUGAAAGAAGUAAUAAAAAAUGCUAUAUAUGAUAAAUAAAUAAAUUUAAAAAUAUCAUUUCAGCUUUUUUCUUUAAAUAAUGUUUUUUUCCUCUAAGUUUUGUGCAUUAUUGUAACAAAUUAAAAUAAUGAAUGGUAUUAUUUAAUAUUUUUCGUGUAAAUUAAUUCUAGGCUAUUAUUAUUAUUAUUAUUAUUAUUAUUAUUAUUAUUAUUAUUAUUAUUAUUAUUAUUAUAUAUUUAAUAUAUAACGUAUCGGAACGUGUCAAAAUUCUCUAUUUUUAAGAAAUGACGUGUCGACGUGUUAUGUCAUGUCGUAUCGCAUGUUACAUGUCUGUAUUGAUGCUACAUAGAUGAAGGUCUUCCUCGCGUCGUCUCUGAAACUCAUGAUUAGAUCAUGUUCCCACCGAGGUGAAGUAGAAGUAGAAGACAGUUCCUGUCUUGAUGAUACGUGGUGGAGAAACUAUGAUUGAGAGGCCGUACGUGUAUUUGGUUAAAAAGACAUUAAGGGGAAAGGCGUGGCUUCUUCUUGUACGCGCAUGUCUCCUCGUCGGACAAUAAUUUACCAGGGAAAAAAAAAACAACGGUCGGUGGGAUGCGAUUCUCUCACAAAAAAUGUCAGUUUAGUUAAUCAGAGAUUUAAGGGACAGAUUUUAUCAGUUCCCAAUGGCAUUUAUGGAAGAAAAUGGAUUGAAUCGCAGGAUCCGAAUCUCUUUCUCUCCGAAGAUUCUAUCAACUUCGCAAUGUGCGGAACCUAGCAUAAAAUAUUUGCACGUAAAACCGACAGCACUUUAACUAGAGCUGCAAUAAGAUGUUGACACUUCACCGUUGACUUGCAAGAGCGCAUCAUCCGGAUCUGGAUGAUAUUAGUCAGGGAGCCAAUGGUCCAGGGAUAUAGUGCGAGAUGAAAAUUGUUAUUUUAAUGUUCUAUUAUAAUCAAACUGGCACGUGAGUGAAUGUUAAAUAUAGAGGCAAUUAAUAGUUACAGAAUUUGAAUACAAAAGGAAACAUUAGACUCUUUUGCCUCUCCAAUCCAGGAGAGAAAGUAAUCCAGAGUAGUGACAUUUUCCUCCUGAAGUCACGGAAAAAUUUAUCUAGAUCUAAUUCGAUGGGAUUUGAUUUAUCUUAGGCAUUUGUUAGAUGAAACUUUUAUUUUGAGGCCCACGUGAGACCAAAUGGCUGGGGCCAGCUCCCCACGCAUUCGCCAAUAAGGAUUCAUCCUUGUAGGUGGAAAAUAGCUACACCAUAUUUGCACUCAUUUACAACCAGCUUUUUCGUGCGCACUUCUUAGCAUAGGCUAAUCUAAGCAUAAAAACUGAGAUAAAAUAAACAAGACCAAAUGCCAGGUGUUGAUAAAGGGUAUUCAAGAACAUAAGCGGAAUUAGCUAGGGCUUGAGGAUAUCAAAAAUUGAUGGGAUGCAACUCUUUUAUAAAAAAAAAAAUUAAACUUAAUUAAAGACUUGCUCAUGAUUGGUUUUGGGAAAUCUGGAGUCUGACUUGGAUUCACUUGACAAAUUUUAUCAGUUCUCACUGACUUACAAUUAUUAUUUUUUUUCCUUUUGGUCAGAUGAUAGAAUUAGUUAGGGAGCUAAUGGUCCUAGAACGGUGCGAGAUGCUCAAUUUGUUUUUUUAAUGUUCAAUUAAAACUAUACUAACAUUAAGCAGUAAACGUGAGUGUAUGGAAAUAUAGAUGCAAUAAAUGGUUAUGGAAUCUCCAAACAAAAGAAACAUUACAUUAUCAUGCACGUCCAACCCUAGAGAGAAAAUAACGCAAACAAGUCACAUUUUCUUCCCAAGAUCACCGUAAAAUUUGUCUAGAUCUAGAUUCGUCGGACUUGAAUAUCUAUGGUUGAUUAUGUGAAUCUUUUAUUAGGCCCACAUGAGAUCCCACAACCGUGUCGAGCUCCCCAUGCAUUCACCAAUAAGGAGAUACAACCUUAUAUAGAAUAUAGCUACACCAUAUAUGUGCUUAAUCACACUCAAGUUUUUCAUAUGCAAUUCUUAGCAUAGCAUAGGCUACUCUAAGCAUAGAAUGCAAUAUUAAAAAAAAAAAAAAAACACCAAAUAACAUAUGUUGACAAGGGGUGUUCGAGAACAGAAAUUGAAUUAGCUAGGGCAUGAGGAUAUCACAAACAAAACCGAGGAGUACUCUACAUACAACAUCUACUUCUCCAAACUUAUAGGGCAAUAUGGCAAAGAAUGUCAAGUGAACUGACGAUGACCAAUUACAUACACUGGCAUGUUCUAAGAAUGAUGGACGAUGUACCCUUGAGCAAACGCAUGACAUGUAAAAGCUCAGGGACACAUGGUUAGCUCUCCAUAAUAGAGUCUUACAUGCACACUGAGCAAAGUGAGAAGGCUUCGAGACCUUCCAUGAAAUCCGACAAUAUUUCUGCCGGUUGAAGGAAAUGAAGAGUACUUCCCUUUCUCGAUCCCGAAUGGUCCUUCAGCUCUUUUGUUGCUCUGAGAUGUGAGGGAGCAAAUCACAACAUGUCCAAAAUCAUCUCUUAUGUAACCAGAAUACGAAGUCAAAUUCUCUCCAGGGUAAUCGAGCUUAAUCUGCAAAAAUUGAAAGGGAGAUAUUUCAAUGAGAAGCUCCUCACUGUAGAGUAGUAAAAUCUCCAGAAACAGACCCCCACUGAUUAACCAAGUUAGAAUAACAAGGCACAAGAUCCGAGUAGAACAUUUCAGUGGUUCCAAUUUUGUGUAUGAGUUUUUAACAUCGAGAUAACUUUUCAGCGUUGGUCGUUGUAAAAGUUAAUGCCCUCCAGUUCCAGCCGUUUGAAAUGGUGCGAUAUGAAGGUCUUCCUCGCGUCAUCGUUUCUGAAACUCACGAAUAGAUCAUGUUCCCACUGAGGCGAAGUAGAAGUAGAAGACAGUUCCUGUCUUGAUGAUACGUGGUGGAGAAACUAUGAUUGUGAGGCCGUACGUGUAUUUGGUUAAAAAGACAUUAAGAGGAAAGGCGUGGCUUCUUCUUCUUGUACGCGCAUGUCUCCUCGUCGGACAAUAAUGUACCUGGGAAAAAAAAACAACGGUCGGUGGGAUGCGAUUCUCUCACCAAAAAUGUCGGUUUACUUAAUCAGAGAUUCAAGGGACAGAUUUUAUCAGUUCCCACUGGCAUUAUGGAAGAAAAUGGAUUGAAUCGCAGAAUCAGAAUCCCUUUCCCUCCGAAGAUUCUACUUUCAACUUCGUAGCAUGCGGAACCUAGCAUAAAAUAUUUGCACGUAAAACGACAGCACUUUAACUAGAGCUGCAAUAAGAUGUUGACACUUCACCGUUGACUUGCAAGAGCGCAUCAUCCGGAUCUGGUGGACAUUUCGACGCCUUUUGAUAUUUCUUUCUAGUCCACGAAUUCGAGAGUAGGAUUAAAUGCGGCUCACUGGGAUUCUUUUUGGACUAGAAUUAGUCAGGGAGCCAAUGGUCCAGGGAUAUUGUGCGAGAUGAAAAUUGUUAUUUUAAUGUUCUAUUAUAAUCAAACUGGCACGUGAGUGAAUGUUAAAUAUAGAGGCAAUCAAUAGUUACAGAAAUUGAAUACAAAAGGAAACAUUAGAUUCUUUUGCCUGUCCAAUCCAGGAGAGAAAGUAAUCCAGAGUAGUCACGUUUUCCCCCCGAAGUCACGGAAAAAUUUAUCCAGAUAUGAUUCGAUGGGAUUUGAUUUAUCUUAGACAUCUGUUAGAUGAAACUUUUAUUUGAGGCCCACGUGAGACCAAAUGGCAGGGGCCAGCUCCCCACGCAUUCGCCAAUAAGGAUCCGUCCUUAUAGGUGGAAAAUAGAUAUAUCAUGUUGGGAAAAGUGCCAAAAAAGUCGUAAACCUUUUGGCUUUGUGCCGAUUUAGUCCUAAACCUUUUUACGUUGUGCCAAUUAAGUCUUUUCCAGCAAAUUUUGACCGGAUUUUGCUGACUGGACACCGGCCGGCUUACGUGGCUUGAUCGGCGCUGACGUGUAUAAUUUUUAAUAGUAUUUUAAUUUUUUUGAAUUUUUUUAUUUUUAUUUUAUUUUUAUUUUUAUUUUUAUUCUUUUCUUUAUUCUUUUUAUUUUUUAUUUUUUCUGCUCAUCUUCUUCCUCCAGCCAGUCGCUGGAGCUCGGCGACCGGCCAGAGGCGACGGCCGGCGAGGUCUCGACCUCGCCGGCCACCUCGCCAGUGGCCGUGAGGGCGGCCUCGCGCCGGGCGAGCGAGGCUCACCCUCGCUGGAUCUGGCGAGGCUUGACCUUCGCCAGAUCCGGCGCGAGNNNNNNNNNNNNNNNNNNNNNNNNNNNNNNNNNNNNNNNNNNNNNNNNNNNNNNNNNNNNNNNNNNNNNNNNNNNNNNNNNNNNNNNNNNNNNNNNNNNNNNNNNNNNNNNNNNNNNNNNNNNNNNNNNNNNNNNNNNNNNNNNNNNNNNNNNNNNNNNNNNNNNNNNNNNNNNNNNNNNNNNNNNNNNNNNNNNNNNNNNNNNNNNNNNNNNNNNNNNNNNNNNNNNNNNNNNNNNNNNNNNNNNNNNNNNNNNNNNNNNNNNNNNNNNNNNNNNNNNNNNNNNNNNNNNNNNNNNNNNNNNNNNNNNNNNNNNNNNNNNNNNNNNNNNNNNNNNNNNNNNNNNNNNNNNNNNNNNNNNNNNNNNNNNNNNNNNNNNNNNNNNNNNNNNNNNNNNNNNNNNNNNNNNNNNNNNNNNNNNNNNNNNNNNNNNNNNNNNNNNNNNNNNNNNNNNNNNNNNNNNNNNNNNNNNNNNNNNNNNNNNNNNNNNNNNNNNNNNNNNNNNNNNNNNNNNNNNNNNNNNNNNNNNNNNNNNNNNNNNNNNNNNNNNNNNNNNNNNNNNNNNNNNNNNNNNNNNNNNNNNNNNNNNNNNNNNNNNNNNNNNNNNNNNNNNNNNNNNNNNNNNNNNNNNNNNNNNNNNNNNNNNNNNNNNNNNNNNNNNNNNNNNNNNNNNNNNNNNNNNNNNNNNNNNNNNNNNNNNNNNNNNNNNNNNNNNNNNNNNNNNNNNNNNNNNNNNNNNNNNNNNNNNNNNNNNNNNNNNNNNNNNNNNNNNNNNNNNNNNNNNNNNNNNNNNNNNNNNNNNNNNNNNNNNNNNNNNNNNNNNNNNNNNNNNNNNNNNNNNNNNNNNNNNNNNNNNNNNNNNNNNNNNNNNNNNNNNNNNNNNNNNNNNNNNNNNNNNNNNNNNNNNNNNNNNNNNNNNNNNNNNNNNNNNNNNNNNNNNNNNNNNNNNNNNNNNNNNNNNNNNNNNNNNNNNNNNNNNNNNNNNNNNNNNNNNNNNNNNNNNNNNNNNNNNNNNNNNNNNNNNNNNNNNNNNNNNNNNNNNNNNNNNNNNNNNNNNNNNNNNNNNNNNNNNNNNNNNNNNNNNNNNNNNNNNNNNNNNNNNNNNNNNNNNNNNNNNNNNNNNNNNNNNNNNNNNNNNNNNNNNNNNNNNNNNNNNNNNNNNNNNNNNNNNNNNNNNNNNNNNNNNNNNNNNNNNNNNNNNNNNNNNNNNNNNNNNNNNNNNNNNNNNNNNNNNNNNNNNCCAGAUCCGGCGCGAGGAGGAGCUGGCGGGGUCGCCCUCGCCGGCCGUGGGCGAGUCUUGACCCUCGCCAGAUCCGACGAGGGUGAGCCUCGCCGCCCAGGUCUCAAGGGCGGCCUCGCACCGGGUGGGCGAGGCUCGCCCUCGCCAGAUCCGGCGCGAGGAGGAGCUGGCGGGGCUCGCCCUCGUGAGCCUCGCCGGAUCUAGCGAGGGUCGAGCCUCGCCCACUGCCGGCGAAGCUCGACCUCGCCAGAUCCGGCGCGAGGAGGAUCUGGCGGGGCUCGCCCUCGCCGCCCUAGUGGCCACUGGCGAGGUGGCCGGUCGCCAAGCUCCGGCGACUGGCUGGAGGAAGAAGAUGAGCAGAAAAAAUAAAAAAAAGAAUAAAAAUUAAAAGAGAAAACUAUUAAAAAAAUUUAAAAAAUUUAAAAAUAUUAAAAAUAUUAUUAAAAAUUGUAUACGUUAGCGCCAAUCAGGCCACGUCAGCCGGCCGGCGUCCAGUCAGCAAAAUCCGGCCAAAAUUGGCCGGAAAGGACUGAAUUGGCACAACGUAAAAAGGUUUAGGACUAAAUCGGCACCAAAAAAAGGUUUAGGACUAAAUCUGCACAAAGCCAAAAGGUUUAGGACUUUUUUGGCACUUCUCCCACACUAUGUUUGCACUCAUUUACAACCAAUUUUUUCGUGCGCACUUCUUAGCAUGGGCUAAUCUAAGCAUAAAAACUGAGAUCAAAUAAACAAGACCAAAUGCCAAGUGUAGAUAAAGGGAGUUCACGAACAUAACCGGAAUUAGAUAGGGCUUGAGGAUAUCAAAAAUUGAUGGGAUGCAACUCUUUUAUCAAAAAAAAAAAAAAACUUAAUUAAAGACUUGUUCAUGAUUGGUUUUGGGAAAUCUGGAGUCUGACUUGGAUUCACUUGACAAAUUUUAUCAGUUCUCAUUGACUUACAAUUUUUUUUUUUUUCCGUUUGGUCAGAUUAUAGAAUUAGUUAGGGAGCUAAUGGUCCUAGAACGGUGCGAGAUGCUCAAUUUACUUUUUUAAUGUUCAAUUAAAACUAUACUAACAUUAAGCAGUAAAUGUGAGUGUAUGGAAAUAUAAAUGCAAUAAAUGGUUAUGGAAUCUCAAAACAAAAGAAACAUUACAUUAUCAUGCACGUCCAUCCCCAGAGAGAAUAACGCAAACAAGUCACAUUUUCUUCCGGAGAUCAUGGCAAAAUUUGUCUAGAUCCAGAUUCAUCGGACUUGAAUAUCUAUGGUUGAUUAGGUGACUCUUUUAUUAGGCUCACAUGAGAUCCAACAGCUGUGUCGAGCUCCCCAUGCAUUAACCAAUAAGGAUAUACAACCUUAUACAGAAUAUAGCUACACCAUAUAUGUGCUUAAUCACACUCAAGUUUUUCACAUGCAAUUCUUAGCAUAGCAUAGGCUACUCGAAGAAUAAAAUGCAAUGGUUAUGGAAUCUCAAAACAAAAGAAACAUUACAUUAUCAUGCACGUCCAACCCCAGAGAGAAUAAUGGAAACAAGUCACAUUUUCUUCCCGAGAUCACGGCAAAAUUUGUCUAGAUCCAGAUUCAUCGGACUUGAAUAUCUAUGGUUGAUUAGGUGACUCUUUUAUUAGGCCCACAUGAGAUCCAACAGCCGUGUCGAGCUUCCCAUGCAUUCACCUAUAAGGAUAUACAACCUUAUACAUAAUAUAACUACACCAUAUAUGCGCUUAAUCACACUUAAGUUUUUCACAUGCAAUUCUUAGCAUAGCAUAGGCUACUCUAAACAUAAAAUGCAAUAUUAAAAAAAAAAAACACCAAAUAACAUAUGUUGAUAAGGGGUGUUCAAGAACAGAAAUCGAAUUAGCUAGGGCAUGAGGAUAUCGCAAACAAAACCUAGGAGUACUCUACAUACAACAUCUACUUCUCCAAACUUAUGGGGAAAUAUGGCAAAGAAUGUCAAGUGAACUGACGAUGACCGAUUACAUACACUGGCAUGUUCUAAGAAUGAUGGACGAUGUACCCUUGAGCAAACGCAUGACAUGUAAAAGCUCAGGCACACAUGGUCAGCUCUCCAUAAUGGUGUCUUACAUGCACACUGAGCGAAGUGAGCAGGCUUCGAGACCUUCCAUGAAAUCCGACAAUAUUUCAACCGGUUGAAGGAAAUGAAGAGUACUUCCCUUUCUCGAUCCCGAAUGGUCCUUCAGCUCUUUUGUUGCUCUGAGAUGUGAGGGAGCAAAUCACAACAUGUCCAAAAUCAUCUCUUAUGUAACCAGAAUACGAAGUCAAAUUCUCUCCAGGGUAAUCGAGCUUAAUCUGCAAAAAUUGAAAGGGAGAUAUUUCAAUGAGAAGCUCCUCACUGUAGAGUAGUAAAAUCUCCACAAACAGACCCCCACUGAUUAACCAAGUUAGAAUAAUAAGGCACAAGAUCCGAGUAGAACAUUUCAGUGGGUCCAAUUUUGCGUAUGAGUUUUUAACAUCGAGAUAACUUUUCAGCGUUGGUCGUUGUAAAAGUUAAUGCCCUCCGGUUCCAGCCGUUUGAAAAGGUGCGAUAUGAAGGUCUAUGUAGCACGGACACUGUCUAGAAGCCUUCAUGUCGUGUCCGACACUCCAACACAUGUCCGACACGCUCAGACAUGUCCCGACACGCUCAGACACGUCCCGACACGCUCCGCCGCGCGGUCAACGAGUGUCGAAAAAUCUGACACGUGGUCAACUCUGUGACAUCCCGAUUUUCGAAGUCUAUUUUCAAUAAAUUGAAACGGGCAUUUCGUUGGCACGCAUAUAGUUCUUUUCCUUGAGUCGGCCACUCAUGUGAAAGCUAGUCUAUCGGGUGAAGCUGUUAAGAGUUUAUAAUGCAUCAGACUCGAGAAUUUGACCAGGAAGCAACCUUUCGACCGAGCUAAUCUGCAAGGGUCAUUACGGCACAAAUAAAAAUCGAUUAGAGACCGGAGAUAGGUUGAAUCGACAGAGGCAUGUGAUCGAGUGUGGGUGAUUCCACCAGAUCGCACCAUUCUUCUCGAUCGACACUGGACCGAUUUUUCUAUCGAUUUGGUACCCUGUGUUCGUAUUUGAAACCUUGAGAUUACCCCGACAACCGAAAGUCGCCAAUGUUUCAAAGAUGUACAUUGUGGCUUGAGAUGAUCAACCACAGGUCAAAUGCAUAAAAAUCUCUAAAGGCUACCCGGUAGGUUGGGCCGCGCUAGUAUCGUGCCAAAGUGAAAUUAACCGUGGAAUUGAGAUCGAAUUUAGAAAUUGGAUGUCUGGGUGUGUCACAAAUCGUUUCAGGAUCAUUGGCUUAUAUUUGGAAGAUUUUUCUUGUAAUCAGAGUUUUUCAGCAAUUAAAUCAGAAAAUGGUUAAUUUGGCUCGAGAAAUUAGUAGGCCCGCUUUUGGUCGCGCUUUUAAGACUUAAGUUGGUUCUAUGGACAAGUGAAGAUGUGAAUUAGAGUGUGGUGACAUUGGAUUAAUCUUAUGGACUUCAAUUUAAUUCAAUUGGAAGAUAAUUGAUGGGAAUUGAAGAAAUUGGAUGUAUAAGAUUUGGACCCCGGCGGAAAAUGAAAGUGCAAACAUUGGAGAAGUUAUGGGAGGGGGGUUUGAGUGAGUGGAAGAUGACAUAGGAUGAUGUCAUGGUGGUUGAGGCCAAGGGUUGAGAUCUUGACAAAUGGAGGGUGGAGAUUGGCUCUUGAAAAGGUGGGCUUUCACUUCAUCUUCAAGCUUGGGAAGAGAGAGAGAGAGAGAGAGAGAGAGAGGGAGGAGGGGAGCUGCCGUUCGAACCAGCCAACCGGCCGGAUGCCGCCUCCUUCGCCCGCUCGACGCCGCCGCUCGUUGCCGUCACCACCGCGCACCGUCGCCGCUCCGCCUUGGCCGUCGCCCUCCGUCUUUCCCCUUUCUCUUCCGUCGGUUCUCUCCUCCAUGACUGCUGUGCGAAGACCAGAAAACGCAGCAGAAGAAAUCCGGUUGCAGCAGCCUCCGCCUGACUGAUCGCCCGUCCGCUCGUUGUCGUCGCUGCCCUCCGCCGUUCGCCGUCGUGCGUCCACGUGAAGCUGCACGCUAGCUCGCCGGUCGGCUCGCGUUCAGCCCGCGCGUACAGCACGUCGACCAGGCCGCGGAUCAGCCACCUCCGGCCACCGCGAGACCCCGUCGGAACUGCCGCCUCACUCACCAAGCUGUAGCCACCGCUUCUCUGCCGUUCCCCGCGCCCGAACCGCCGCCGAGCAGCCUCCGUCGGCCUCAACCAGUAGCGAGCAGAGAGGAGAAAAAUGGGUUUCUCAGCCCCUUCUUGGCCCAUUUUGGCCGCCUUCCCGAGCCCAGAUGCUCGGCCCGCCUUGAGGAAAGUUGAUCCUCGCGUCGUCCUCGUCGUUUUGGUCCGCUCGGCUCGCUAAUCCAGUGAGUUUAGCUGACUAAACCUCGCUUAGAGGGUUAAUUAUGUUUUAGGUGUGCUUAGCUUAAGUUAAUUAAGCUUAGGUGGUUAAUUUCGUUUAUUUAAUUAUAAAUUGGAUUAAGAUGUUGGUUUAUGUUAAAGUGUGUUUAAAUUAAAGGUUAAAAGAAGUUAUUUAAAGUUAAGCCUUGAUGUGACACAAAAUGAUUUUUGUUUUGAAUUAUUUAAGUGCUUCGAAAUUCUGGAAAAUAUUAUAUUAUAUUAUAAUCCGAAAUUAUUAAAAUAUUAUUAUUUUAAAAAAAAAUCAGAAAAAUUAUUUUUGACCCCGGUUGCUCAGAAUUUUGUGCCGGUCGCUACGGUACAUUCGGAUUUUGAAAUUGAUGAUUGGAUAUUAUAAAUUGAGUGUGGAUUUCGAAAACCAUGGAUAUUAUUAUUUAAUUAAUUUUCGGAAUAAAUUUAAUUAUUUGAUAAAUUCUGAAAAUUAGUUUGGAACCUUAUUCUCUCAGAAUUUCGUGCUGAUCGCUGCUGUGUAUUUAGAAUUUGAUAUUGGUGAUUGGUUGUGGCAAAUUGAGUGUGAUUGCGAUAUAUAGGGAUUCUUUAUGAAAUCCUAAGUGUAGAAAUUGAUGGGAGAUUGGCUGCGAUUGACCACCUAUUAGAGGUCGUGCCCAGUGAGGCCGUGAUGUACCACCUAGGAAAGGUCGUGCCCAGUGAGGCCGUGAAAUACCACCUAUUAGAGGUCGUGCCCGAUGAGGCCGUGAAAUACCACCUAUUAGAGGUCGUGCCCGAUGAGGCCGUGAAAUACCACCUAUUAGAGGUCGUGCCCGAUGAGGCCGUGAAAUACCACCUAUGAGAGGUCGUGCCCAGUGAGGCCGUGAUAAACCACCUAUGAGAGGUCGUGCCCAGUGAGGCCGUGAUAAACCACCUAUGAGAGAUCGUGCCCAGUGAGGCCGUGAUAAACCACCUAUGAGAGGUCGUGCCUAGUGAGGCCGUGAUUAACCACCUAUUAGAGGUCGUGUCUGAUGAGGCCGUGAAUUACCACCUGAUUAAAGGUCGUGCCGAGUGGGGCCGUGAUUGCCACUGAUUGUUAAACCUUCCUAUAGGGUCGGGAUUGAGAGCAAUGAUUGAUUUGCUAGAAUGACAUGUAAUCGGCCGAGUCGAUUGAUCGCUGAGACGAUCCAAGUGGUUGAAUUGUUUGAUAAUGUGAUUGUGCCACGGUUGUUUAGCUAUCAUAAUUGUACGUGGUUGAAUUAUAUAAAUUGUGCUAACCUGCAGAUGAAGGCUGAGGCGAGGUAAGUCUUCUAUGUGAUGUGGCUAGGCCACCCGGGGCGUAUUUUCUUUCUAAUAGGGGUUUAGGGGGUUGAACUUGCUGAGACGUUGUCUCAGUGGUUAUUGAAUAACCAUUUCAGGUCCCCGGUGGACGGAGCGGCCGGAUAGCUUUGGUUGGCAUUGAGGAGUUGCAGAGGUGAAGUCAUAAGAUUGGAGAACGUGUCCGACUUGUAGGUCGUAGGACAAUUCAUUUUUAAGAGCCAGUCUUUUGUAGACUUUUGGCCGUAGACCUCUGUUUGUAAUUCUGUUGAAUUAUGGAAGUGUUAUGUUGUGGUUUUGCUUCCUGCUUUUCUAUCCCGUAUUUUAUUGUCAGGGGAUUUGUUUCGCUUCCACAUGCGUAAUAAAAUAAAUGGGUCAGCGACAUUACCUGGGAAUGUCGCAUUUGAUCGACCGCAGUGGGAUGUGCUCGCGCUCGGGGUUCGGGGCGUGACAAACUCUCUCCGACACGCUCCGACAAGCCAUUCCAACACGCACGAGGUCAAUUUUAAAAAUUUCUAAUACUUGAGGAGUCAAAAUAUAAAUAUAUACAAAAGAAGUAAUAAAAGAAGUUAUAAAAUUGCUAUAAAUAUACAUGCACGGGGUCAAUUUUUUUUUUUCAGUUUUGUUUUUUUAGGAUUGUUUUAUUUUUUUUUUAAAGUCUUUUACUAUGAAAUAAGUAAUAAAAAAUGCUAUAUAUGAUAAAUAAAUAAAAUUAAAAAUAUCAUUUCAGCAUUUUUCUUUAAAAAAAUGUUUUUUUCCUCUAAGUUUUGUGUAUUAUUGUAACAAAUUAAAAUAAUGAAUGAUAUUAUUUAAUAUUUUUCGUGUAAAUUAAUUCUAGGCUAUUAUUAUUAUUAUUAUUAUUAUUAUUAUUAUUAUUAUUAUUAUUAUUAUUAUUAUUAUUAUUAUUAUUAUUUAUGUAUUUAUAUAUAAAAAUAUAUUUAAUAUAUAACGUGUCGAAAUUCUCUAUUUUUAAGAAAUGACGUGUCGGCGUGUCGUGUUGUAUCGUGUCGCGUGUCGCGUGUUCAUGUCGGUGCUACAUAGGUGUCAACAUCUUAUUGCAGCUGUAGUUAAAGUGCUGUCGUUUUACGUGCAAAUAUUUUAUGCUAGGUUCCGCAUGCUACGAAGUUGAAAGUAGAAUCUACGGAGAGAAAGGGACCUCUUUUUUUUCGGCGCCCGCGAUCGGGUACGAGCGCCUAAAGGAGGCUAAUGGCUCGGCUGAAUUUAUUAAGCCCGGACUCUCCCAAGUCCACCAAUUCACGACUUUAAUAGUCUGAGUUUUUAACCUAUAAAUUAAUUUUAGAACGGAGUCGCCACUAAUCGGUUUGGGGUGGGUCGAUUAGAAACCCAAGCGAAGUAUCGGGAGAAAUACUUGCUCCUGCGCAACCAGAGAAAUUAGGAUCAGGGACUUGAUUACACUAGUUAAUCACUAAUGCCCUUUCGGUACCUAAUCUUGUUUAAACCCUAAGGCUUUUUGUAUUUUUGAGGGAUUUUCCAUGCAUUUUUUAGAGGAAAAGCAUUUUUAGUCUUUUUCUAAUUUUUUUGACAUAAAAAGCAUUUUAUUUUAUUUUUGGAUCUUUUUUUGAAAAUAAAAAUCAUUUUUUUGGCUUUUUCUGACUUUUUUGGCUUUUUUGGGAAAAUAUGGACAUUUUUGAUUUUUUUGAUUUUUUGGAAAAUAAAUUAUUUUUUUAUUUUUUAUUAUUUUUUAAAAUAUUAUUUUAUAUUAAAAUAAUAUAAAAACUGACCCGGGUCGGAUCCGCGUUGCGGGCCCGACUCAGAUUUUUUCUUUUAAAAAAACUCAGCCCACACACACGGAUUUGGGCCUUUUUUAAAAAAGAUGCCCGGCCCACGGAGAAGCUGGCCUUGCGUAACCCUAGAGCGCCGGGUCACACGCCCGACCCGACAACCCGCUCCCCCUACGAAACCCUACCCGACCCGGCUCCAUCACCCGACCCGACUUCCGCCGCCCCUUAAAUCGCGGAAACCCUACCCGGUUCCGAGACCCGGCUCCGACUCGGCGACCCGGAAAAUUGCAAACCCUAGGGUUUGCGAAUCCGCGGCGCCGAGGGGGGGAACCGAGGUGCUUGGCGGCGACGGCGACUACGGCGGUGACGACGAAGGCGACAACGGCGACGGCAACGGUAACGGUGACGCUUUUUACCUUUUCUCGAACGGAGACGGCGGCGGCAACAAUGCCAGAUCGAAGGCGGCAGCGGCGGAGGCGCUCGGCGGCCCGGCGGGAUUUUGCACAGCAACGGCGUCGGGGGGUGGGACCUUCUUCCGCCCCUCUUCGCGAAUCCAGAACCUUUGCACCUCCUCCAACCUCGCUUCUCUCUCUCUCCUUUACUCCUCCUUCCGGCGAGAUUCAGAUCCGAAGCCGUAAGCCCUCGGCCCCCCUGAAGUCUCUCAGUGGGGUGUCCAAGGGUCGCGACUUCGAUCUCCUCUCUCUCUCUCUCCCUUCGUGUGUCUCUCCGGCGGAACCUCUUCCUCUCAAGCUCACUUGCUUGCGGAUCGGGGUUCGCUUGCCGCCGGCCUCCCCCGAUGUCUCUCGGUGGGAAGUCAUCUAGCUUGCGACCCGAUCCUCUGCCCUCUUGGCUUGCUCUUUGAUUUCCCCCUUAAAGUCUCUCAAAGGGAAGAUCUCCGAGUUCGCCGUGUCCUUCGAAGGAGGUGGUGCCCCGCUAUUUAUAGGCGAGGGGGCGGCCGGUCGACGGGGAUUCGACCGCCGGUCUUCACACAUCGAACGGACACCCGCGGCCGAACCGGCAUCCCAUCCUCGCUCCUCCGACAAAGCGUGCUCGGCAUUGAAGGCGGCCAUUAAUGGCGCCUGAGAUCUGUCAUCUCCGGCCGACGUCGGCCUACCCUCCUCGGUCGUAGGUUGCCUUCGAGCGCGUGAGUUGCAGAGGCGUAGGAAGAAGAAGGGAGAAGAAGGAAGAAGAAGAGGAGAAGGGGGCCGGGCUUGGAGGAGAAGGAGGCUGGGCUUGGGCCCGCGAAAGGGAGAGAAAAAGGAGGGGGCUGGGCCUAGCUGCCAUUUUUUGUUUUCUUUUGUUUUUAUUGAUUUUUUUGUUGUUUUUGUUAUUUAUUAUUUAUUAUCUAGAAAAAGGAAAAAUAAAAGAAAUAAAGGCCUAAUUAAUAACCUAAUCAAAAUUUUAGCUGUCAACAGCUGCCCCUCUUUGAAGGUGAGUUCGCAGAGGUUGCAUUCAAAGAUAAACCUGAUACCUAAAUUUUGUCUAUACAUAUGCAAUAGAUUAUAUGAUAUUUAGGACCUAGUGUCCUAUGCAGAAAAUGAGCAAUAUAACAUUGCGUAUACUAAGACAGAUAAGAAGAUACCUGUAGUUACUUACCGGGAGUGAGUGAGAUAGGGUGUGAACUCCGAGUUUUAGCAAGUAUCAAGGCGUCAUCUUACCUGUUGCAUGAGGAGAUUGCUUCUCUAGGACUCGAACCAUUCUUCGGUCGCCUAUUGGAGCAAUAAGUGGUUUGUCUAGGACCCGAACCUUUCUUCGGUCGCCUUGACGGGGAAUUGCUUUUCCAGGACCCGAACCUUUCUUCGGUCGCCUGUUAGAGCAAUAAGUUGGUUUGUCUAGGACCCAAACCUUUCUUCGGUCGCCUUGACGGGGAAUUGCUUUUCCAGGACCCGAACCUUUCUUCGGUCGCCUGUUAGAGCAAUAAGUUGGUUUGUCUAGGACCCGAACCUUUCUUCGGUCGCCUUGACGGGGAAUUGCUUUUCCAGGACCCGAACCUUUCUUCGGUCGCCUGUUAGAGCAAUAAGUUGUUUGUCUAGGACCCGAACCUUUCUUCGGUCGCCUUGACGGGGAAUUGCUUUUCCAGGACCCGAACCUUUCUUCGGUCGCCUGUUAGAGCAAUAAGUUGGUUUGUCUAGGACCCGAACCUUUCUUCGGUCGCCUUGACGGGAGAUGUGCCGACCUUUCUCAGGGCAUCUGUUUGUUGGGAGAUAGUACUUGGAUGAUCACAAGUACAAACUCUUGGGGGAUACUUGGAUGAUCACAAGUAUUGAAGGGGUACCUGGACGAUCACAGGUACAAACUCUUGGGGGAUACCUGGAUAAUCACAAGUAUCGAAGGGGUACCUGGACGAUCACAGGUACAAACUCUUUGUACAUGGAAUAUCGAGGACGUACCUGAGAUAUUCGUGUGGAAAUAUCGAGGAUGGGUCUUGCAUAUACAUGAAGGUCUCUCACCUGCUGGUAGUGGGAAUAUCGAGGACGUACCUUGGAUAUUCAUGAAGGUCUCUCACCUCCUGGCAAUUGGGAAUAUCGAAGGCGUACCUGAGAUAUUCAUGAAGGUCUCUCACCUUCUGGUAACAUAAACUUGAAUGUAGCACAAGGCUUACCUGGAUGGCCGCAGGCAUUCAAAAGGGUUGGAACACCUGGGUAGCCGCAGGUGUACAAAGUACUGGAAUACUUAGAUGAACACAAGUAUUUGAUGAUACGAUCUGGGACCACUCAGGCUGGUCCAAAUGUAAGAAAACAUACCUGGGCAGGCACAGGCACACAAAGCAGUGGAAUGCUUGAACAGCUGCUAUAUUAUUUGGGGACAACUCGGGCAGGUUGAGUGUCAUGAAAAGGAAGUACCUGGACAACGGUGGGUACUUGACGAUAUGGGGAUACCUAGACAGCAGUAGGUAUUCCAAGAGAUACUUGGUCAGUCGCAAGUAUCAAUACUCUGGGGACAACUCGAACAGGUCGAGUGUCGAUAAGAGGGAGUAUCCGAACGGUGGCCGGUACUUGAAGACAAAAUGAUAUUUGGACAGCAGUAGGUAUUCAACGAUAAAAGGAUACUUGGUCAGUUACAAGUAUCAAUACUCUUGGGACAACUCGAACAAGUCGAGUGUCAGGAAAAGGGAGUAUCCGAGCGGUGGCCGGUACUCAAAGACAAUGGGGAUACCUAGACAGCAGUAAGCACCCAAACUCAAAGGACGACUCAAAUAGGUUGAGUGUCAAUAAGAGAGUACCUGGACAGUGGUAGGUACUUUAAGACAAAUGGGGAUAGAGAUAUGCUUACCUGGCAAUAUCUCUGAUCUCUGAGAGUAUGUCUGCUAUUUGCACAAUAAGCACACAUGAUUGCAUAUGCUGUAAAUUCAUGAGUUUAAAUGCGAUUCAUGCAUGACAAUUUUGUCAGUUUUGUAUCAUCUGAGUUUCACUGGAGAAGAUUUUGAAAGACAACCUUCAUUUAGAAUGUAGAUGUCUUGAGCAUGCCAAAUGAGGGACUUUUAGUCUGAAAGGACUUUCCGCUCACUCUCAUGGAAAAGGCUAUCCUGACCAUUGAUGCAGGAUUUAUAAGGACCACACUAUCUCACUGUCAUCAUGUCAACAGGGGUCCAAGUAUUCUCGCAAACGGUACGACUUUACCAAUGUGAGAGGUCUUUGUUGAAAUUGUGAUGAAGACUUAGUCAAUGGCUCAUCAAAUGGGACCGUCGAGGUCAAGGCUCAUGAACGAAGUGCCACACGAUCAUCUCCGGGUUUGCAAGUCGAGAAUCCUGCGAAAAGAGAUAGAGUAAUCUUGCUCGUACUUCUUCGAGCGAUGCUUAUGCACAUAUGAAAUCCUACAUUAAUUGAAGUGCCCCUAGUCUGAAGAGACUUUUACAAUGGGAUGCAAUGUAGACUUGAUUCAUGUGUAAAAAUGUGAGAGCUGGUGAUUGUCUUGGCAUUUGUCACCAGUCUUUCUUCUCACUGUCAAAUGGAGGUUCUAUGGACCACAACAUCAACAUUUUCUUGGUUGCAUUUUUGACUGGGGGACAUUGGCCUUGCUUUUACCAGGCACACUGCUUUUUUCAUGCCCCUUAUUUUUAUUCCAGUUUUUUCAUUUAUGGGCAUUGACCUUGCUUUUACCAGGUACACUGCUUUUUUAUGCCCAUGUUUUUUCAUUCUUGUUGCUUGAGAGUUGAUCUUGACAAGUUCAAGCAAACGCCUUUGUUAGACUAUUGAGUCUUCAUCUUUUGCCGGCACUUCUGAUUAUGCUGCUCAAAUGGCAGUAGCUUCUGCUUUGCCUCCACGUGAGGGUGAAUUUACAGACUCAAUUGAGUUAUACAAUAGAUACAAGUGCGUAAAGAAAGAAUUGCUCUUCAUGACUCUAGGGCACUUAAAUUAACAUGAGUGUUCAUAUGCAAUAAGAACACCCGAAGAUUGAUGCAAGUGCGAGCAAGAAAAUUUCUAUCUCUCUUCUCACCUUGUGAUGUUGCUUUGCCUCCGAUCUGCCCUAGUAUGGGGUGGUUCUUGACAGGGAUAGGACAGAAAUUUCAUCAGUGUAUAGGGCUCAAUGGGGUGAGCAAUGAAAUGCCUCUCACUGUUUUGGUCAUCGUACCAUUCGCGAGAGAACUCUUUACCCUGCAGUCAUGGAAUCUUCUGCACUCAUCUCACAAGUGUAUAGAUGGGGGGACUGUGUGUAGGAUAUAGCUUGCCUGUCAUCAUUCUGACGCGCGUCAUCCAGCAUGCUCAAUCGAUCUUGUAUUCUUCACUUAGCUAUCUAUUCUAAUAAUCCUCAGUGGAAUCAGUGACUUAGACAGACAAAAUCAUCAUGCAGAAUUCAUCUGGAAGUGACAUGCAACAUUUUGAAUAUGAUGGAGUUUGAAUUCUUCAAAACAAGUGAAUGGUUUUCACUCAAAAAAGACCCUAUUGACGACUUUAGGAGUUAACAUAAUGGUGUUUCCAAAUAUGUUAAAUUUUGAACAUCAAAAGGGUUAUUUGCAAAUGGGUGUCGAUAGUUAUCCCUAUUGAUUAGGGAUAUGACACAUGAAGGAUCAGCCGGGGCUGGGGAUCUGAUCGGGCAUCUCUGCUUUUGCCCCUGCAGAAGAGAAGAUGUACAAGUAGAUCAAUUAGUCUGGCCAAAAUUAAACUGUGAGUUAAGGCCUGAAGAUUUUCUGUCAUUUGCUUUGGCGAUUACUCAGGAUGUCAUUUUUCUUAGGAGAGCUUAUCAGAGUUUGACAUGUCUUUCCUUGAUUUGUUAUCCGCAUUUUUUACGGUCAAGUGAUCCUGCAACAGAUAGGAAAGAAUGUGUCAAUCACGAUUUUUUACAGGAGUUUAAACAACUGGGAGCGAUACAACAUUACCCUUCACUGCUUUGCAGAUGAUUGGAUGGACCCAAAAUGCGAGUGGGACACGAAGUCCUAUGUCUUUUGCUUCGUUAGAUCACCUGCUUUCUCGUAAUUUGCAAGCGCAAGAGAAGCAAAAAAUUUUAUUAUUUUUUUACCAAGCGGCUAACUGCCGCGUCGGGGAUUCGAACCCCCGACUUCGGACCUUUUUGCUUCUUCCCGGAUACCACUCGGCUAGAGGCGCCGAUGGUGUCCGUAGGGCGCUUCCUUUUUUAUUUAACCGAACCGGCUCCUGGAUGACACUUCCUUUCAUACCAAGUUAGGUAAAUCGAUAUGGGUCAUUUGAUUUGUCCAAAUUAAUCAUUAAGCUUGCUUCUUGAAUCCUAUGCUUCCUGUCAAUAGGAGAAAAUAUGUCAAAGGUGAGUUCAGAUACUAGGAGUAUUGGAAACGAUACCAAAUUACUCUUCUCCAGAGUUUAUAUUUGCUGACUCCUAGGGAUAUUUGAAUGUCAAUGACGGCCUUUUGUUUUCGACACAGUUCAAUGCCUCUUUUGAUUGGCCCUCCUCAUUUGUGGCCUUGUGAUUGAUGAUUUGCAACGCCUUCCUUCUGUGGAAUUCUGUAAUUUUUCUGAUGGCAAUUACUUCUUGCGAGAGCCUGCGUCUGGAACAAAAAGUGAAGCUUCCAGAUUCUAAGAUUGUUGACUGGGACAGAAGGCUCCUUCUAACCAGACCGGCUCUUGAAUGACGCGUCAUUUACACCGAGUUGGGCGAAAUUGACAUGGAUUACUCUUACGAGUCUGCCUGGGUAAUGUCGAUUUGCUCAAGUUAUGCCAUCGAAUUUGCUAUUUGAUUUUCAACACUUCUUUAAAUGCUGGCGAUUAUCAUUCAUUUUUCUUCAUCGAGUCAACCAAACACACGUUUUUAUAAUGGUGGAAAUACAUCACUCGUAUAUAAAGGUGCAUAGGCAUUUUCAUUCUGAUAGAGAAGUGCUUGGCAAUGCCAGACAAUGAACAUCUUUCAAGGGUAGUACUUUUUCACAGCAUCAGAAUUAACUGGUUUAGAGAAUUCUCGCCCAUCCAUCUCAGUUAGGAUCAAGGCUCCUCCGGGGAGUAUCUUCUUUAUUACGUAAGGACCCUUGUAAUUUGGGGCGAACUUGCCUCCGGGCUCUGGAAAGAUUGGCAGUGUCUUUCUCAAGACUAGCUCGUUUACCUCAAAGUGCUUGGGUCGCACCUUUUGAUUGAACGAUCGAGCUACCCUCUGCUGGUAACACUGGCCAUGACAGAGGGCUUUCAGUCGUUUUUCGUCGAUCAUAUUCAGUUGCUCAAGCCUUUGCUGUGUCCAUUCUUCCUUGGACAAUCCUGCUUGGGAUAAAAUUCGCAGGGAAGGGAUUUCUACUUCCACGGGCAAAACCGCUUCCAUGCCGUAAACCAGGGAAAAAGGCGUUGCCCCAGUGGAAGUUCGAAUCGAAGUUCGAUAUGCUGUUAGUGCAAAGGGUAACCUCUCAUGCCAGUCACGGUAGCUUUCAGCUGUCUUGGAUAGGAUUCUCUUGAUGUUCUUGUUGGCGGCUUCCACGGCUCCAUUCAUUUGUGGACGAUAAGGGGACGAGUUCAGAUGUUGGAUUUUGAACUCAGAAAACAAUUGAUCAAUCAACUUGUUGUUAAGGUUUGACCCAUUGUCGGUGACGAUAGCUUCCGGUACGCCAUAACGGGCGAUUAUGUCACGUUUGAUGAACUUCAUAACGUUUCGUGCAGUUACACUUGCAUAGGAUGCGGCCUCGAUCCAUUUUGAGAAGUAAUCGAUUGCGACCAAAAUGAACCGGUGCCCGUUUGAUGCUUUCGGAUUGAUUGGACCAAUUACAUCGAUGCCCCACAUUGAAAAUGGCCACGGCUCCGAUAACUGAUGCAAUUCAGUUGGAGGGACAUUUAUCUUGUCCCCGUGAAUCUGACAACGAUGACAGCUUCGCACAUGCCGGGCACAAUCGCCCUCUAAGGGGAGCCAAUAAUAACCCAAUCUCAUUAUUUUCUUGGCCAACAUACGUCCAUUCAUGUGAGGGCCACAUGCUCCCUCAUGUAUUUCUUGCCUUAUUUGUGUGGCUUCAUUUGCAUCCACACACCUUAGCAGAACUGAGUCAUAUGAUCUUUUGUACAAAUUUUCACCGCUGACGAAGAACCUCGAAGCCAUUUUCAUUAGGUAUUUUCGAUCAGAGGGAGUGCUUUCUUUAGGGAAUUCCUGCUCCUGGACGUAUUUCAUGAUAUCAUAAUACCAGGGUUUCCCAUCGGGUUCUUCAGUUAUAGUCAUGCAAUGAGCUUGUCUUGCCAGGACUUCAAUCUUCAAAGGCUCCACUUCUAACCCUUCUGUUACUUGUAACAUAGAUGAUAAUGUUGCUAGCGCAUCAGCGAACUGAUUAUGAAUUCUAGGUAGGUAUUCAAACGAGACGUCCUGGAAUUCUCCCACCAAUUCUUCCAAGUAUUCGUGAUAGGGCACAAGUUUGGCGUCUCUUGUCUUCCACUCGCCCACAGUCUGGAGAAUGAUUAAGGCAGAGUCACCGAACACUUUUAGUUUUGCUAUUUCCAUUCCAAUAGCCGCCUGCAGACCGAGGAUGCAUGCUUCAUAUUCGGCUAUAUUGUUGGUGCAUGGAAAUAUCAAUUUUGCAGCCACAGGAUAAUGCUGCCCAUUUGGGGAUAUCAAGACCCCCCCAGUGCCGGAACCUGACAAAUUUACAGCUCCGUCGAAGAACAUAGUCCAUGUGUCCUCUUCUACUGUUGAAAUUCGGUCGUCUGGGGAAUUAUCCUCGCGUACUUCUUUAGGGCAAUCUGCUAACAUAUCAGCAAUCACCCGACCUUUAACUGAUUUUUGCGACAUCACUUGGAUGUCAAAUUCUGAGAUCAGGAUUUGCCAUUUGGCCAAUUUUCCCACCAAGGCCGGGCGACCAAGCAAAUACUUGAUUGGAUCACUCUCAGUUACAAGGAAUGUUUGGUAAUGCAAGGUAUACUGCCGGAGUCUGUGCAACACCCAUACCAACGCAUCACAUGUUUUUUCCGAUUUGGAGUAGUUUUGCUCUGACGUGGUGAACUUUUUACUCAAAUAGUAAAUGGCUCGCUCCUUCCCAUCAUGGGGGCCCUUCUGUGCCAACAUUGCACCUAGGGAUUCACUGUUGAUGGUAAGGUAGAGAGUCAAAGGGUGUCCUGGAGUCGGAGGUACUAAAACCGGGGGUUUCAUCAGGUACUGCUUUAGAUUUUCGAACGCCAGCCGGUAGUCGUCAUCCCAUUUGAUUUGUGCAUCCUUCCUAAGAAGCUUAAAGAAAGGUUUUGUAGUUUCUGAAAGUUGGGAAAUGAAUCGUGCAAUGUAAUUUAAUCUUCCCAGGAGGCUCCGGACUUCUUUUACAGUCGAGGGAGGAGGCAUCUCAAAUAUCGCCUUAGUUUUUGACGGGUCUACUUCUAUCCCUUCACAGCUCACAAUGAACCCAAGUAAUUUGCCAGAAGUUGCCCCGAACACACAUUUUGCCGGGUUCAAGCGCAACUUGAACUAACGAAGCCGAUCGAAUAAUUUCUCUAGGGUCUUCACAUGGUCUUCUCCAUGUCUGGUUUUGGCGAUCAUGUCAUCGACAUAUACUUCAAUUUCUUUGUGCAUCAUGUCAUGGAAAAGGGUGACCAUGGCACGUUGGUAAGUUGCUCCUGCAUUUUUCAGGCCAAAAGGCAUGACCUUGUAGUGGAAGGUUCCCCAUGGAGUGAUGAAUGCCGUUUUUUCUUUGUCUUCUUCUUUCAUCCUUAUUUGGUUGUAUCCUGAGAAUCCAUCCAUGAAAGAAAAAAGUUUGAAUCCAGCAGUACUAUCCACAAGAACGUCUAUGUGGGGUAGCGGGAAAUCAUCCUUUGGGCUUGCUUUGUUCAAGUCGCGGUAGUCAACACAAACCCGAAUUCGACCAUCCUUCUUCUUUACUGGUACAACGUUUGCUACCCAACUGGGGUAUCGUGAGACUUCGAGGAAACCUACUUCGAGGAGCUUCAUUACCUCUUCUUCAAUCUUUUUUGACAAUUCCGGCUUGGUUCUUCUUAGUCGCUGCUUCUUGGGGGCUACAUCAGGGUUGGUUGGCAAGCUAUGCUCCACGAUCAUUGGAUCAAGGCCUGGCAUAUCGGCAUAUGUCCAUGCGAAUAUGUCUUGAUACCUCUUUAGGAGGGCAAUUAAGCUUGCAGCUUCUUCUUUAGGAAGGUUCGCGUCGAUCUUUAUCUCCCUUGGACCCUCUGUGCUGCCUAAAUUGACAAUGAUGGUGUCUUCAGUAGUAGGGGGCCUUGCUUCUUCGUGGCGCUCCCAAUUUCGUUGAAUUUCGUUGGAAUCAUCAAAAUCAUCAUCCGAGUCUUCAGAAUUGCUAUCAUGGCUACUUACGGUGUUGGUUUGGACCGUUCCCAUACCCUCGCCUGCUACUAGAUUAUUCCUGCGUCAUAGAGUAGAUAAAUAAGGUUAGUAGCAUGCAUGCUUCUUUCUUUUGAAAAGGUGAUAAAUUGCUCUUGAAGAUUUAGGACAAGGAAACAUGAGGAGACCCGGGCCUCAGAUUUCUUUUUUCAUUUGACGGCUGGCUAUCAUCAACGGGCCGGUUUGGUGUGUCUCCUCAUGCCCUCAAAAUGUUUUCAACUUUAUUUAUUAGUAGACGGAUUUACAAGGUGAUUUCAAAAAAUAGUUCCUUGAGUGGAACUGAUGUUGAAAACAAAACAAGCCAGACUUUAAAAAAUAUGUACAGGCUCCCACGUAGGGGAGUAUGCAAGGGAAUUAAAAAGGGUUCUACUCGAGCGGGCCUGCACCCAUUUCCCCUGACGGUCCUUCGUUGAUAGCGCCCACGAAGAAGUCUUCAUACCAGUCUCCAGUCACGCCUCCUUGUGCUCCCAGCUUUGUGAAUUUCAGGUCGUCCAUGCCUCCCCAUCCAUCAGGGACGAUCCUCUGACGAUUGUCAUAGAAACCUUUGGGAAUUGAAUAGUUGACAUAAUAGUCGAAUUUGCCACUUGGUUGGCCCAAAGUGUCCAUGAUUGCCUUUCCUCUAUGCGCUUCCUUAGCAUGCUCAGGGAGCAAGGUAUGGGUGCUAGGUACCACGAGGAAGUCAUCUUUACCAUAACAUAGCCACGAGGAACGGAACGUGAACACCCCAGCAUCCAAAAGAUCCUGAAUCUUGUCUCUCAAGAUGAUACAGUCAUCUAACGAGUGUCCUACUUCGCCCGAAUGAUAGUCACAGUACUUGGAUGGAUCAUAAUCAAGGAAGUACUCGGGAGUAGGACGCCUCAGUUCCCUAGAGAUUAUUCCUUGCUCUAGGAGGAUGGGGAAAAUAAUGACCAUCGAUUUAGGAAGAAGCGAAUAUAACCGCGUGCUUCUUGAGGACUGUGGUAGCCGAGCUCCUUGCCAGAUUGUGUCAAUAGGGUCUUCUUCACUUACUUUGGCUACCAACUCCUCAUUGUGACGAGAGCGAAAUGUACGGGCAGCUUGAACAAAAUUUUCUGUCAAGUGGUAUAUGCUAUCGCGUAGUUCAUCGACUUGACGUUGAAGUUGGGUGAAUGAGAAGUUAUCGCCUGUUUCUUCUAGCUGCUCCUCCUCAAUGGCACCUACGAAAAGGUCCCCAAACAUGGUGGUCACGUCAUCUGGCCCUUCUUUCUUUGUAAGUACGGGUUGGGUUAUGCUCUUCUGGUCCAUGCCCAAGUAAAUGGGAAACUUCAAGCUUUCAUGGUUGAAUUGUUUUGGAAUGCCGAUCAUUUCUUCUUCCUCAUGCAUCAUCUUCGCAGGGCCUGGGAAGGUUUCCUCAAGGCGUGGGUAUACAAGGCCGGUCUUCUUUUUUGCCUUUCCUUCCCGGUAUUGCUCCUGAUAUCCUAAACCAAUGGUGUGAGGUCUCCUCAAGGCUUUGAUAGGCUCGCGGAUGCCUUGGUUUCCCUUGCCAAGCCCUUGACCCAGGAUAAAACCGUAUCCAGUCAUGAUUUUCCCUACCAUGAUUGCAGUGCUUGAUAUUUCGGGGACAAGGGGUGGAGUCCCUCGAGUUUCGUGUAUAGUAGACACAAGCUCGAACGAUUGAUAACUGGAUUCAUUUUUGUCACUAGGUUCAACAUAAGGGAUGGCCGUCUCAUGGUAGAAGCGGUGAUCUUCUUCUCCGCGGAUCGUGAUCAGUUUUCCUCCAAUCACGAACUUUACAUUUUGGUGGAGGCUUGAAGGUACUGCUCCAGCGACGUGGAUCCAUGGGCGGCCUAAGAGGAAAUUGAACGCAGUGGGGAUAUCCAUCACCUGGAACAAAAUUUUGAAUAUGGUUGGGCCUAUUUGAACGUCAAGCUCGAUCUCUCCCACCGUUUCCUUCUUUGUUCCAUCGAAUGCCCGAACAGAAGUCUUGGGUGUCUGGAUUCGUGAUGUCUCUAUUUUAAGACGACAGAGUGUUGCUAGUGGACAUAUGUUAAGAGCAGAUCCAUUGUCAAUCAGUACUCGAGCAACGUGAGAUGCGUUGCACUUGACUGAUAUGUAGAGGCCUUUGGUGUGUCCUCUACCCUCCUCGGGGAUUUCUUCAUCAGAAAAUGCCAUUUGAUCUUUUAAAAGGAUGAUACUGACAAACUCCUUGAGUUUGUCAUGUUCAAUCGUCUCAGGGACAUGUACUUCGCUUAGUACCUUCAUGAGGGAUUUCUGGUGCUUGACAGAUGUCUGAAGUAAUUCCAGCAAAGAGAUAUGUGCUGGUGAUUUCCGUAAUUGUUCCACCACAUUGUACUCGCUGGCUUUAACUACGGCCAAAAACUCCUUGGCUUCUUCGUCAGUGACGGGCUUGGCGGGCUGUGUAUUGGCUUGAGCAUAGGUUCGCCCAGAUCUCGUGACUAAGCCAACAUCAAGGUUGUAAGACCAUGGAACUGCAUUGUUGCCUUCGUAUUUGUAGGGCUGGGGGAUCUCAAUGACUAUAGCUGUUUCUGAUGUCGAUGCUUGAACUAUGGCUCCUUUCCCUUUAAAGACGCCCUCAAGUGGGGUGGAAUCCUUCUUCUCUCUCUUUUCGUUUAGUGUGGCAAAUUCUUCAUCCCAAUUGAUGACGACUUGCGAUAUAGUAGAGACCGUGCCGGUGUGGCCAGCGUACACAAUUAUUCCUGCCUCUAUCAUUCUUGAUACCCUUUCUUUCAUUGUUGCUAAGGGUGGUAUUUCAUCGCUCGAAUAAUACCUGGUUUCUACUAGCCCUCGAUAGAUGUCAACAAUAUGUGCAUUGACAUUUCUGAUUUGGCUGGCUUCAGAACUGAAUAUCGCGUUUACUUUGUCAGUGUGAUCGGGGAGCGGAUUGCUUUGGACAUUUGGCUUUGUAGUUUGGAAUGAGAAAGCCUUAGUAUCCAGCAAGUUCUGGAUCCGAUGCUUAAGGAUGAAACACUCGUCAGUUGAGUGGCCUACUUCUCCCAUGUGAUAGUCACAUUUUUUGGACGGGUCAUAGCUGGAGAAGCUUUCAGCGUUGGGUCGUUUUGGCUCAAUUGAGAGGAGGUUCUUGUUCCGGAGGAUUGCCAAAACCUGUGAUAGAGAUCCAGGAAGUGGAGUGAAUUGUCUUCUGUUGUUGUAGCGCUGGGGUGGUUGACGACUAGUGGUCUGUUGUUGGCCUGUGCUUGUCUGAACGGUCGGGAGGUGACCGGUAUUUGCAGUGUAGGUUGCAUUGACAUCUACCAGGGGUUCUUUGUCUUUUUUCAGGCUGAGCCUUCUGCUGACAGGCGCAGGUUCAGUGAACCAGCCAUCCCUUAACCCUAUCUCAAUCUGCUCUCCUACUGGAAUGAGUUGAUUGAAUGAUUCAGCGAUCGUAGUCACCAUUCGGUUGCGGUAUUCAUAGAGGAGGGUUUUGAUGAACAUUUUUCUUAGUUCAAAAUCAGUUGGUUCGGGACUCAUUUGGGCGGCUAGAUUCCUUCAUCUGAUAGCAUAUUCUUUGAAAGAUUCAUGCUUUUUCUUUUCUGUGCGCUCGAGAUCUUCACGAGAAGGGGUAAUAUCCAUUAUGAACUUGUACUGCUUGAGGAAUGCCUCACUUGCUUCACUCCAUGUUUCAAGGAGGUUUAUAUUUUUUGUGAUGUACCACCUCAGGGCGGGACCUACUAGACUUGACUGGAACAACUGGAUCAUUAGAGGCACAUUAUUAAUGUACUGGGUCAUUCGAAUCAAGUACAUUUGCAAAUGAGCCCUUGGGCAAGUCGUGCCAUCGUAUUUCUCGAACUCAGGCAUUUUGAAUUUUUCCGGCAUUUUGACCUUGGAGUAGAUGGAGAGGUCUGCUGGAGUAGGAUCUUGGAGGCCCUGCAAUUGUUGUAGUCUCUCUUCAAGCUUCUCAAGGCGUUUGUCAUGUUCAGUCUUAGACAAACUGUUGGGCUUUGCUUUCUCAACUAUGAUUUGGUGCGUAUCAUCCUCCAAUUCUGGCAUGUUAUCAUCGGUAUCUCUUCCUUGAUCACCUCGGGUAGACGAUUGCGGUAACAAUACUUCGAUUGAGGCUGGGGCGGGAGUCAAUUUGCCUUGGAUGGAAUCUAUCUGCUUUGAGAGUUGUUGAAGCACAUUGAAGACUUGCUUCAUUUCACUUUCCAUAAUCUCGACACGGCUUGGUACAUUUUCUUCGGCCAUUCUAGCUUUUGGAUUUGGUGAAUAUGAUUAUGACGUGAUUACCUGGUAGCACAGGAAAUGGAGAAAACGUAAAUGAGGGAAACACAUGAAAAACUGGCUCAUGGCAAGGGUCGAGUCAUUCUUAUUUAUUAACAGGAGAUUUAUACAAUGCUAAAAAGAGCUUUUUACACCAGUUAGAACGACCCUUGAUAUUGACAUUAGAAAUAUUCACAUCAAAAGUCCCACUGCCCAUUUUUAUAUGCGAUGGGAAGUUCUAGUCUUGUGAAGCCGCUUGCUUCUUCGUACUAGCUUUGAUACGUGUCUCCUGUUUGUCUCCAAGCUCUUUUCAAGAGAUUCGAUUCGCCCUUGCAGGGUAAGUUUAUCAACUACAUCAGGGAUUACUGGUUGCAGCUUCUUGGGAAUUAUAUGGUUGAGGAUGUAGAAUGCUGAUGCAUGAUGAACUUUUUCUUGUCCCUUUAACCUUCUGGGCACAACGAUCUUUUCAGUGUGACAUCUACUCCAUGCGUUCUGAAUUAUGCGGAUCUCCUCCAAGUAGUUGUAGUCUGCACGGGUGAAAAAGAUUCGGAACAAUCCUGAUUUGAGCGGUGGCGGGAUUUCUUGAAGGACCCUGUACUGACGAGCCACCCUAUAUGGAUAAUAUGAGGUAGCUCCGGAGAGGCCCAGCAACGGGAUGGGGUUGUAGUAAUUAAGCGCAAAGCACACCUCUCCUGCAAUGAACCAUUUAGCUCGCCAUAGGAAUGUCUCAGGGACCGGGUUUUUUAGCAAGUUAAUCCACCGAGAAUACUCUUCAUUGGGAGAAUAUUUUUCCAAGGUUUGAAAUUUUUGUAAUGGGUGUUUAAACUCAUUGAUUUCAAAUAUUUGCAUGAGGUGCCCAAAUCCUUUGAUAUGGGAAAAGAACCACAUUUGUAAAAUUUCUGGAGCGGCCCUCAUGAUUUUUUCUUUUUGGUCCUUGAAACGAUUAAGGGAUAAAAGCGUUUCGGCUAAAACCAUGUUCACAUAUCCUGCUCCAAAAAUGACUUGAUUUAUCACCCAUGUGAUUGAAGGAUUUAUAGCAUUCUUUCGAUGUGGAAAGAUAAUAAAACCAAAGAAUGCUAAGAGGAAAAUCUUGGCUUUUUGGGCCAUUGACUGUUUUUCAAAGGAUUCAAUUAAAGAUGAUAGCGGAAAAGCAUUGUUGUUGGCUUGAACAAUUUCUCUUACCGAAUGAUUUUUUAGAAACCGUGAUAGAAUAACCACAGGGUCAAUGCCGAUUGGUGGUUUGGCAAGCUCGCUUCCCAGGGGCAUUCCUAUGGCAAGACUGUACUCUUCUAAAGUCGGAGUCAGUUCAAAUUUGCCGAACAUGAAGGUGGAUGCUUCAGGGCACCAGAAAUGUGGUAGUGCUUGCAUGACUCCAGAGUGGAUAUUGAUUUGGAGCAAUGGGAGGAGAUGACCGAUUCUUGCUUUGACGCACUCUUGGGCGAGCUAAUCUAACUGCUUCCACCAUCUGAGAAGCUCUUCUUUUGGGGUAGGAAUGAACUUGAUAUCAAUUCUUCCCAUCGCAUAUAAGAAAGGGAAAUACACAACCUGACCCUAUUUUGCCAUGAGCCAGACAGACUGAGUAAAAGUAAAGAAAUCACUUUGCUUUUAAAUAAAAUGGCAAGCACAAAGACAUACAGAUGGGAUGUGCGGCUCGAUUUCUAACUCAGAAGGCUUGAUGAAAUUAAAAGGGUAUCCGCCCGUCGCAGUCUCGCGUUAGCAGCAUACCCCCUUAACCUCGGCUAAGAAAUUCGGGGAAAAGAAAGGCAACCUCUACAUCGCAGUCUCGCGUUCGAGGUCGUAUCUUUCUUAACACCAUCCUAAAAUCCUAUGGCGGCCCAGGUCCGGCGGCCGGGUUGUGUGUGCCAUGUGUAGUGUUUAAAACAGUAAAGCAUGCACAACAGUUUAUAAUCACAAAACAAUUUAUUUUAACAGAAUAUAAAAAAAAAACUUUAAGAUAUUAUCUUGCAUAAAAGAAAAAAAACCAAGUCAGUAAAGCAUUUAAACAAAGAUAAAAUGGCCUAAGUCCUCAAAGUCCCCAGCGGAGUCGCCAAGCUGUCGCGACCUCUCUUUUUUCGGCGCCCGCGAUCGGGUACGAGCGCCUAAAGGAGGCUAAUGGCUCGGCUGAAUUUAUUAAGCCCGGACUCUCCCAAGUCCACCAAUUCACGACUUUAAUAGUCUGAGUUUUUAACCUGUAAAUUAAUUUUAGAACGGAGUCGCCACUAAUCGGUUUGGGGUGGGUCAAUUAGAAACCCAAGCGAAGUAUCGGGAGAAAUACUUGCUCCUGCACAACCAGAGAAAUUAGGAUCGGGGACUUGAUUACACUAGUUAAUCACUAAUGCCCUUUCGGUACCUAAUCUUGUUUAAACCCUAAGGCUUUUUGGAUUUUUGAGGGAUUUUCCAUGCAUUUUUUAGAGGAAAAGCAUUUUUAGUCUUUUUCUAAUUUUUUUGACAUAAAAAGCAUUUUUUUUGGAUCUUUUUUUGAAAAUAAAAAUCAUUUUUUUGGCUUUUUCUGACUUUUUUGGCUUUUUUGGGAAAAUAUGGACAUUUUUUAUUUUUUUGAUUUUUUGGAAAAUAAAUUAUUUUUUUAUUUUUUAUUAUUUUUUAAAAUAUUAUUUUAUAUUAAAAUAAUAUAAAAACUGACCCGGGUUGGAUCCGCGUUGCGGGCCCGACUCAGAUUUUUUCUUUUAAAAAAACUCAGCCCACACACACGGAUUUGGGCCUUUUUUAAAAAAGAUGCCCGGCCCACGGAGAAGCUGGCCUUGCGUAACCCUAGAGCGCCGGGUCACACGCCCGACCCGACAACCCGCUCCCCCUGUGAAACCCUACCCGACCCGGCUCCAUCACCCGACCCGACUUCCGCCGCCCCUUAAAUCGCGGAAACCCUACCCGGUUCCGAGACCCGGCUCCGACUCGGCGACCCGGAAAAUUGCAAACCCUAGGGUUUGCGAAUCCGCGGCGCCGAGGGGGGGAACCGAGGUGCUUGGCAGCGACGGCGACUACGGCGGUGACGACGAAGGCGACAACGGCGACGGCAACGGUAACGGUGACGCUUUUUACCUUUUCUCGAACGGGGACGGCGGCGGCAACAAUGCCAGAUCGAAGGCAGCAGCGGCGGAGGCGCUCGGCGGCCCGGCGGGAUUUUGCACAGCAACGGCGUCGGGGGGUGGGACCUUCUUCCGCCCCUCUUCGCGAAUCCAGAACCUUUGCACCUCCUCCAACCUCGCUUCUCUCUCUCUCCUUUACUCCUCCUUCCGGCGAGAUUCAGAUCCGAAGCCGUAAGCCCUCGGCCCCCCUGAAGUCUCUCAGUGGGGUGUCCAAGGGUCGCGACUUCGAUCUCCUCUCUCUCUCUCUCCCUUCGUGUGUCUCUCCGGCGGAACCUCUUCCUCUCAAGCUCACUUGCUCGCGGAUCGGGGUUCGCUUGCCGCCGGCCUCCCCCGAUGUCUCUCAGUGGGAAGUCGUCUAGCUUGCGACCCGAUCCUCUGCCCUCUUGGCUUGCUCUUUGAUUUCCCCCUUAAAGUCUCUCAAAGGGAAGAUCUCCGAGUUCGCCGUGUCCUUCGACGGAGGUGGUGCCCCGCUAUUUAUAGGCGAGGGGGCGGCCGGUCGACGGGGAUUCGACCGCCGGUCUUCGCACGCCGAACGGACACCCGCGGCCGAACCGGCAUCCCAUCCUCGCUCCUCCGACAAAGCGUGCUCGGCAUUGAAGGCGGCCAUUAAUGGCGCCUGAGAUCUGUCAUCUCCGGCCGACGUCGGCCUACCCUCCUCGGUCGUAGGUUGCCUUCGAGCGCGUGAGUUGCAGAGGCGUAGGAAGAAGAAGGGAGAAGAAGGAAGAAGAAGAGGAGAAGGGGGCCGGGCUUGGAGGAGAAGGAGGCUGGGCUUGGGCCCGCGAAAGGGAGAGAAAAAGGAGGGGGCUGGGCCUAGCUGCCAUUUUUUGUUUUCUUUUGUUUUUAUUGAUUUUUUUGUUGUUUUUGUUAUUUAUUAUUUAUUAUCUAGAAAAAGGAAAAAUAAAAGAAAUAAAGGCCUAAUUAAUAACCUAAUCAAAAUUUUAGGUGUCAACAGCGAUUCAAUCCAUUUUCUUCCAUAAAUGCCAGUGGGAACUCAUAAAAUCUGCCCCUUAAAUCUCUGAUUAAGUAAACUGACAUUUUUGGUGAGAGAAUCGCAUCCCACUGACCGUUGUUUUUUUUUCCCUGGUAAAUUAUUGUCCGACGAGGAGACAUGCGCGUACAAGAAGAAGAAGCCACGCCUUUCUUCUGAAUGUCUUUUUAACCAAAUACACGUACGGCCUCUCAAUCAUAGUUUCUCCACCACGUAUCAUCAAAGACAGGAACUAUGUCUUCUACUUCUACUUCACCUCAGUGGGAACAUGAUCUAUCCGUGAGUUCAGAAACGAUGACGCGAGGAAGACCUUCAUAUCGCACCUUUUCAAACGGCUGGAACUGGAGGGCAUUAACUUUUACAACGACCAACGCUGAAAAGUUAUCUCGAUGUUAAAAACUCAUACACAAAAUUGGACCCACUGAGAUGUUCUACUCGAAUCUUGUGCCUUGUUAUUCUAACUUGGUUAAUCAGUGGGGGUCUGUUUUUGGAGAUUUUACUACUCUGCAGUGAGGAGCUUCUCAUUGAAAUAUCUCCCUUUCAAUUUUUGCAGAUUAAGCUUGAUUACUCUGGAGAGAAUUUGACUUUGUAUUGUCGCGACCUCUUUUUUUCGGCGCCUGCAAUCAGGUACGGGCACCUAAGGAGGCUAAUGGCUUGGCUAAAAUUAGUUAUGCCUGGACUCUCCCAAGUCCACCAAUUCACGACUUUAUUAGUUUAAAUUUUUAACCUGUAAAUCAAUUUUAAAAUGGAGUUACCACUAAUCGAUUUGGGGUGGGUUGAUUAGAAACCCAAGCGAAGUAUCAGGAGAAAUACUUGCUCCUGCGCAACCAGAGAAAUUAGGAUUGGAGACUUGAUUACACUAGUUAAUCACUAAUGUCAUUUCGGUACCUAAUCUUGUUUAAACCCUGAGGUUUUUUGGAUGUUCGAGGGAUUUUUCAUGCAUUUUUGGGAGGAAAAACAUUUUUUGAGUAUUUUUCUAAUUUUUUUGACACAAAAGGGAUUUUUUUGGGAUUUUUUUUGGUAUUUUGGAAAAAUACAAGUCUUUUUGGCUUUUUCUGAAUUUUUUGGGCUUUUUCAUGAAUUUUUGGCUUUUUUUUUUUGGAUUUUUGGCAUUAUUUGGAAAAUAUGGAAUUUUUUUAUUUUUUUUAUUUUUUCGGAAAUUAAAAUAUUUUUUAAUAUUUUUCAAUAUUUUUUGGUUUUCGGGAAUUAAAAUAUUUUUAAAUAUUUUUGGAAAAUAAAUUAUAUUUUUUGAUUUUUUUUGGAAAAUAAAUUAUUUAUUUAAAAUAAAAAGGGCCGACCCGGGUCGGAUCCACAGGUUGGGUCCGACCCGGGCUGGCAACCCGAACGCGGACGGGCCCGACUUGGAUUUUUUUGUCUUUUUUUUUUUUUUUUUACUUUAUUGAAAUGGCGUCAUGGCUGGGUGUUCGGGGACACUCGGCCCGGCCCGACGACCCGCUCCGACAACCCGCUCCACGACCCGGCUUCCGUUGCCCCUUAAAUCGCGGAAUCCCUACCUGGUUCCCGAUCCGGGUCUGACCCGACAACCCGUGGUCGCGACCCGGAAAAUCGGGAACCCUAGGGUUUCCGAAUCGCAGCGCCAAGGAGGGAGAGGGCCGAGGCGCAACGGCGGGGACGACGGUGACGGCGGCGACGACAUCGAUGGCGGCGACGACAUCGAUGGCGGCGACGACAUCGAUGGCGGCGGUGGCGGGGCUACAGAGAGGGAAAGGACGACGGCGACAACAACUGCGACAGCCCGCUACCUGGCGACGGUGCGACGAGGGUGGCGACGGCAGUGGUACCCACGCGGACCUCCUCCGGCUUCUCUCUCUCUCUCUCUCUCUCUCUCUCUCUCUCUCUCUCUACAGCCAGAUCCGAGCCUCCACCGGCCAGAUCUGACCUCCUCGGACUCGCUCGCCAGCGGCCUCCCCCAAAGUCUCUCAGUGGGAGGUCAGCCGAGCUCGAGACCCGAUUUCUCUCUCGCUUACUCUUUGAUUCCUCCCCCGAAGUCUCUCAGUGGGAAAAUCUCGUAGCUCGCGAUGCCCUUUGAUGGAGGUUGUGCCCUCCUAUUUAUAGGCGUUGAUCUAAGAUGUUUAUUAUUAUUAUUAUUAUUAUUAUUAUUCUUAUUAUUAUUAUUAUUAUUAUAUAAAUAUUUAAUAUAUAACGUAUUGGAACGUGUCAAAAUUCUCUAUUUUUAAGAAAUGACGUGUCAAUGUGUUAUGUCGUGUCGUAUCGCAUGUUACGUGUCUGUAUCGGUGCUACAUAGAUUAAGGUCUUCCUCACGUCGUUUCUGAAACUCAUGAUUAGAUCAUGUUCCCACUGAGGUGAAGUAGAAGUAGAAGACAUAGUUCCUGUCUUGAUGAUACGUGGUGGAGAAACUAUGAUUGAGAGGCCGUACGUGUAUUUGGUUAAAAAGACAUUAAGAGGAAAGGCGUGGCUUCUUCUUCUUGUACGCGCAUGUCUCCUCGUCGGACAAUAAUUUACCAGGGAAAACAAAACAACGGUCGGUGGGAUGCGAUUCUCUCACCAAAAAUGUCAGUUUACUUAAUCAGAGAUUUAAGGGACAGAUUUUAUCGGUUCCCACUGGCAUUUAUGGAAGAAAAUGGAUUGAAUCGCAGGAUCGGAAUCUCUUUCUCUCCGAAGAUUCUACUUUCAACUUCGCAGUGUGCGGAACCUAGCAUAAAAUAUUUGCACGUAAAACGACAGGACUUUAACUAGAGCUACAAUAAGAUGUUGACACUUCACCGUUGACUUGCAAGCGCGCAUCAUCCGGAUCUGGAUGACAUUUCGACGCCUUUUGAUAUUUUAUUCUAGUGCACGAAUUUUAGAGUAGGAUUAAAUGCGGCUCACUGGGAUACUUUAUGGACUACAAUUAGUCAGGGAGCCAAUGGUCCAGGGAUAUAGUGCGAGAUGAAAAUUGUUAUUUUAAUGUUCUAUUAUAAUCAAACUGGCACGUGAGUGAAUGUUAAAUAUAGAGGCAAUUAAUAGUUACAGAAUUUGAAUACAAAAGGAAACAUUAGACUCUUUUGCCUCACCAAUCCAGGAGAGAAAGUAAUCCAGAGUAGUGACAUUUUCCUCCUGAAGUCACGGAAAAAUUUAUGUAGAUCUAAUUCGAUGGGAUUUGAUUUAUCUUAGGCAUUUGUUAGAUGAAACUUUUAUUUGAGGCCCGCGUGAGACCAAAUGGCUGGGGCCAGCUCUCCACGCAUUCGCCAAUAAGGAUCCGUCCUUGUAGGUGGAAAAUAGCUACACCAUGUUUGCACUCAUUUACAACCAACUUUUUCGUGCGCACUUCUUAGCAUGGGCUAAUCUAAGCAUAAAAACUGAGAUCAAAUAAACAAGACCAAAUGCCAGAUGUAGAUAAAGGGUGUUCAAGAACAUAACCGGAAUUAGCUAGGGCUUGAGGAUAUCAAAAAUUGAUGGGAUGCAACUCUUUUAUCAAAAUAAAUAAAUAAAUAAAUAAACUUAAUUAAAGACUUGUUCAUGAGUGGUUUUGGGAAAUCUGGAGUCUGACUUGGAUUCACUUGACAAAUUUUAUCAGUUCUCAUUGACUUACAAUUAUUAUUUUUUUUCCGUUUGGUCAGAUGAUAGAAUUAGUUAGGGAGCUAAUGGUCCUAGAACGGUGCGAGAUGCUCAAUUUGCUUUUUUAAUGUUCAAUUAAAACUAUACUAACAUUAAGCAGUAAACGUGAGUGUAUGGAAAUAUAGAUGCAAUAAAUGGUUAUGGAAUCUCAAAACAAAACAAACAUUACAUUAUCAUGCAUGUCUAACCCCAAAGAGAAAAUAACGCAAACAAGUGACAUUUUCUUCCCGAGAUCACAGUAAAAUUUGUCUAGAUCCAGAUUCUCGGACUUGAAUAUCUAUGGUUGAUUAGGUGACUCUUUUAUUAGGCCCACAUGAGAUCCAACAGCCGUGUCGAGCUCCCCAUGCAUUCACCAAUAAGGAUAUACAACCUUAUACAGAAUAUAGCUACACCAUAUAUGUGCUUAAUCACACUCAAGUUUUUCACAUGCAAUUCUUAGCAUAGCAUAGGCUACUCUAAGCAUAAAAUGCAAAGGUUAUGGAAUCUCAAAACAAAAGAAACAUUACAUUAUCAUGCACGUCUAACCCCAGUGAGAAUAACGCAAACAAGUCACAUUUUCUUCCCGAGAUCACAGCAAAAUUUGUCUAGAUCCAGAUUCAUCAGACUUGAAUAUCUAUGGUUUAUUAGGUGACUCUUUUAUUAGGCCCACAUGAGAUCCAACAGCCGUGUCGAGCUCCCCAUGCAUUCACCACUAAGGAUAUACAACCUUACAUAGAAUAUAGCUACACCAUAUAUAUGCUUAAUCACACUCAAGUUUUUCACAUGCAAUUCUUAGCAUAGCAUAGGCUACUCUAAGCAUAAAAUGCAAUAUUAAAAAAAAAAAAAAAACACCAAAUAACAUAUGUUGAUAAGGGGUGUUCAAGAACAGAAAUCGAAUUAGCUAGGGCAUGAGGAUAUCGCAAACAAAACCGAGGAGUACUCAACAUACACCGGCAUGUUCUAAGAAUGAUGGACGAUGUACCCUUGAGCAAACGCAUGACAUGUAAAAGCUCAGGGACACAUGGCCAGCUCUCCAUAAUAGUGUCUUACAUGCACACUGAGCGAAGUGAGGAGGCUUCGAGACCUUCCAUGAAAUCCGACAAUAUUUCAACCGGUUGAAGGAAAUGAAGAGUACUUCCCUUUCUCGAUCCCGAAUGGUCCUUCAGCUCUUUUGUUGCUCUGAGAUGUGAGGGAGCAAAUCACAACAUGUCCAGAAUCAUCUCUUAUGUAACCAGAAUACGAAGUCAAAUUCUCUCCAGGGUAAUCGAGCUUAAUCUGCAAAAAUUGAAAGGGAGAUAUUUCAAUGAGAAGCUCCUCACUGUAGAGUAGUAAAAUAUCCAGAAACAGACCCCCACUGAUUAACCAAGUUAGAAUAACAAGACACAAGAUCCCAGUAGAACAUUUCAGUGGGUCCAAUUUUGUGUAUGAGUUUUUAACAUCGAGAUAACUUUUCAGCGUUGGUCGUUGUAAAAGUUAAUGCCCUCCAGUUCCAGCCGUUUGAAAAGGUGCGAUAUGAAGGUCUUCCUCGCGUCAUCGUUUCUGAACUCACGGAUAGAUCAUGUUCCCACUGAGGUGAAGUAGAAGUAGAAGACAUAGUUCCUGUCUUGAUGAUACGUGGUGGAGAAACUAUGAUUGAGAGGCCGUACGUGUAUUUGGUUAAAAAGACAUUAAGAGGAAAGGCGUGGCUUCUUCUUCUUGUACGCGCAUGUCUCCUCGUCGGACAAUAAUUUACCAGGGAAAAAAAACAACGGUCGGUGGGAUGCGAUUCUCUCACCAAAAAUGUCAGUUUAGUUAAUCAGAGAUUUAAGGGACAGAUUUUAUCGGUUCCCACUGGCAUUUAUGGAAGAAAAUGGAUUGAAUCGCCGGAUCGGAAUCUCUUUCUCUCCGAAGUAGACUUUCUACUUCGUAGCGUGCGGAACCUAGCAUAAAAUAUUUGCACGUAAAACGACAGCACUUUAACUAGAGCUGCAAUACGAUAUUGACACUCCACCGUUGACUUGCAAGAGCGCAUCAUCCGGAUCUGGUGGACAUUUCGACGCCUUUUGAUAUUUCUUUCUAGUGUACGAAUUUCAGAAUAGGAUUAAAUGCGGCUCACUGGGAUUCUUUAUGGACUACAAUUAGUCAAGGAGCCAAUGGUCCAGGGAUAUAGUGCGAGAUGAAAAUUGUUAUUUUAAUGUUCUAUUAUAAUCAGAUUGGCACGUGAGUGAAUGUUAAAUAUAGAGGUAAUUAGGGUGCGUUUGGUUCAGUAUUUUGAAAACCCAUUGGAAAAAUGCAAAGCAGUUUAGCUUAAAGGAUUUUAGGUAAAUGCAAAGGCCGUUUGGUAAACUAUGCUUUGAGAAACAACUUUGAGAGAAAUGCCGUUUGGUAAAAAACAUAUUUGAAAAGCUCUUUGGUGAUUAAUAUUAAUUUUUUAAUUUUAUUUGUUUAAAAUUGAAAAGAACAAUGUAUGCUUCUUUUUAAAUAUAAAUUUGACAAUAAUACCAAAAAAAAUUGAAUACAUAUAUAAUUUUUUUUUAAAAAGCCCAAACCCUUCAUCGGAAUUUUUAAAUUUUUAUUUGCUUAAAAUUGAAAAAAAAAAAUGAUGUAUGCAACAUUUUAAAUAUAAAUUUGAAACUAAUGCUAAAAAAUCAAAUAUAUAUAUAUAUAUAUAUAUUUUAAAAAGACCAAACCCUUCAUCAAAUUUUUUAAAUUUUUAAUUGUUUAAAAUUGAAAAAAAUAAUGUAUGUGAUUUUUUAAAUAUAAAUUUGAAAAUAAUGCUAAGAAAUCAAAUAAAUAUAUAUAAUUUUUUUAAAAAAAAAAGACCAAACCCUUCGUCGGAAUUUUUUAAUUUUUAUUUGUUAAAAUUGAAAAAAAAUAAUGUAUGCAACUUUUUAAAUAUAAAUUUUGACAAAAUACUAAAAAAAAUCAAAUAUAUAAAUAUUUUUUUAAAAAGACCAAAAUAUAUUUAAUUUUUUGAGCAUUUAUAUAUAUUUGAUUUUUUAGCAUUAUUUUGGCAUUUAAAAAAAUAAUGAUGAGGGCAAAAUAAGAAAUUUGAAGAAUGAGUGAGGAUAGUUUUGGAAAAAAAAACUAAGUUUUAGCAUUUGGCUAAAUGUUGAAAACUCAAAACUAAUCCCUACUAGCAUUGGGCUUUCAACAUUUCCAAUGCUGACUUUCACUUGAAAGCUGCUUCAAAAUUGUUGCCAAAUAGUCCAGCAUUUUUCCAAUGAGCUUUGGAAGCUGAAAGCGCACUGGGAAUGCUGAACUAAACGCAUCCUUAAUAGUUACAACAUUUGUACACACAAGGAAACAUUAGAUUCUUAUGCUUGUCCAAUCCAGGAGAGAAAAUUAUCCAAAGUAGUCACAUUUUCCUCCUGAAGUCACGGAAAAAUUUAUCUAGAUCUGAUUCGAUGGGGUUUGAUUUAUCUUAGGCAUUUGAUAGAUGAAACUUUUAUUUGGGGUCCACGUGAGACCCAAUGUUUAGGGCCAGCUCCCCACGCAUUUGCCAAUAAGGAUCCGUCCUUGAAGGUGGAAAAUAGCUACACCAUAUUUGCACUCAUUUACAACCAACUUUUUCGUGCACACUUCUUAGCAUAGGCUAAUCUAAGCAUAAAAACUGAGAUCAAAUAAAAAAGACCAAGUGCCAGAGGUAGAUAAAGGGUGUUCAAGAACAUAAGUGGAAUUAGCUAGGGCUUAGAGGAUAUCAGAAGCCAAACCGAGGGUGCUCUACAUGUGACAACUACUUCCCCAGAAUUAUGAGGCAAUGUGGCAAAGAAGGUCAAGUGAUGUGGCAAUGACCAGUUACAUAUACCAGUAUGUUCUAAGAACGAUAAAAGACGUACACUUGGAAGCACGUGCACCUGCAAAGUAUGCACGACAUUCAAAGACGGGGACACGCAUGGUUGGCUCUCAAUAAUAGUGUCCUAUAUGCGCACAACCUUCCAUGAAAUCCAACGAAAUUUCCACCAGUUGAAGGAAAUAAAAAGCACUCACCUUUCUCCAUGCUGAAUGGUCCACAAGUUCUUUGGUUGCUCUAAAAUGUGAGGCUGCGAAAAACAACGAUAAAAUUUUUCUCUUAUAUAACCAGAAUAUGUAGUCAAAUACUGUGGGGUAAUCAAAUUUAAUCAGUAAAAUUGAAAGGGAGACAUUUUAAUCACAAGCACUUCACCGUGGAGUUGGAAAAAUCUCUUAACUGAGUCAGACUAAUAAGGCACAAGACUACAACAGAACAGUUCAGUGCAUGUUGGAGAUAUGGGAGGAUCAAUCAUGGAUUAUAGUUGAUCCAAGUAUCAUUUUAAAAUUAGAUUUGAUUUUGUAUAUUAAUCUUGAUUCUGUCUUUGGCGGUACAUCCUUUUGUAUUAUAAAUAGCAGAACAUACAGAAUUCAUUCAAUUCAGAAUACAAUAAAUAGUACUUUCCCAAAUCUGUUUCUUCUCUUCCAUUUUGUGACAUGGUAUCAAAGCCUUGUUCAUAACCUAGCUUUUGCAACCUUCACCAAUUGCCCCCGGAGCUCAAUCUUCUAUCCUUAUUAUUGUAGGAAAACUAUAACCUGCAACACAAAAUUAACACUUCAGUGUGGGAAUUAAUGUGAGAGCAAAUCAACACAAAACCAAAUUAUCUUCUUACCUAUACCUCCUUACCGAUACCAUGGAAGAGAAUCAAGCCCCAGAAAUUACUGAAGAGAUGUCCCAACACCCAUCAUGUUCUAUUGAAGAUGUGGUAAAUCAAAGUUCUAUGGCCCAGACACAAUCCAUCUUGUGGAUCCCUAUUUAGGUCCAGCCAAACUAGGAUAGGGCAUUCUGAGCCCGUCCAUCUAGUGGCUACCUAUCCAAGGCCCAUCAAAUCCAUGGCUAUAUGGGAUGGCCCAAAUGAACCCAUGAUGAGAAAAAUCAAUCCCAAGAGAGCUUGCUAGCCACUAAUGGGGCAAGCCCAACCCUAAGACCCAAAUUAGUGCAUCCAGGUCAAUCAUGCAAAUCGGGCAUCAAGUUUGAGAACUAAUCCCUAACCAAUUUAAUUCCCACUGGAGGAAGUCGACUGGAGCCCGGCAAUCCCUUGUAUACUUUGACAGCCAAUGGAUUGGAGCUCCGCCUCAUCAACCAACAACUCUUCGGUCCAGAGAACUACUCAAUGUGGUCUCAAGAGCUUCGGUGAGCCUUGAUGAAAAAAGCCAAUGAUGGUUUCUUUGAUAGAACUGUUCACAUUCCAACCAACGAUCGGUUGGCUCGACAUUGGAGGAAGUGUAAUUAGUUAGUCCGAACAUGGAUCAAAAACUGUGUCGCCCCAAAGGUUGUGGCUAGACUCCCUUCAAUGGCGGAUUCAAAAAUUAUGGGGACAACAUUAAACAAAUGUAUGGUAAGCUCGAUCCGACAAAUAUUUUGUGCACUAACCCAGGCUUUAUCUGAACUAAAACAGGGAAAUAUGUUGAUCAUGGCUUGUUUCAAUAAACUAUUGGCCCUCUAGAAUGAACUUGAAGUAGUGGAAGAGAAGCUUGAGGGACUCAAGCAAACAUUCAACAGUAUCGCAAGAUGAAGGAAUGAGAGAAGGUGAUCCAAUUUCUAAUGAUUCUAAAUAACUCGUAUUUACUUUUUAGAACCCAUUGGUGAUGCAACCCAUGCUCUCGCUUGUUCGGAUCUAUCAAUUGGCUAUAGCGUAUGGCAUCAACAGAAAACAUCAAGACUGGAGAAAGCAUCCUCCUUGCCACUCAAACGAAACACUAGCAGAGAAGAAUAAGCAGUCGAGGAAGUGAAGGAUGGAAGAAAGCUGUGCUACAAUUUCUAAAUAGGAGAUGAAGGCAAGAACAAAUGGCCAGGAAUCAAGAGGGAGAUUGGACUACCUUGGUUUCACCCAUCCAAUGAAAUUCUGACGACUCACAUUCCAUCUAUUCCCCUGAUGGAUUCAAUGGCCCGUAUGAAGCCACCAAAUCCAAUGGCUAUUCAUUUGUCACGUCACUACAAAAAGGGAAUUCAUACAAAGGAAAAGGUAAAAUGUAUUGUGAUUGUUGCAAACAUCCAAAUCAUACAGUGGAUACCUACUGGAAAUUGCAUGGAAAGCUAGGUGACAAAGGAAGAAGGGGGAGAGAAUUUUCUGCUAAUCAAGUCGAUGGGUUUAAUGAUCAACCAAUCACCCAUGAUCAAUAUCAGCAACUCAUGAAUGCCUUAAAGCAACUGGAUAUCUUAGACAAGAAGGGAAGCUUUUUAGGUAUAUCCUAAUGCUUCAAUUUCAUUUUUGAUGAUGUAUGGAUAAUUAAGUCAAAUGCUAGUGACCGCAUUAUCUGUGAUGAAAGUCUCUUUUCCCAUGCUGAAGAAAACCUUGGCUUCAUAUUAUUUGUGCGUCUCCCAAAUGGAAAUAUCACCUAUGUCACAAAAAUAGGGACAGUGAAUUUUACUCCUUCCAUUACCCUCCAAAACGUGCUUUAUGUGCUUCAAUCCAAAUGUAAUCUCAUGUUUGUGUCUAAGGCUUGUGAGGACAAUUCCUAUCCCAUUAAUGGGCUUGGAUAGACUUUCUAACGGGUUACAUUUUUUGACCAGCUUUCCAAAAAUUUUUUACUAUUGUAUUUCCACAAAUAAAAAUAUUGUAUAAUGCUACUACCAAUUAUAAAAUUAUUCUUUCCCAUUAGUGUUUGGGUCUUGAUGCCUCUAUUCCACAUUCUCAGUGCCAUAUUUUUUCUUUGAUAAAUCAAACCCUUGCACCAUUUUCUAUAAGCAAAACUCUUACUUCAAAUAUUUUCUCUUUGAUAUAUAUAUAUAUAGACAUUUUGGGGUCUUAUCACAUUCCACAUAGUGAUGGCUCCCGAUAUUUUUUUAUAGACAAUCAUUCUUGUGCUAAUUUCUUCACCUUGUCAAAAAAUAAAUUUGGUAAAUCUGUUCAACAUAUUCGAACAGAUAAUGAAAAAUAAUUAUUUAGUGGUGAAUGCAAACUUCUCCUCUCUUCUCAUGGAAUUCUGCAUGAAAGUAUGUGCACCUAUACACCACAACAAAAUGGAAUUGUUGAACGUAAACACCAUCAUCUUCUAGAAGUUGCAUGUACUCUUAAGUUUCAAGCAUCCAUUCUUGAGAUUUUCCUGGGAGAUUAUGUGGUCACAACAACUUACCUGAUCAAUCGCAUGCCGACUCGAGUUUUGGACAAAAGAAUUCCUUUUGAGAUACUAUUCAAAAAGAAGCCUAAGAUUGAUUAUCUGAAAGUUUUUGGUUGCCUAUGCUACAUUACUACUUUGGGCCCUUAAGAGAAAUUAAGUCCCAGAGUUCGACGAUGUGUUUUCAUGGGUACCCAAAACUCUAGAAGGAUUAUCGUGUUUUUGAGCCAUCAAUAGGUAAUUUCUUUAAAAGCAGAGACAUUGUUUUCCAUGAAGAUAUAUUUCCAUUUUAGGAUGAAUUAUCUUCAAACGAGCAAUCUAACUUGAGACCCAGUUUUGGUAAAUUCCUUUCCGAAGAAGAUUUAUCUCAUGAUCCUUCUACAAUUAUGACACCUUCAGAUGUUCUGGCCCUUUCACCAAUAGUAGAAUAGACACCGGGUUCUUCUACAAUCUCAGAGUAUGUGGCCGAAGAGCAUACAUCACCGAUUGUAGAGAGCUCCUCCACUACAUCUUCAGGGACAUCUUCCGCAAAACUACCAUCAAGGACAUCUUCUUCAACAUCCUCUCAAAUAUCACAGCCUUCUUCCACAUUUGAGUAUAUUCCCCUUGGAUGAUCAGGAUGAGCCAUUCGACUACCUACCUGGACAAAAGACUACAUUUGUGGCACCAUCAAUUCAUCAAGUACUUUAUACCCAAUAUCUUCUUAUGUUUCACUUAGUUGACCAUCCAAGGAUCAUAUGUGCUACACUACUAUAUUUUUGAAGAAAAAGAGCCUUCUAGUUAUAAUAAGGCAGUUCGCGAUCCUUGAUGGCAGAAGGCCGUGGAAGCAAAGUUGCAUGCACUGAUUGAUAAUCUGACUUGGGAUAUAGUACCUUUACCCUCUCAUCAUAAACCCACUGGUUGUAAAUAGGUCUAUAAAAUCAAGUACAAGGCUUAUAGAACUGUUGAAAGAUACAAGGCUCAUUUAAUGGCUAAAGUAUUCACAAAAUGUGAAGCAUUUGAUUACCAUGAAACAUUCUCUCUAGUCGCAAAAGAGGUCAUCGUCCUCUCCUUUGUAUCUAUUGUUGCAUUUCGGGAUUGAGAAUUACAUCAAAUGAAUGUCUGCAAUGCCUUUCUUCAUGGUGAUUUGGAUGGGGAAAUAUAUAUGGACCUUCCACAGGGUUUACGGCGAUCGGGGGAGAAUAGAGUUAUUGUCUCCGUAAAUCCCUUUAUGGUCUCAAGCAAGCUUCUCGUCGAUGGUAUGUCAAGUUCACUACAACACUUAUAGCUAUUGGCUUCAAGCAGUCCAAACAUGGUUAUGCCCUCUUCUCAUGGACUAAAGGUACAUUAUCAAUUUACCUAAUGAUAUAUAUUGAUGGUAUACUAUUUAUGAGAAACGAUGAAUUGGCCAUCCAAAGUUUCCAAGAGUACUUAUACUCUACUUUUCAUAUGAAAGAUUGGGGGCCUCCCGAGUAUUUUAUUGGCAUUAAGAUUUCUCAUUCAAAACUAGGAAUUUCCAUCAAUCAAUGGAAAUUCAUUCUGGAAAUCAUAUCAUAGGUAGGAUUAUCUAGAUGCAAGUCAGCCGGUAUCUCUAUUAAGCAAAAUAUUAAGUUAACUACAGCUGAAUAUGAUGCUAGAUCCUUUGUUGAAAUCGAUGACCCAUUGCUUGAAGAUCCAUCCAGUUAUCAAAGGCUCAUAAGGAAACUCAUAUCUCACUAUGACAAGACCUGACAUAUGUUAUGCAAUGCAGACAUUCAGCCAAUUCAUGCAAAAACCCAAGGUGCCUCACAUGAAUGCAACCUUAAAGAUUGUGAAAUAUUUGAAAAAAUGUCCAAGGCUUAGGAUACUUCUUUCUCUAAAUUGCAACUUGGAUGUGACAACUUAUUGUAAUACAGACUAUACCACAUGCCCCAUGAGUUAAAGAUCGAUCACUGGUUUUUGUUUUAAGUUUGGAAAGUCCUAGCUUUCAUGGAAAAUGAAGAAACAAUCAACCAUAUCAUUGUCAUCAGCUGAGGAAGAGUAUAGUGCUAUGGUCAAGAUUGUUUAUGAAAUAGUUUGGCUACGAUGCCUACUUUUGGAUCUUGGUGUACAAGUUAAAGGGCCAACAAAUCUAUUUUGCAAUAAUGAUGCGGCACUCAAACUUGCAGUAAAUCUCAUUGUUUAUGAGAGAAUGAAACAUAUGGAAGUGGAUUGUCACUUUACCCAAGAUAAGAUCCAAGAAAGAGUUAUCAAGACAAGUGGGAUUAGAAUCAUGGAAUAACCUACUGACAUCUUUACCAAGUCGCUAUGUCAAAGAUGGCAUGCAUAUCUCCUGACAAGCUAGGUGUCUUGGAUAUAUAUUAGCCACCAGCUUAAGGGGUAAUGAUGGAGAUAUACAAGGAUCAAUCAUAGAUUAUAAUUGAUCCAAGAAUCAUUUUAGAAUUAGAUUUGAUUUUGUAUAUCAGUCUUGAUUUUUUCUUUAGUGGUUCAUCCUUUUGUAUUAUGAAUAGCAUAACAUACUAGUAUAAAAUUCAUUAAAUUCAGAACACAAUAUAUAGUAUUUUCCCAAAUCUCUCUUCUAUUCCAUUUUGUGACAGUGCAUUAAGCAAUCCAAUCUUGUGCAUGGAUUUUGAACAUUGAGACAACCUUGUUGUACAAAUGAACUCUAAGUUGCCACAUUACCAGAUAGUUUGAUAUUAAACCAAAUGUUGUCAAUUAAUGUUUGCUAAAAAUUAAAAAUGAUGCCAUAGCAUAGAAGACUGGGAUGGCAAAACUCAAAUCAAAAGCAAUUAUAAUGCAUCAUCAAAAAAGGAAACAAAAUCCUUAUUUAGUAUUUUCUAGAAACCAAAAUCUUUCUCAUCAAAUUUGUCAAUUUUGACAUUUCAUUAUGCUAUCCCAUUAAUUCACUUAUUCUCAAUCAAGCUUGACUUUGAUAUUAAUUGUUGUAGGAAAAAAUGCACAUAUAGAAUAAGAAAAUAAAUUAGACGUUAGAUUUAUGUGGUUCAAUUGGUGUAACUUACACCCAUAAGGAAAGCAACAAAGAGUAAGGAAAAUCAAGUAAGUUGCAGCAUGUAUGCUAUCCCAUAGUAGGCAAACCUCAUGUUUAAACCCUUCAAGGACUGUCUUUUAGCUGUAAACUACUUAGAGAUUUAGUUCAAAGUAUAGAGACGCUUGAGGAUGCUAGGAUGUUAACAUAUCUAACCAGCUAAGCUACAUUUUUUAGUGGAUCUUAUCAAGUUGGAGAAGAUGAGCUGUUUAAAGAAAUAUGAUAGAAUUUUCAUAAACACACGCCUUAAUUCAGGGGACUCUGCCCAAAACAUUACAUCCUCUUACCUUUUAUAGGCUCUAGGAGGUUGCAUAAAACAAAGACUAUACUCACUAGUCUUGAUAAAAUCACGUGAUAUUUUGGAAAUGACAAUUACUCAAGUCACUCAAAUACUCUUAAUGCUUUUCAGCCCCUAAUUACAUUUAAUAACUUAGAAGUAUUUAGCCCACACAAUUUCUCAUACCACAAGAUCUAUGGGCUUGACCCUUUGAAUACUUUAGAAUGUUAUUCACAAAUAAGUCUCAUGUUGGAUGUUCUUCCCAAAAUGACUCACUUUUUAUAUGGUAAAAAAUUUGUAUCCAAAAUAGAAAAGCUUUUCCCAAGAAACUUACUCAAGCUAGGAACCCCAUUCCAAUUAGGAAACCUAUUUAAAUUAGAAAAAAAUCUUUUUUGAGUUCAAACUCAAGAUAUAUUGUAAUAUUAAAGGUACGUCUAUUUCAUGGAAAAUGAAUGAUUCAGAAAAUAUUUUUUGGAAAAUAAUCACUUAUAUCACUUAUAAAAAUAAAUGAGUGGAAAAAUAUUUUAUCACCCACAAAAAUAAUUAGGUAUAGGUUAUUAUCGAUGAUGAAAACAUUUAUCAUUAACUAAUUUUUUCUAAAUGAUAUAAACAAUCAUUGUUUGAAAAAUAUUUUCCAAGUCAUUCAUUUCAUACAAAACGAACAAACCCUAAAUGUACCAAAAAGAGCAUGCAUGUUCAAAAUAUACACGACAUGCACAAACGCAAGGACCCAUGGUCGGCUCUCAAUAAUAGUGUCCUAUAUGUGUCCCAAGCAAAUCGGGAUUGGUUUUGGACCUUUGAUGAAAUCCGUCAAUCUUCCCAUCUCUGAAACUCACAAAUACAUCUAGUUUCCAUUGAUGAGAAAAAAAAAAAAAACAUGGUUUUUGUCUUGUUGAUAUGUGGUGUACACACUUUCAUUGAAAGGCCGUAUGUGUAUUUGGUUAAAAAGACAUUGAGAGGAAAGCCAGGCCUCUUCUUCUCGAACGUGCGUCUCUUUCUCGUACAGUAAUUUAAAAGGGAAAAAGAAAUGAUUGGUGGAAUGCAAUUCUUUCACGAAAUAUGUCAGUUAAUCAGAGACUUCUCCAUGAUUGGUUUUACUUUUUGGGGAUCUGGAUUGCGCAACUUGGAAUUAUUUGAGAAAAUUUGUCAGUUCCCACUGGCAUUUGUUAAAAAAUGGAUUGAAUGGCAGAAGCAGAACGUCUUUCUCUCCGAAGAUUCUGCGGUCGACCUCGUAGCUNNNNNNNNNNNNNNNNNNNNNNNNNNNNNNNNNNNNNNNNNNNNNNNNNNNNNNNNNNNNNNNNNNNNNNNNNNNNNNNNNNNNNNNNNNNNNNNNNNNNNNNNNNNNNNNNNNNNNNNNNNNNNNNNNNNNNNNNNNNNNNNNNNNNNNNNNNNNNNNNNNNNNNNNNNNNNNNNNNNNNNNNNNNNNNNNNNNNNNNNNNNNNNNNNNNNNNNNNNNNNNNNNNNNNNNNNNNNNNNNNNNNNNNNNNNNNNNNNNNNNNNNNNNNNNNNNNNNNNNNNNNNNNNNNNNNNNNNNNNNNNNNNNNNNNNNNNNNNNNNNNNNNNNNNNNNNNNNNNNNNNNNNNNNNNNNNNNNNNNNNNNNNNNNNNNNNNNNNNNNNNNNNNNNNNNNNNNNNNNNNNNNNNNNNNNNNNNNNNNNNNNNNNNNNNNNNNNNNNNNNNNNNNNNNNNNNNNNNNNNNNNNNNNNNNNNNNNNNNNNNNNNNNNNNNNNNNNNNNNNNNNNNNNNNNNNNNNNNNNNNNNNNNNNNNNNNNNNNNNNNNNNNNNNNNNNNNNNNNNNNNNNNNNNNNNNNNNNNNNNNNNNNNNNNNNNNNNNNNNNNNNNNNNNNNNNNNNNNNNNNNNNNNNNNNNNNNNNNNNNNNNNNNNNNNNNNNNNNNNNNNNNNNNNNNNNNNNNNNNNNNNNNNNNNNNNNNNNNNNNNNNNNNNNNNNNNNNNNNNNNNNNNNNNNNNNNNNNNNNNNNNNNNNNNNNNNNNNNNNNNNNNNNNNNNNNNNNNNNNNNNNNNNNNNNNNNNNNNNNNNNNNNNNNNNNNNNNNNNNNNNNNNNNNNNNNNNNNNNNNNNNNNNNNNNNNNNNNNNNNNNNNNNNNNNNNNNNNNNNNNNNNNNNNNNNNNNNNNNNNNNNNNNNNNNNNNNNNNNNNNNNNNNNNNNNNNNNNNNNNNNNNNNNNNNNNNNNNNNNNNNNNNNNNNNNNNNNNNNNNNNNNNNNNNNNNNNNNNNNNNNNNNNNNNNNNNNNNNNNNNNNNNNNNNNNNNNNNNNNNNNNNNNNNNNNNNNNNNNNNNNNNNNNNNNNNNNNNNNNNNNNNNNNNNNNNNNNNNNNNNNNNNNNNNNNNNNNNNNNNNNNNNNNNNNNNNNNNNNNNNNNNNNNNNNNNNNNNNNNNNNNNNNNNNNNNNNNNNNNNNNNNNNNNNNNNNNNNNNNNNNNNNNNNNNNNNNNNNNNNNNNNNNNNNNNNNNNNNNNNNNNNNNNNNNNNNNNNNNNNNNNNNNNNNNNNNNNNNNNNNNNNNNNNNNNNNNNNNNNNNNNNNNNNNNNNNNNNNNNNNNNNNNNNNNNNNNNNNNNNNNNNNNNNNNNNNNNNNNNNNNNNNNNNNNNNNNNNNNNNNNNNNNNNNNNNNNNNNNNNNNNNNNNNNNNNNNNNNNNNNNNNNNNNNNNNNNNNNNNNNNNNNNNNNNNNNNNNNNNNNNNNNNNNNNNNNNNNNNNNNNNNNNNNNNNNNNNNNNNNNNNNNNNNNNNNNNNNNNNNNNNNNNNNNNNNNNNNNNNNNNNNNNNNNNNNNNNNNNNNNNNNNNNNNNNNNNNNNNNNNNNNNNNNNNNNNNNNNNNNNNNNNNNNNNNNNNNNNNNNNNNNNNNNNNNNNNNNNNNNNNNNNNNNNNNNNNNNNNNNNNNNNNNNNNNNNNNNNNNNNNNNNNNNNNNNNNNNNNNNNNNNNNNNNNNNNNNNNNNNNNNNNNNNNNNNNNNNNNUCUCUUUAGACACGAUCUUCUACUUUUUAAAGCCCAUACCAACAAAUCCGUGGGUCUCUUAAUAGGCGUAGCUCAUGACGGGAUCUUAAAGCGGCAAAGCGCUAUGAUGCAAAUUUUCAUCCCUUUCCCAUUCAGAAAUCUCUGGGGCGAAUAUCCUCGAGGUGUAAACUCAUCUCGUCCCCCCCCCCCCCCCCCCCCCAAAAAAAAAAAAAAAAAAAAUAAAACUAGCGGCAUGCAGAACCUAAAGUAAAAUAUAUGCACGUAAAUUGACAGCACUCAAACUGGAGCUACAAAACGAUGUUGACGUUCACCAGUGACUUCCAAAAAUGCAUCAUCCGAGUUUGGUGGACAUUUCCAUGACUUUUAAUGUCUUUCUAAUUGUUCUUUUUCGGGCGAAUUUGUUAGUGGAAUUGAAUGCGGGUCAUCGGAUUCUUCAAGACUAUAAUUAAUUGGGGAGCUAAUGGUCUAGGGACUCCAUGUGAGAUGCUCAAAUUGUUUGUGAAUAUUCCAUUACAACCAUGAUCUAAGUUCCAGCUAAUCUCAAGCUAGAUGGUCGUGGUCAGUGAAUCAAAUUUUAAGGUUAUGUUUUGUCAUUCGGACUUUUAAACGGAAUAUAACUGGACAUGAUAGGAUAUAAAAUCCAUGAAUUUUGCUAUAUCUUAUUUAUUGUUUGAUUUUUAUAGUAAUAAAGUUGGAUAUAUUUACAUUAUACUUUAAUUAUGAAUGCAAAGACUCCAAGUAUUGAACUUACAUGGUAUUUCAAAAACAUCCCUUCCACCUUAUUUUUCUCGCUUGACUGGUCUUAAGGCAAUCUAGUUGAAUUCUUGCACAUGUUUAACGGAACUCCCUUCAAGUUUGGAGGCAACAAUACAUCUAGAGGUGCUAGACAUUUGACGCUCCAAAAUCGUCUCUAUAUCUAUUCAAAUUGGAUGUUAUUAACGCAAAUGAAUUGUUUAUGCAUGUCUUUGCGAAAUUUUGACAUUGGAAACCCAAUCUCCAAGGUGAUUCCAAGCAUUUCAUUAUUGAAGAACUCUAGAUUGAAAAACUUUGAGGUCUAAUUAGGUCGCGAGGAUCAUCAUGAAGGAGGUUUCUACCUUGAGGAUGUUGAGUUUGCUGAUAUUUUCCUUUCCUAAGAUGGAGUAUCUUGAAAUCUUAGAGCUAGACAAGCCAUAUGUGGAAUGACCAAUUAAUAUUCAAGAUAACCACGAAUAUGUACUUUAAUCAAACUGCAAAUACUAAUUGAAAAUCGGAAUGUGAAGCAUUCAUCCUUCUAUAGACACCUUGAUCUAACGAAGAUAUCAAGGCACUCUACCCUAAAAUAGCAAAAUGUUCCUCCACGACGAUCCUCGCAACGUGAUCAGACCUAUUUGGGUCAACAUUAAUGAUGAAUUCUUCUAAUAGUAAAUGGCUUUAAAUCACCUUGGAGAUUUGGCUUUCAAUACCAACUCGAAAUGACAUGCGUAAAAAUCUCGAUAGCGUUAAAUAUUCAACUUGAAUAGGUAAAGAGAUGCUUUUGGUGAGUCAAAUGUCUAGCACCUCUAGUUGCACCAAUGCCUCGAGGCUUAAAAGGGAGUUCUGUUAAUCAUAUGCAAGAAUUCAAGUAAAGCACCCUAGAUUACUCAAGCAAGAAAAAGAAAAUAGAAGAGAUGUGAUUGCGAUACCUUGUAAGUCCAAGACUUGAAUUUUUUGGAUAGACAAGGAAAAGAUAUAUGAAAUGGUCAUCAAAUUAUAUUUUCUUUGCAGGAGUAGUCGAAAGAGUUCUGCAAUUUGGUGUUGCCAGCAGAUCGCACAAAUCAUUACGCACCAAAGAAAUUCAACUUGCAGAUGCGUAUGCUUCUUCCUUUGGAGCUUCCUCUGGCCCCUCACACGCUUUUGCCAAGAACUUAUAAUCUAAGCCUCGUGAUGAAAUUUUAAGGACCAUAUUACAAAGCGCUUUGCUCAUUUGGACAUGUUUUUUCAUCAUACUUUUUUCUAACAAAGUUAUAUUAAUAAGAUCAUGCAAUAUAUUGUGUGUUUUUUUAUUUAUUAUUAUCACGUACACUCCAAACUCAUUAGAAAUCUCUCUCCCUCCAAUGUUCUAUCAAAUAAUCCUCAAAUUUGUCACAGCUUUUAGGAAACAAUGCUCCAUACAGAUAGCACACCAUCUUCCCCAAUUAAAUCCUAAUAACAAAAUUUCAAAAAUUCGAGCAAUUCAUCCAUGUUAAUGAUAUUGAUAUAGGCCAUCUCCAAAAGCUCCUCAAUUCACCUCUCCAGAGUGUGAAUAAUGUCCUUCUUUCUAAAAGUACUCAACAUGUAUCAAUUAACAAUGGUAAAAUAGCGCACACUACAACCACUAGUUGUACUACUAGUAUAAUGUUUGAAGUUUUCAUACUUGGACCGACUUUUUUGUCAAACAUUUUAUAUGCAUUAGUAACAGAUAAAUGUUUCAUAUUGACAAGCUUAUUGCCAUCCACGUCAUAACACAAAUCACGAAAUCUACUAGUAAGUGCCAGUUUGUUGUCCUUGUCAUUGUUAGGAAUACUAUCUCAUGUAAAGAUAAAAAAAUCCCAAACUUAAUUAAGGACAAGUAAACCUCAACCCUCCCUAUUAAUUUGAUAUAAAUCGGGCAAUUUCAAUGGCACUUUUGGGAAUUACUGAUUCCCUAAAACGGAUUCAACACUAAAUCGAACUCCUAAAAUAAAUGCGGAAGACGAGCCCAAGAACAAACAUAUAUCACCGAUCAAAGACACACCACAUAAUCGAGCGUACCUUAUUGUCCACAGAUUAAACACCAAUGUUGAAGAUCGAGGAAAAAUCUAAUCUUGGUCUACCGAGGAGCGUAUUGUUGCUGUAAGGGGGAAAAACGUCGUUUUUGGGAGCAUAGCAUCUUACGCUUCUUGAAGAGAGAGAGACUGAAACAACGUAUGUACCCCCAAAGGGUACAUUCCCUUUUUCUUUUUCUCUCUUACGUCUUCUCCAAAAGACAUAUUUCUUCAACGUAAAACGUUCCUCCAAAAGACAUAACCCCUCGUAUCUAAACAACGUAGCCUUUUACAUCGCAACCGUUCCUCUAUGGGCCCUUAUCUUGUGGGCCGGGCUUUUAGGCCCAACAUGGGCGGACGAGCCCACUUAGGCCCAUCAAGUCAUAGACUAAACCCAUUAGGCACUAACCCCCACCCUUCACUUAUAGCUUUAAAGGCUGUGUGAUUGUUUCCAAGCCUUUAACAACGGUAUCUAAAUGACAUUAUUAAACAUUUUCCUAAACUAUUCAUCAAAUUUUGCAAUAUUGUAGCUUUUCCAGGUCCCCACCAUCCUCCAGAGUCCGAUGCUUUUGACAUUUUCUCUCUCUAAAAACCCUAUAUCUCAUCGAUGGCCCCAUGUAAUGAGUGCUUAUCCUCGGUCCUAGGGACAUCUAUGACUCUCACGGGCUGUGGGGGUCUUUCAGCUACCACCCAUUGUUGAGCUUUCCUUUUUUAAGCGGUGCUUGUAAUUUCUCACGCUUCUUGGCCAUAUGAUUUUCAAAAUCGCACGUGACAAGAACCAAGAAAUCUCCAACCACGCGUAAUCUCUUUUUUGUACUUGCUUUCCAAUUUGAGUGCUUCUUGUUCAGACAUCUUUUUAAUGAAGGUAUCUUCCGAGGAAAAGCACUUUCGCUCUGCUCUCUGGGCCUAAGGACAGUGACCGACUAACCUUGACCUUGCAAAUCUGAACUUCGUUACUUGGUAUCCAUUCGCUAUUAAAAAAAUUAGUCCAAUUUUAUUUAUUUUUUGGUCGUAAAUGAAACCCUAAGGCUAAACGUGAACAGAAGCAUUUCGAAAACAUGAUUUUUACACCAGAAGCCGAAUUUCACUUUUUUACCUUUCCUUUUUUUAUCAUUUUUUGUCAUCUUUUUCUUUUUAUCAAAUUAACGUAACCUAUGUUUCACUAAAUAAAUACCACAUCAUAAAUUUGACUAUAAUAUGCAACUGCAAAUUAAUUUUUUUGCCAUAUAUAUAUGAAUUUAAGUAUUGCUAAAAACAGUAAUUUAUGUAUGUCACAAACUACCCUUUCCAUUCGGAAAGGAAAUGUUGAUGUGUUUAGGGGUAUUGCUUAAGAGAUAACCUACGAUCCUGUAUGUACUAAUUAAUUAAUUAGUACUCUUUUAAUACAUAAUCUUGUUUAAUUCAAUAUGAUAUUUGUUAGAUAGUUUAGAUUGAUUUUAAACUUAUCCACUAACAUAUGAAGUGAUCAUGCGGGUACACAAUCAUUAAAAUAAUAAUUAGCAACCAAAAAAGUUACUUGCAAGGAAAAACAAUAAUCUAAUGCUAAGAGAUAAGAAAAAUGCCACUCCUAAUUGGAUCCAAUGAUAAUCGAAAUAGAAAUGCGCAAACAGUAACGUUACAUUUAUCUCUAAAAAUAUUCAAUUCCUAUAGUAAAACCUUAGGAGCUUGUUCAAUUUUGAUAACAAUUUUCUAAAUCAAUGGUUUUUACACAUUUAAGAGAAACCUACUCGAAAUGACUAAUUCUUAAGCUUUUUCCUAAUAAUAUUUUUUUUUUUGAAAUUUUUUAAAACUUUUUUAAAAUAAUAAUCACACAAAUAUUUAUUUCCGAAAAUGAGCAUUCGGGCUGGGCCCUACCCAAACACGGCCUGCCGCUAGUCCUGGACUCUAGUGGGUUUGGGCUAAGGAGGCAAUUCGGGCUUACAAGAAAAACUCUUUCAAUUAGAGCCUCUCGAGCCCAAGUCAGAAUUCAACACAUGAAGCCCACGGUGGCUAUUUCGUAACCCAUUCUACUCCAAGUUCGAAUCCUAUUCUGAGUGUAACCAAGCCCACUUUUGCAAAAACCACACUCGACCCAUUUCCAAACAAGACAACUACUCAGCCCAUAUUUAAGUAGCCUAAGCCAAGGCCCCACUUUGAAACCGUAGCCAGCCUAGGUCACUAAAAAUUCCUCUUGACCCUUUGUAUCAUUCGCCUUUACACGCCCUCCGCUGGGUCUUCUUCGAGACUUCGACCGACCAUACCAAAAUCUUCUGAACACCAUCAAAUUCAACGCGCUCUAUCUAAUCAAAUCCAGUUGAAUGAGACCAAAAAACCUAACACCACUAAACUGAUUAAGCCCAACGCACUGUGUCAAAUGGCCAUUUUACUCACCCUCCCGUCAUCGUGUCCUUGCUCCUUCCUAUUUGCAGAACAAAAAGAAACUGAAGAUUGAACGUAAAAUAUGUGGGCAAUCAAGGCCCAAUGACACCUCUAACCUCCAACAUGUAACCGAGACUUCACUGUGAGUUUACGUCACUCCAUCACUACCCAACCAUCAUCUACUCUCACUUAUGAACUUGCUAACAUUUACCGAACAAACACCACGGAGGCACCAAGCGAGACUCGGCAAGGAAAAAAGGAUCUUGAACCACGGUGACAAGGGCGAUCCACAUCUUGAGAUUAGUUUUUUUUUUUUUUUAAGAAAAAUUUCAUAGAAAAUAAUAAGGAUUUAAAAAAAAAUUAUGAAUUAUAAUACUAGUACUGCAAGAGCUCUUGGUACCUAUGUGUCAUGCAAUUUAAUAAAAAUUAUUUUUUCAGGGGUUAAAAAUUAAUCCAUGAUUUUUCAAUGCAAUUAAAUCUUGAAUGAAUUACCAAAAUUUAAGUAUCAACAAUGUACUUUUUCAUUUAUCAUUUUGUAUAUGACGAAUAAACAUUUAAAUGACUUUUUUUAGAUGGAAACAUUAAAUGACUUUAAACAUGACGAUUUACCACUAAUAAGUCAUAACACCGAUUAAUCCAUAUUAAGACCUAAACAUGCGACUUUGGCAUGAACACUUCUACUAAGGUACAAGGGAUGCUCCAGGACUGCCAGGAGCUUAUUACAAGGCCCAAAGCUCGGCUGAUGGCCCGCUGUGCGACCUUUAAACGUUCUGGACCGUGGGGUUCAGUCCCUUUUCGGGCAUGAAAUAACUCCUAAAUGGUCGGACCGACUGAGGCCAGCCUAAAGAGUCUGAAUGCUUGUUGUCUGAGCAUUGCACGGCUUGGACAACGGGCAUUCAAAACAUCUAAGACGCGAUUAUCCUGAUGAGGCAUAAGCUAAUCCAUCAUGGAUUCAAGAUGACGGACACGUGAUAUAAUGGUAUUAUGACCAAAAUGAUUACUCGAAUUACAUGAGGAUAAUGCUAUAGACUAAAAAUGAGUCAUGAACGUCCCAAUUUGAACUGAUGUACGUGCACUUCAGGGAAACAUAAGCUCAUCCAAACGGUAAUGCAACAUAGUGUUGACACUGAGCAUAAAUCUUAAACAUUUACCGAACAUUUACUCUUACUUAUGACCUUGCUAACAUUUACCGAACAAACAACAUGGAGGCGCCAAACGAGACUCGGCAAGGAAAAAAGCAUAUUGAACAACGGUGACCAAGGCGAUCCACAUCUUAACAAGAGGCUAGGCCAGCUUGGCCUUGGCCAUGUCUCGCUUUUCUUUUCUUUUUUUAAAAGAAAAUUUUCAUAAAUAACAAUAAGGAUUUUAAAAUAUAUAUAUAUAUAUAUAUAUGAAUUUUAAUACUGGUAGUGCAAGAGCACUUAGUACUUACGUGUUAUGCAAUUUAAUCAAAAUUAUUUUUUCAUGAGUUAAAAAUUAAUCCAUGAUUUUUCAAUGUAAUUAAACCUUAAAUGAAUUGACAAAAUUUAAGUAUCAACAAUGUACUUUUUCAUUUAUCAUUUUGUAUAUGAUGAAUAAACAUUUAAAUGAUUUUUUUUUGGAUGGAAACAUAAAAUGAAUUUAAACAUGACGAUUUACCAGUAAUAAGUCAUAAUGCCGAUUAUUAGAAUAGACAGCUAAGUGAAUAAUACAAGAUUAAUUGAGCAUGCUGGAUGAGGUGUGUCAGAAUGAUGAAAUGCAAGCCAUAUCCUACACACAGUCCCCCAUCUAUACACUUGUGAGAUAAGUGCAGAAGAUUCCAUGACUGCAAGGUAAAGAGUACUCUCGCGAAUGGUACGAUAACCAAAAUAGUGAGAGGCAUUUCUUGCUCACCCCAUUGAGCCCCAUACAUUGGUGAAAUUUCUAUCCUACCCCCAUCAAGAACCACCCUACAUUGGGGAAGAUCGGAGGCGAAGUAGCAUCACGAGGUGAGAAGAGAGAUAGAAAUUUUCUUGCUCGCAUUUGCAUCAAUCUUCGGGUGUCUUUAUUGCAUAUGAACACUCACGUUAAUUUAAGUGCCUUAGAAUGAUGAAGAGCAAUUCCCUUUCUACGCACUUGUAUCCAUUGCACAACUCAAUUGAGUCUGUAAAUUUCACCCUCACAUGGAGGCAAAGCAGAAGCUACUGCCGUUUGAGCAGCAUAAUCAGAAGCGUCGGCAAAAGAUGAAGACUUAAUAGUCUAACAAUGGUGUUUGCUUGAACUUGUCAAGAUCAGCUCUCAAGCAACAAGAACAAAAUAGGGGCAUAAAAAAGCAGUGUACCUGGUAAAAGCAAGGUCAAUGCCCGUGAAUGAAAAACAAAAGCAAAAACUAUGGACAUAAAAAAGCAGUGUGCCUAGUAAAAGCAAUGCCAAUGUCUCCAAACAAGAAAUACAGCUGUUUGUAUUCCUGAGAGAAGUUGAUGUUGUGGUUCGAUUAAUGGAACCUUCAUCUGACUAUGAGAAGAAAGACCGAUGACAAAUGCCAAGGUGAUUGCUAGCUCUUACCUUCUUACACAUGAGUCAAGCCUCCAUUUCAUCCCACUAUAAGAAGUUUCUUCAGAUUAGGGAUACUUCAAUUAACGUAGGAUCUCAUAUGUCUAUAAGCAUCGCUCGAAGAAGUACGAGCAAGAUUAUUCUAUCUCUUUUCACAGGAUUCUUGACUUGCAAACCCGAAGAUGAUCGUGCGGCACUUCGUUCAUAAGCCUUAACCUCGACGGUCCCAUUUGAUGAGCCGUUGACCAAAUCUUCAUCACAAUUUCAACAAAGACCUCUCACGUUGGUAAAGUCGUACCACUUGGGAGAAUACUCGGACCCCUGUUGAUAUGAUGACAGUGAGAUAGUGUGGUCCUUAUAAAUCCUGCAUCAAUGGUCAGGAUAGCCUUUUCCAUGAGAGUAAGUGAAAAAGUCCUUUCAAACUGAAAGUCCCUCACCUAGCAUGUUCAAGACGUCUACAUUUGGAAUGAAGGUUGUCUUUCAAAUUUUCCCCAGUGGAAUUCGGAUGAAGCAAAAACUGACAAAAUUGUCAUGCAUGAAUCCCAUUUAAACUCAUGAAUUAAUAGCAUAUACAAUCAUGUAUGCAUAUUGUGCAAAUAACAGACAUACUCUUAGAGAUCAGAGAUAUUGCCAGGUAAGCAUAUUCUUAUCACAAUUUGUCUUAAAGUACCUACCAUUAUCUAGGUACUCUCUUCUUGACACUCGACCUAUUCGAGCCGUCCCUUGAGUUUGGGUGCUUGCAACUGUCUCAGUAUCCCAUUGUCUUUGAGUACCCACCACUUGCCGGGUACCCCCAUAUCGUCAAGUACCCACCGUCGUCCAAGUACUCCCUUUUCAUGACACUCAACUUGCUUGAAUUGUCCCCAAAUAAUAGCAGCUGUUCAAGCAUUCCACUGCUUUGUGUGCCUGCGCCUACCCAGGUAUGCUUUCUUACACUUGGACCAGCUGAGUGGUCUCAGGUCGUAUCAUUAAAUACUUGUGUUCAUCCAAGUAUUCCAGUACUUUAUACACUUGCGACUACCCAGGUGUUCCAUCCCUUUUAAGUGCCUAAUCAUUUUCAAUGUUGUCACCAUGUGUUCUUCUAUUAGGGAUGUAGUGCUUGUGUUCUUCAUCACUCCUUUGCCAUAUUUUACCACACGAGAACCAGGACAACUGAAUUUAAUUAGGGUUUUGGAGUGGUGUUCUCUGAUUGAGUGUUUUCUCUGUGUAAUGUGGAUGUUAUUGAAGUUUCAGUUGCAACAAAUUGCUUGGUUCAAAUUAAGGUUUGGAGAAUUUGGGAAAUGGCUUAAUUUAUUUUGAAUUAAGAUUAUAUUUGGGGCAAAACAUGUAAACGAAAUUGUUGAGUGCAAUUGACGCUAACUAGGCAUGUUAGCAAGCCACUUCGAUUUGUUAAAUUAAUAAAAUAUUGCCAUGUCGAUUUCUAGUCUUCCAAAUCAGGGUUGGCACUUAGGUGAUCAUUCUUUUUGUAAAAAAAUACCACUUAAAUGAUUUGACGAAAAUUUUUAGUUCCAAAAUAAGCGUCAUACAAAAUGAUGCUUCUAAUGUAAUUUUUCUAACAAUAAAUCUUUAUCAUUUUAAAACGCCAUCAAUAUUUCUCUAGUCUGCUUUCUUUUUCAAAGAAUCGUACUGUGCUUUGCAAAAUUGCUUAUUGCAGCUUACAUGGUUAACAUGUCAGACACUUGCACAGAUUUUCGGAUGAACUUAGCUGGUGCACUUUUUUCAACAUUUCGUGAUGGCUUUAAGAAGGAUUUUUUAGAAUAAGUGCAAUGAUAUUCUUUACCUCAAAGGAAAAGAACUGCAUUACUAAGGUUUUUAUCGAAAUAUGGAGAUCCAAUUCUAAGAACAAGCAUACGAAGAUGAAAUUGGGAAACAAGCAACAGAUGAGUGUCCUCUUAAAGUGCGGUUGAAUGAACAGCAUCAUUCUACUUGGGUUCCUUUGUGUCUGAAAAUUCAUGAAAGACCCUUAACUUCUCUCCUUCGCGUGGAAUCCUGACACAUAAAUAUCUUGUCUUGCAGUUAUUUCUGCAGGUAGAAAAGGUAGAUAUCUACCGGCUGUCCCAUUUGUGAAGCGCCUGGAUUUGUUUCGUAAACUUUUUCUGAAGCUCUGAAAAUCCUGGAAAAACACCGAGAGCCUCUAAGUUGACGUUUCUGCAAGAGACAUUCUCUCACUCAUAAAAGACAAAAUAUCCGUUCUAAACUUUCCGUCAGAUUUAAUUGAUAAGAGAAUGAAUGCAUCGUAAAUUUUCCGAAAAAGGAAAGGAAAUUGAUGGGAUAACUAUAAUUAAGAGAAUUAAGUCAUCGGAUUAGUAAAGUUAUGAAUGCCUGGAUUAGUAGCCAAUGCGGCUUGAAGUCUAUCUGUUUCUUUUUCUUUUUUGACAAGCCAUGUUUGAAGCUAAGAGAAAAGCUAAUUUUAAGGAAAUGGGAAAUGUGUCAAAAAAGUUCUAAACCUUUUAUAAUUGUGCCAAUUUAAUCAUAAACUUUUUAUCGGUGUCAAUUUAGUUGAUUUGAUACAAAUUCAGUCCUCUUGGUCAAUUUUUAUCGAAUUUUACUGACUGGACACCGGUCAGCUAAUGUGGCAUAAUCAGUGAUGAGGUGAACAAUUUUUAAUAAUAUUUUAUUUUUUAAAUUUUUUUUUAAUUUUUCCUUUUCCUUCUCCUCCUCCUUCCUCCAACUAGUCACCGGACCUUGACGACCGACUAGAGGCAACAGUCAUCAAGGUUCAGGUUGAGUCUCGCCCAUGGUUGGCAGGGGUCGACUUUGCCAGAUCUAAUGAGGGCAAGCCUCGCGAGCCUAGCAGGAGGCCACCCUUACAACUUGGGCAGCCUCGCCAGAGGUUAGGCGAGGCUCGACCUUGCCAGAUCCGAUGAGGGCAAGCAGUACUGCCCAGCACAAGUAGCCAUCGUGGCCUCUAGCGAAGGGUUGAGCCUCGCCAUUGGUCGGCGAGGCUUGCCAUGGCCGGUGAGGGCUGUCACCUAUGGCCGGUCUUCGAGGUUUGGCGACCGGUUGGAGGAAGAAGGAGGAGAAAGAAAAAAAAACAGAAACAAAAUUCAAAAUUCAAAAAAUUCAAAAAAUUCAAAAAAUUAUUAAAUUAUUAUUAAAAUUGUCAACGUCAGCACCGAUCGUGCCACAUCAACUAAAUGGUAUCUAGUCAGCAAAAUCCGAUCAAAAUUAACCGGAAAGGAAUGAAUUGGCACUAAGUGAAAAGAUUUAGAACUAAAUUGUCACCAAUAAAAGGUCUAUGAUUAAAUUAGCAUAAAUGCAAAAGAUUUAGUACUUUUUUACACUUUUCCCCCAAGGGAACCAUUGUAAAAUUAAGUGAAAACAAUAAGAGCAUUUUGCAAUUAAAUCAAUAUGAAAAAAUGCAAAAAAAUUAAAAAAUAAAUGAGGAACAAUAAGAAUAUUUGAAAUUUACGUGGUUCAGUCUGAGUGUUGGUACCUAUAUUCACGGAAAGAGCUUUUAGUAAAUAAUUUCUAUAAUCGGAGAAUUAGAAUUAUAAUUACUCACAUGAUCAAGUGUUUUCCAUACGUAAAUUAAAUUCAAACUCAAAGCAUAUUAAAAUAGAUAAACUCGGUUUGAAUAAAAAAAACUCACAGCACGAAUUAUCGUAUUCACUCAAAGCAAAGCAGGUCGUGCGUUCUUUUUCUUCUUCGCACGGGUCUGUUUCUUGAAAGAACGCACGCCGGCCUCCUUUUGUUUCUUCUUUCCCCUCUUGCAAGAGGCUGCUGCUUUAUUCGGGAAAGAGGAGAACCAAAAGCAAACCCUUGCUUUCUUUUUUCUUUCUCUGACAGGCACUUACUUUUGGAUUAGGAGCCGCCGAAUUCUAAAUUCACCUUUUCCUUGUGUGGAUUUUAGAUGAGAUGCUCAUCGAUCUUCUUGUCCUCUUGAGAUAUUAGAUAAAACCAAAAUAAGCAAUCAAAGUCUUGGCCUAAUCUUGAAUAGAUAGUUCUAACACCACAAAAACUUGAUUCCAUGUCAUCCAAUUUGAUUUGGGUUUCAUCUAUGGCUCAAAUUUGAGAUAUGAUUUAACAAAAGCAGCAGCUCAAAUUGCUUCUGACUUUUCGUCUGAGAAAACAAAUUGCGGGCAAAUUGCCAUGAUUCCAUAUGAGAUUACCUUUUCUCUCUGCUUAUAUUGCUGUCCUUUUUCCACUCAUAGCCAGGAUAAAACCAUAUUUGCUCUUAUGGGAUGCAUCGGACAAGUAUUUGCCACAAUCAGUGGCCGAAGAAUUCCAAGAAGGAAACCCUUCAAUGAUCAAACUUAUGGUGGCAAAGGUGCGGAUCAUAUGCCACAAGAAGACUGCUAGGCUUCUCCUAGUACAUACGUCGCUCUUAGUUAUGUUUAGUUUCGACAGUUGCCAUGUUUCUCAGGCCUGAAAAGGUUGUGGAAGCUUUGAGGAGGUUCCUUGCAAUGAAGAUAUUCCGUUUCGAUUGUCCUCUCCGUUAAAGCUUUUGCUCUUCCUAAAGCUAAGAAGCUACUUUCCAAGACUUAUACCGGAAAUUGUAUAAUUGAAUCUUAAGAAAUGCUUUUGUCACUAUCGAAAGGAAUCUUCUCACAUGCCCGUGGUAAAGAGACAGAUUCUAUCACUGUGCGAAAGCUGCAUGGAAAUUUGUACUUUUUUUUAGUGGAAUCAGUAUUAGUUCUGAACUUUUGCUCGACAUAUGGUUAGCCGUCUAUUAGGCUAAGUUGCCAUAUUCCUUCUUGGUAAAAAACAAGACACGUUCAUCGAAUGUUGGCGUAUGCGCGGAACGGAGGCAUUGGUCAGUCAACGGACGAAUCGGAUUUAUACUCUAAACAGAUUCCGAAGUUCCAUACUCGACAAAUAUCCAUCCAUAAAAGAAUUGUGCAGCGUGGAUCUCAAUAAAUCCCCGAGGGUGGGGCGAAUUAUUCAUUCCACUCACUCUCAUGGCAUAACUAUAAUAUAGUGACUGCUGAAUUGCUUGAAGAACGCAUGCACCAAAAGCUUUUAUUGGAUGGAUUGUUUCUCCUUCGCACAGUGCUCACUUGACUACUCGAAUGCCAAAUUAGUUAAAAAUCUUUCAUUUGAGUGUUACUGGCUAUUUGUGUGGUCAGAAAUCCGACAUGACAUUACUUUAUUAUAAAUUGGUUGACGUGGCUCAUCGGGAAAAUCCAAUCAGCAAAAAUCAUAAGAUACGACCUCAUUUUGGCCCUGUUGGUAGAAGAGAAGUUAAUAAAUAAGAACCAAAAUAAGAAAAAAAAAGGCGAAGAGAUUUGUUGCUGACCAAAUCCUCUAUCUCUCUCUCUUCUUCUCUCGUAAUAGAGACAUGGUUCCUCAAUGGAGCUUAGUCAUCUAAGAUUAGUGUAAAAUUGACGAAGAGAAUAUACAUAGCAAUCAAGAGUUAAAAGAAAUAAAUUAAGCAGAUUCGGUGGAGAGGUUUUUUGCACCUUUAAACUGUGAACUUGGCAAAGCUUUGGAGAAGAUGUUCAGGGAAAGAGCUUAAAAAGGGGGAAACAUGAUUGAGAGAGGAAGCUAAAAAUUGUAUGGUGGUGAUUUUUCAUUGAUGAACUCAACGUAACUUCUUUACGGUAGUAGAAUGGUCACCAUCUCAACUCACCAUAGCUGAUUUGACCUGUCCCCUUUUUGUUAGCUCCGAUCUCUCCACUGCUCAUCUCAAGCUCGAACCUUUCCAUUGCUAAAGCUUCUGGAAAAGCAUCCCCUCUCUAGAAUUUAGGGUUUCAUUUUGAAAAGAAUUUGAGGAACAAAAGGGCCAAAACGAAGAUUAUCUAUGGUGGAAUCAAGUUUCUUAUAGAAAAGCUAUGUUGCAAUCAAAACUUAAUGUACAAAGCCACAUAGCGAUUUGCUGGAAUAGACAUUUAAAGUAAAUGAAUUUUCAUUAGGCACUUAAGUGAACGUUGUGCGGAAAUUAUGACAUCCAUAGUGUCCUUAAUCUUUUUAAAUAGGAAUAGAUGUACAACAGGAAGCAUCAUAAUCUUCUGACAAGUGCAUCAUAAUCUUCUGACAAGUGGCACGUGCAAUGAGAAGGAUAAUAUUUGUGCUAGCACCAAUAGUAAAACGCUUUCUCAACACCAAGACUUAAAAUCCUUCUUUUACAAAAUAAGGGCACGGGGACAAGAAUCGCCGAGAGUACUGCCAACUCUCUCUGGCAGCCAAAGAGCAUGAUAAUCUUCAUUCAACUUGCCAACUGUAACAAAACAAGUAUCAAAUUUGAAACUCGAACACAUUGCAGAUGUAUCCAAAAUUAGUUUCGAUAUCGAGCCAUGAAUAUUAUAAGCCAUGAAUAUUAUAUAUAUAUAUGCCGAAGGAAAGGGAUUGGGAUAAUGACGAGGGACGGAGGUUUUGUCACUACAUAAACAAGGUCUUUCUUUAUCUUGAACUUAGAGAAUUUCUCUUUCUACUAAUGCAGAACUUAAAAUUUAGAUUGGGUGAGCUUUUGUCCGAAUGCGAAGCCUGUCUUUGAUUCUACAAGGAGUUGGAUUCAUUUGAACACCAAAGCCAACUCACUUAUGUUUCAAAUAGGGGUGAGCGGAUCCGAAUUUGAUACAAGUUUCAUAUGAAAUCUGAAACCUAUCUAUUAAAAUAGGUUCCUCAUUUUUUUGGAGUUUGGAACCUAUCCCACAUAACUUGAAAUUGAGAACCUACAUUGUUACAGGUUUCAGGAUUUACCUAGAUUCUACUUUUAUUAUAAAUUGAACAAUUAUAGUGAAUUAUCACAUUUAAUAAUCAUCACUUGUUGCUAACUUAUAUUUAAACACACAAAAAUAUGAAUACAUUAAAAAAGUAAAAGUUUUAGUCAUAAAAUUGAAGAUUGGACUAAUAGUACCAGAUUAUAUACUGAUCAUCGGAUGCUAUGGAAUACUGUAAAAUUGUGCAAAGACAUAAAUCAAGAUGAACAUGAAAGCUUAUUCCAGAUUUUAAAAUCAUAGGUUUUAGGUUCCAAGUUUUUAGGUUCCAGGUAUCACCAACUCAGAAUUUGGAACCCACUUAUGAAAACAGGUUCCCAAAUUUUUAAAACUUAGAACCAACUUUGCAUAUCUUGAAAUUGAAAUUGAAUAUGUUCUUAUCGAUCUAGUUCUUAACUUUCGGGUUCUACCUGAAACCAUACUCACCUUGAUGAUGGUCACUAACUCCAUAAAAAAGCGGCUUGAAGGCAUAGCUUGUCCUUAAUUUUUAUUUUUAUUAUAAAAUGUUCAAUCAAUUCUUUUCUUCUCUUUCAAUUUCCUUGCUCUUUUGUUAACAUUAGUCAUUCAGUUGAAAAGGUAAGACCGUUGACGUGGCUGUUUAAGUGCUAUGCUAGCAUCAUAAAUGACAUCUGACCUUAAAAACCUUAACAAAAUAAAUACUUUUUAAAUUUAAAAAAAAAGGGAAAAUUUUGAAAAGAUAAGAAAAGAAUAAGUAAGAUAAAGAAAGGAGAGGGAGCAAAAGUUAAGGCUGCGUAUAGUAUAAUAACCAUUUUAUAUCUCUGUGGUUUUUAUUUUUCUUUUUUCAAAAAUAUGUUUAGAAUAGAAAUCCAUUUGGCAACGUAAUUUCAUUUUAAAAAAAAAUUGAAACAAAUUUUUACCUUAGAAAUAGGUUUGGAAUAAAAAUAAGAAGUUAAAAAUUUUAAAUUUUUUAUUUCUAGAACAAAAGUAAGAAAUAAAAACUCUUCUCAUCAUUCACUCUUAUCAGUGUCUGCCCACCCAUCACCGGUCGCCCACCUCCUGUACGCUAGCUGCCUCCCACCGCCACUUGGGAGAGAGAAAUUUUGUAACAUUAUCAAACAAAUUUUUAUUUCAAUAAUAGAAAUAGAAAAAUCAAUUUCUAGCCAUAAAUUGAUUUUUAGAACAUAAUGAUUAUCUUUUAUGCCAUAGAACCAAGGGGUGGCCAUCAAGGGUAAGACGUCCUCGUUGAGCCACCACUAUGGUGAGGAAGACCCUUCCUACACACACACACAAUCUCUCUCUCUCUCUCUCUCUCUCUCUCGUUUUUAUUUUCUCGUUUUUAUUUUUUUGAAUUGAAGUUUUUUUCUCUCUUUUUAUUCCACAACGGCAAUUAAUCUAAUUAAAAUUGUUGUGGCACUAACUUAGAAUUCCAUGUUAGCAUUUUCAUUCGUAUAUUUGAUCAAAGAACUAGCACGAAAGAAGUUGUGAAAUUUAACGAUCCAAUUGAAUUAAAAAGGAACAUUACAAUUUAAUUGGAUCAUUUUUUAAUAAUUUUGGUGUGUCUAAAUAGGCUUUUAUCAUUACUUAUUAAUCUAAAUCUUAUGAUGUAUAAUAUAUAUAUAUAUAUAUAUAUUUAAUUUUUGUUAAUCCAACCAAAAUUUUAAAAAUAUGUAAACUAUGGCACUUAGAUUUGCAUAUAAAUAUUUUAUUUUUUUAUUCAAUAUUGAAUAUGAAAUACUUUCACUCAAUUCGAACAAACACGCUCUCAAAGACCAACAUUAUCUUUCAUCCCUGAAAAUUUGGGUGACUUGUCUGUUGGGACUACAAGGAAGUGAAGGAAAGCGAUUUCCUUUUUUCGUUUUUUUAUUUUUUUUGGCUGUUAUGGCAGUUGAAGAGGAAUUGUAAAUUUGAUUAGGUGCAUGACAACCAGCUUGCCUCGCCAAGGCGGCCCAAGCACAUCUUGGGCGAGGGCAAGGCGAGGGCAUAUAAUUAUAGGGCUCAACUCAAAUUGACUAGGACCAAUCCAAGUCUGACUAACAUGGAAGGUUGUCGCGUAUGUUUUUUCGUCAAUAGGUGAGUUCGAACCUUAAUUUCGUUCGGACGUGAUGUCCCAUUUGGAUCCACCUAUUAAUCACCUAAAAUUAUAAUGAGCAACGACAUGCUUUAAAUGACUCGUAGAAGGGUCUACUAUUAAGGUUUAGGUGAAGUGAAAUGUAAAAAUCGAUUUUUUUUUUUUAAAUGAUUAAGCUGCAUACGAGCCCAACACAUUCCAAUCUUUGAUGGGGACGGGUCCUCCGUGAGAGCCGUGUGAUCUAUGAACUUAAAUGCACCAAAUUCAGGUAUGCACCCAAAACUACUCGCGGCCGGGAGAUAGAAUCAAGAAAGCCAACUGAAAGUUCGGAGUUGAGCGGUCCGUUGGAGCCAAUCCAACGGUGGAGGGAACACCGGACCAACAUCGAGGGAGGAGUCACGUGGCCCCCCGUCCUAUUUCUCUGUUCCUUCUAGGGGAAGCAGACAAUUUUGCAGCUAUUAAUCCGCAUCUUAAUCCUCACUCCGGGGAACAAAAAAAAAAAAAGUAAUGACUAUGAAUAUAUACAAAAUAUAUAUAUAUAUAUAUAUAUAUAUAUAUAUAUAUAUACAUACAUAAUCACAUAGAUGCAUUAAUACUAUAAAAACAUUCUCCUCACAUGCCUAUCAUACUGCUCAUCAUCAACGCAUUUUUGGUGAUUUGAGCUUUGAAAACCCUCUUGAUAAGGGAAAAGAUUAAACCCAUAGAAAAAGAUGAAAAUCCAGAAAUUUAGUCACUGUUGCAUUGCAAAUAAAUUGAUUUGAGUUUUUAAUGGUAAAAUACUUAAAAAUCAAGCAAUUAAGACAAAAAUAUAUAUGAUUGCAAAGACAGUAAUUCCAACUUGUUAAUGUUGUUGACACAAAAGAUUGCUACGUAUAUGAGACUGAGAUUGUGCUUGGUUUUUUUCGUUACUAUGGAUUUAUGUACUUGUCAAUCGCAUAAAGCUAAUGGAAAUAGCUCAAAUCUUUUUGCUCAAAAGUACAAGCAAUCUCCAUACGGAUGAAAAGUAUAUAUGUUGUAAAAUAAUAAUAGGCUAUUCCUGUUUAGACAGACACGUAAAAAAUAGACGAUGAGAUUAUACUCACCUCUCGCUUCCACCGUCCAAUUAUCCUGCUCUCGAAGGAUGGUCCAUCGCUUUUAAAUCCGACGGAUGACAUCGAAAGGCCUGGAUCUUAUACCGUCGCAUGCACAUAACUACACACACACACACACACUUUGAUAGGCGUUGAGUCCAGCGAUUCCAGCAACCUAGUCUAGAGUUCCCGCGAGGAUGGCAUUGUUCUCGACGGAGAUUGCGAUCCCAAUCUGUGCCGUCAUCGGGAUCGCGUUCUCCCUGGUGCUGUGGCUUUUUGGGUCGCACAAUGGGGCCAACCACAUCGACGAAGAGCAAGGCUUAAGCCGUGAAGAGCAGGCACGUGUUGAGCUUGACUCUAAGCAGAUAACGGAAGCCAUCAAUAAAGGUGACUUUUUACAGAUCCUGUAGCUUCGCAACUUGUCUCCUUUAUGGAACUUUUUCCUUUUUGCUGCGCUCAGGAUUGAUAGUCGAACAUUCUCAAGCAUUUUAGGUCUUUCGGUAAUGAAAUUCUGUGGUCGCGUUUUCCAAUGAAGCUCGUAAGCUUUGAGCUCAUGCUUUUCGUCCGAGAGAGAAAAAAGGAAAAGGACGGAAACAGAGAAUGAAGUACAUUUGAUUUUCUGGGCCGCGAGUCUUUCUUUUUCUGGGCAUUGAGAGGUUGUAGUUCAACAACCUUCUUUCUCUUUCUCACUCAUACUGCUCAUUGACCCAUUUUUUGGGAUCAAUCUUGCAUCAAAUUGGAGUCUUGUGAUCUGACGAUAGCUCGGCGAAAUCAAGAGCUUCUUUUGCUCCUUGUAGGGCGAGUCCUUUUUAGGGUUUGGCACAGCUGCUAGAACUUUGAGCGACGUAUCUAAGCACAGAAGUAUACUAUUUACUCACGCAGAUCUCUUCUCAGGAAGAUGGCUGGAAUGAUGUUGGUGGUCUUGGUCGUGUUCUUGGGCGGUUGUCAACUGGUGUAGCUCUUGUCCGUUUGCGUUUUGCCAUUGGUCUUAUUGUCUCAGCAGUUUCGCGCUUUGUUUGGAUUAAGUAAAUGCACGUGUUGUGCACGUCACGUGAAUGUUUUCGUCUCUUUACUCACCAACUUAGCUGCAGGCUCUCACGGGACGGGGAUGCACUUUAUUUUAUGGCAUUACACGACAGGAAUGUUCAUAAUAUAGCUGUUUCAAAAGUAUAUUUGAUUAAUGUCUGGGGAUAACCUGCGAGCCAUUACACGUUUGAAAGGAUUAAUUGAUUUAUUAGCUCAAGAACUGGCUUGAGUAAGUCGGACUAGGAGGCGCAUAUACGACUGUAAGACAGAUUACAUUUGAUGAUGGGCUAAGGUGCGCUUGUGUCGUUGGAAAGAAUUUUUGUGAAAAUGAUUUUCUAAACUUUCUAAUGUUUUGAACGAUCAUAAUAACAUUAAUUGAGAGGGCACUCCCAUCAAAGAAAGUACUUAUUUAAAAAAAAAUUGUUAAUAUAAUAGUUUUUGAGCUAUUAUGAUAGUAACAACAUAUUAUGAGUCAAUAAGUUACCCAAUAAGUUACUAGUUUUAACUUUCUUGGCAUCACGGUUCAACACUCAAGUCAUCAACAGCAAGGCUGAAGUCUAUUGAGGCCAGGCUUAGGUCCCCAAUGAACACGCUAGGAGUUGAAGUGGCUGAGCCCAAGAAAUUUUAGUUCCUGUGAUUGAGACCACGGCCUGUCAAAUUAUCCUCGAAUUUCAGCCGAAACCAGAAAAUAUUGUCACUCUAUAGAAAAAUGACUUAUUCAAGCAUAGGGUUUACAAAUGUCAAGUUAUUCUGGAAACAACGAGCCAAGGUUUAAUUUCUUUCUUCCAGCUAUUUUGUAUUAAUUAUAGGAAGCUUGGUACAUGCGACAAAUGACAUAACGUCAAGCUAAUUAAAGUUAGAAUAGUAAUUUUUAAACGUAAUUGGCUUUAGUAGAAGCAUAUUGUAUUAAAAAGAUGAAUUGCUGAGGCUGAACAACCUUCAAUUCUAAAGUAUUUCUUCACUUCGUCAGUGAGAGUGUUUCAAGGGUCAUACGAUGUUAAUUGUUGCAGAACAUUUCUCAUUUGCAUGAGAAUGUCAUUCUUGAUUUGUCAUACUUGUGACGAUUACUAAUUAUAUAGGAUCAGUUAAGAACUAAUAGGAAACGAACUGUUCUUAUAUUUCUCUAUGGUUCUCUUUGGUGUUGUAUGCUUGCUUCUCCUAACUAAAGUCCUUAUUUUGUGACAAUGUUUCAUACCUAUUCCUUAGAGCAUAUCAGUUCUAUUGUGAAAUUAUAAUGUUUUUUUCUUGUUUGUUUUCCUAUAAUUUUAGCUGGUAGCUAGUUCACCCUUCUCCUAUUGUUCUAACAUGUAAGUUCAGUUCUAACUUUAGUUCUGACAUUUUUCCAUACUCUGGGUUUAAUCUUUGGUUCUAAUCUACUGUUUACUAUUGUCGGUCAUAAUACGUUUCUAGUUUCUUGUUUGUUUGUGAUGCUUUAAUUUUAAAGUAAUGUUUAAAUGUGUUUACAAUGAUACUCUGGGUUUUGGGACGUUGUAGUAAAUUAUCAGUUCUUUGUAUUUCAUUAAGUACUUUGCAGAACUGGGUACUUUCUUUCAUCCCUUUCCCGUCUUGUUCUACUCAUUAUGUUCCUGUCACUCUUCCGCCAGUGGGCUUUGACACUUACACUGUCCAACUUUUCAAAGGUGAACUGUAAUAGACACCAUAUCAUCUUUUAAGUUGCUCUUUUGGAGGCGCUGUAGGUUAGGCUUUCCCGUUUCUUGGAACUAGGUUGAACAGAUCUAGGCUACGGAAUGAAGUAACUAGAUUUAACUGAAUUAUGCCUUAUUUCGUCACACAUAAGUAGAAGGUCAAGAAUCAGAUUGUUGCUUUAUUUGCUUGAUAUCAGCCUAAGAUAUUGUGUGUGAUUGCAACAGGUGUGAGUGAUUUUCUGUUCAUGGAGUACCUGUAUGUUGGAGUUUUCAUGGUUGCUUUUGCAAUUCUAAUCAUCCUCUUCCUUGGCAAUGUUGAGAGAUUCAGCACCCAAAGCCGGCCUUUCACUUUUUGUCCUUCAAACAUGUGCAAGCCUGCACUUGCCAUUGCGGUUUCAUUCUUACUUGGUGUUCUUGAUAUUGCUAGUAUGAGUACCUAGAGGGGGGUGAAUAGGUGUCUAAACAAUUUAUCGAUAUACGGAAGUGAUUCUUAGCAUAUGAUAGAAAGUAAAUUCUCUCUUAAUUAUCAAAAUGAAAUACGAUCGAGGUAGAGAGAGUAAGGAAGAGAAAAUUGAACACAGGAUUUAUAGUGGUUCGGCUUAUUCCAAGCCUACGUCCACUCUUCCGCACUUGACAGCCCACCGGCUGGAUUUCACUAUGAUCAAAAGAGAAGUUACAGCACAGCUUUGUCUUGAUUCCACAGUGUAGAUGUUCUACCACACCUCCUCAAGGUCUCUCACAAAUAUAGACUCUCUUUUGUAUACAAGUAUUCGCUCAAAGGAUUUAUCUAAACAAAUAGGAGCUUCAGACUUUGGAAUUCUUCUAUCGCGCACACCUUGAACAACUAAGACAGUCUUCCUUAUAUAUUCCUUUAUGCCAUCAUACCCAUUGGCACUUACCAAAGGAAUUCCUCCAAUCUACCCGUUGGACGGAAUCAAUUAGGAAGAUUGUUCAAGCUAUAAAAGGAACGUGUUGAUAGCCCAUCAAUCCUGUUCGCCCAUACAAUCAGGAUCUCGGUUUCCAUAAGCAGAACCUUCCAAUAAUACUUAGGCAAUCACCGGAUCUUCAAUUAUCGAAUCAAUCUUCGAUCAAUCAAAGGACUCCGUUAUGUCUUCUCCAGCCACGAGAUCUUCUCCGGUUGAUAAGGUCAAAUCCUCAACGAAACAUUCAGUUCUGGAUAACCUUUCUUCAACGGAUUAGAGACUGUCAAUGAGGAUAGACUUUGAGUCUUGAGUCUGGCUGUCCGGAGGUCUUCAGACUUUAAAUAGCAGAGUCUGCAAGCCUUCAGACUAGACUGAUAGAAACGUUUUGUCAACUUCAAAAUACUUCAAGAAGAUUUCUCCAACAGUUCUCACAUCAGCCCUCUCUGGUUACCUUGGCAUGAAAAUUGUUAUCUGUGCUAAUGCAAGCACUGGACUAAAGGAUAGAAAGGGCUCUUUAAAUGCUGCUUUCAGGUUUGGUGCAACAAUGGGAUUUCUUCUGGCUGCUAUGAGUCUUCUCGGGCUCUAUAUUGCUAUCAAACUGUUCAAGUGCUAUUAUGGCAAUGACUGGGAAGGUCUUUUUGAGGUCAUUACUGGUUACGGUCUUGGUGCAUCUUCCAUGGCUUUCUUUGGAAGAGCUGGUGGUGGACUUUAUGCCAAGGCUGUUGAUGUUUAUGUUGAUCUUGUUAACAGAAAUUGGCGACCUUACCUAGAGGAUCCAUACUUAAGUGUAUGUACUCUCUUACUGUAGCUCUAUCUCCUAAGUAUAUCAUUCACUUUAAGUCAUAAAUGGUGUUGACUUUAAUCAUUCAGGUGAUUCCUUGUAAUGUCGGUGAUAUUGUUGGGGAUAUUGCUGGUAUGGGGACUGAUCUUUUUGGCUCUCAUGCUGAAUCAUGCUGCGCCACCCUUGUUGUUGCUUCCAUCUCUUCUUUCGGAAUCGAUCACAACUUCACUGCUAUGUGUUAUCCCCUGCUUAUCAGCUCUAUGGGUAUUCUUGUUUGCUUGAUCUGAACUCUCGUUACAGCCUACUUAUCAGAUAUCGGGGAAGUGGGGAAAGAGGGGGACAUGAGGCCUGCACUGAAGAAGCAACUCAUUAUUUCCACUGUUCUAAUGACCUUCGGAAUUGCUAUUGUUAGCAGCAUUGCUCUGCCCUCGUCAUUUAAAAUUUACUACUUUGGGAUGGAGAAAGUUGUGACGAAGUGGUAAACUCUUUGGUGAUGCUUGUCUCGUUCUGAUCCUAGAGGCUGCUUUAUUCUAAUGUUGGUCAUGUGACAUGCUUUAAUGUCAGCGGACUUUUACAGGAUUGAGUCAAUACGUUGAGCGUAUGUAUUUGCUAAUUAUGGAUAUGAUCUUGCAGGCAGCUGUCCUUCUGUGUUGUUGUUGGUCUUUUGGCUGGGUCAAUUAUUGAGUUGUUCCCUGAAUAUAACACCAGGGAUUACAUCAGGUGUUAAAUUUGCUAUAGUAAAUGAAUGAUAUGAAUUUUUACGACUGUUGAUGGUCAUGUGCUGACCACGUAAUGAUCCUUAUUUCUGCAGGAAAAUCCAAAGAGCUGUUACCGACGCUGGCGUCCCCCUUGCCUCUGUCUGCGCUGUCCUUGCCUCUGUCAUUAUCCCAAUUUAUGCCGACAUUAGCUUUUCUGUGGGUUUCAGUAUUGCUGCCACAUAUGGAAUUGCUGUGGCCGCCCUUGGGAUGCUAAGUACCAUUGCCACUCGAUUGGCCAUAGAUGCUUACGAUCCCAUCAGCUGCUAUGCUGAACGUAUUGCUGUCAUGGCUCCCAGGCAAUCCUUUCGCGCCGCUGGAAAGGUACUGGCAAUCCUUGCAUGUGAAUAUAGUAUCGACACGAUUUGAUGGUUCAACUGACUGGGUAAGGUAGGAUUUGUAACAUGUCGAUCCGUGGAUGGUUGAACACGAAUCCUACAUGGUGUAUUUAACGUACCUAAUAUGCGGACACUGUCCUGUCGUCCUUUUAGUAGCUUAUUUUUUUAUAAAAUCCAUUACAUAGGAGUGGAAAGGGUUUCUGUGCGUAGAACUAUUCGUGAGAUUACAUUCAUGUCAUCCAGAAUUUGUGCACAUUGUCCUAUUAUUUUCUUUUUAUCCAUAAACGACUAAAUAAUACGGUAGUUAUUCAAAGUCCUUUUGGAUUCUUGCUGGUGUGGCAUGAUGUUUGGCUAAAAUCACCUUUAUUUGCUUUUAGGUGCUGCCUUCAUCUAUCAUUCUCAAUAUUAGCUGUAUUGGCAAAUUCUACUUUCCUAUUGUUUAAAUCUAAUAUCAGAUGGAUUCCUUUUUUAUUUCUUAUCUGGUAUUUAGGGAUUUGCCAUUGAAUCAGCUGCCCUGGUGUUUAUCGCUCUGUUUAGUGCAUUUGUGAGUCGUGCAGCAAUUUCUCAUAUUGAAGUCCGGACGCCGAAGGUUUUGGUCGGUUUUAUUGGGGGCUGCAUCCUUCCUUACUACUUCUCUACUAUGACAAUGAGAAGUGUGGGACGUCAAGGAUUGAAGAUGGCUCAGGAGGUCCACAACCUAAAGUCUCAUCCUGAGACCCCUGCAUGUGCUAUCCAAAUUUCAACUUAUGAAUUUUUCACAGGGUUGAUUCUUCCGGGUGCUCUUGUCAUGUUAGCACCAAUUCUCGUCGGGACCUUCUUCGGUGCAGAGACGCUGUCUGGUGUUUUGGCUGGCUCUUUCUCUUCUGUUAUUCGGGUAAUCUUUACCAAAGUAAUCAAUGUCUAUCUAUUUUGAUAAUUUGCGUUGCUCAAGGUGUGUCUCAUAAUUGAAUGCAUGUUAAACCGGAUUAAGAUAUUGUUGUUUCUUCAUUGUUGGACAAAAUUUGUGUAGGUUGGUGAACUGCUGAGUAAUGCUUUUAUCAUCAUAUCUACGCCAAUAUGGCAGUUUCACAUCAGUUGUCUCAUUUGAUUGCAGUAUUUUGUUGAUGAAUACUAUUUGUCGGGCUUGAUUUUGAACAGAUUGUGAAUGCAUCGUCCAAUGCCAAUGGACCAUUGAACAAAGCGAACAAGGACAUUAGGGUAUGCAGCUGCUUUUCGUCGAUUGUACGCGUCUAUGGUGGGUCAGAGACCUGCUAAGAAAACUUGUCUGACCCGACGGAUUUUUUACUUAAUAUAUUGAAUUUGCUUUCAGGCUGGUGUUUUGGAGUAUGCGAACUUGAAUCCCCAUCCCCCUAUUCAUCUCGGAGAUGCUCGAGAUCAAGACUUUGGCAGUCGACGGAUGGACACUUCAGGCCCACCACUCUGCAUCCUCAUCCAGCUAAUGGCAGCCGAGUCGCUUGUGUUCGCUCGCUUCUUUGCCCCUCACCGUGGUUAGCUCUUCAAGAUUUUCUGAGGGAGGGAAUGGACGACUUCCCUUCCAUAGCAGCGGCGGCAAUGUUGAGACAGAAAUUGUUAUGUAUUUCCAUUAAGUUUAUUUGGGUGUUCACAUACCCAAGAGUACAUUCGGAAAGAUUUACUUGCAAGAGAAGAAAUGCAUUAAUUAUAAAAAUUUCAAACUUCUAAAGAUAAGAGUCCAAAACUUUCAAAUCUGAUAGCCCUAUAUUUGGUUGAUACACCCGCUCAAAUGGAAGAGUCUGAGAUGGCGAAUCUUCAACUUGUCUCACAAAAAUGCAAACCGUUCUUUACGAAGAGCUUCAGCGAGUUGGUAUGCUAUGGAGAUAAACUGUGUACUGAGUUGUUGUUGGGCGACAUGAAACAGAUAAAGUGGAAGUCAAUUUAAAUAUGUUUGGUAAGUGGCACCAAUAUUAUUGCACCAAAGGAUGGGAGGACCUUGAAGAGAGAACCCAAGCUCUUGAAAAAGUGCGAGGCAAAUGAGUUCAGCUGCAGCAUCAGCAAGGGCUUUAUGCUUAGACUUUGUGAAGAGUGCACUACGGUUCGUUUUCGUCUGGAGCUCCAAAAGAUCAAAUUAGGACAAGAAAAAUAGCAUACCCUCUAGUUGACUUCCUGACGUCAAAGCUAUCAACCCAAUCCACAUCGGAAAAGGCUUGCAAACAAGUAUCAUUGGAUUGGGAAAGAAGCAAACCAGACGAACUUGUAUGUUUAAGAUAGCGCAAGAUGUGUUUCACCAUUUGCUAGUGGUCUUUAGUCAGUGCAUGCAUGAAUUGACAAACUUUAUUGAUAGCAAAGGAGAGAUCUGGUCUUGUCAAUGUCACAUAUUGUAGGGCACCAACAAUAGACCGAUAAAGGGUAGGAUCAGACACUAGAGCACCCCCUUUCUCAUAUGGUUUUGUAGUCGUGGCCAUCAGAGUUUGGACAAGCUUGCACUAAAACAUCCCAGCCUGGUGAAGAAAUCACCAAUAUAACAUCCUUGAGAGAGAAGUAACCCAUUAUAGUGAGAGACGACAAGAGAUAAUAUGAGCAAACGAUGGUAAUUUUUUCAACAACUGGACUAAAGGUUUCUACAUAAUCCAUGCCUUCUUGCUGAUGAAAACCCUUAGUAACCAGGCAAGUUUUAUAGUGCUCAAGACUAUCUGUCACGCCCCAAACCCCGAGACACGUGAACAACCCGCCAUGGUCAUGCAAAUGCGACAUUCCCAGGUAGUGUCGCUGACCCCAAUUUACUUUUUAAUGCGCAAGAGGAACGUACUAAGAAACCCCUUACAAAAGAAUACGGGAUAGGACAGCAGGAACAUCAACUCAAAAUCAAACAACAUACUUUCAUAUAUCAUCAACAAUCCAGGGCUUACAUACAUCAACCGGAUCUAGGGCCUAUACACCAAAAAUGGGUCAGAGUCUAUGCACAUCAAAAGAGGGUUAGCCUACACAACAAGGAUCAGCCCACCAAAAAGAAGAACGGUCCUACAACUACUAAUUGGACUCGUUCGACGAUCCCACAUCCUCCACGUCUGACGGCGCAAGGUCUGGAGAUGAUGGGUUGUCCACCCUACCAUCGGGAAGGUCAGCCACACCCUCUCCUAGAAGAGCAUCCAUUACAACCAGGGGAAUGUCAAAACUGUCAAGCAGACCAAUCCUAAAACCAUUGGCCCCAAAACGGAACCAAGCUCUAUACCUAUGGGGCACCCUAACAUCUUCAGUCUCCUGGAUCCACACGGUAGCCCUGAUCAGCUCAUAGACCCAAUGGCUCCCAGGAUCAGGGGCCCUGCGCACCUGCUCGAUGAUCUGCACUGGGAGGCCAUUCUUCUCUGGGGGUCCCGCCAUCUACGGUCCUGUAAUAUUUUUCCCCAAACCGGGAUGAGACUUUGUCUCAGCAAGUUCACCCCUCCUAAACCCCUAUUAGAAAGUAAAUACGCCCCAGAGUAGCUUAGCCACGACAUCAAGAAGACUUACCUCACCUUCGUGCCUCCCUGCAGGUUAGUACAAUUCAUAUCACUUAAGCACAAGUAAUGACAAGAAGGCAAUUUAUCGGAACUCAAUCAAUUUCACUCCAUUUCGCAAUCACAUCAAGCAUUUCCAAAUCAUCAUUAUCCACUGUCACACCAGGGCAAAGCCUACUCGCAAUUCGGCUAUCUACUAAUAUCUAGCUAGGCAUCGCCUCCCCACCUUGGAGCGCACUUCGUCAACACAUCGACGGCAUUCCCGAAGGAGCAUGGAUCCAGUUGGCCUAGCCUCCACUGCGACCCGAGCCACGUCACCCUCCUGACGGCAUCUCUAGAAGAACAAAGGUCCAGUCGGCCUAGCCACUACUGCGACCCGAGCCACGUCACUCUCCCUUGACGGCAUUUCUUAGAAUAAGGAUCCAGUCGGCCUAGCCACUACUGCGACCCGAGCCACGUCACUCUCCUGACGGCAUCUCUAGAAGAACAAAGGUCCAGUCGGCCUAGCCACUACUGCGACCCGAGCCACGUCACUCUCCUGACGGCAUCUCUAGAAGAACAAGGGUCCAGUCGGCCUAGCCACUACUGCGACCCGAGCCUUUCAACUAGCACACGACAAUUUGAUACCGAUCCUUGGAUAUUUUCCAUUUCACCCACAUAAUCCAAUUACGAUGUUAACCAUGAACAAUCAAAUUUCAAUGCCGAACUUGACACUUGGGAAUUUUCUAAAUAAAAUUCCAUCCUUUUCACAAUCAACAAUCAAGUUGCAAUAUUCACACAUCAAAUUCAAAUUCUAAACAUACAGCAGCGGUUCGUACGAAAUUCUGAGCAAUUAGGGUCAAAAUAAAAUUUUCAAGUUUUUUAUUUAUUUAUUUAUAAAUAAUAUUUUAAUGAAUUUCGGAAUAAGAUAUAUUAUUAAAUAAUCCAACAAUUUCGAAGCAUUUAUUUAAAACAUAAAUAAACUCCUUUAAGUCACAUCAAGGUUUAUUUUAAAAAUAAACAUACUUAACCAUCAAACUAAACACACUUUACCUUAAUUAAUCACCUUAAUAUAAUCCACAACUAAUUAAGCCAACCUAUCCGCCUAAUCUCAAUCAACUUAAGCUAAACAUGCUUAGGGCAUCAUUAUCUCGCUAAUCGCGGAUUAGUGAGGUAAACUCACCGGAAUCGCUUUCCGACGAGUCUCCGGCGAAGAGCACGACGACGCCGACGACAAACCGGGCUUGAAAGGCGACGGAACGGCGGCUGAACGGGCGGAGGAAACGGCGGAGGAGAACCGGCGACAGCUCGUGCAACGACCGGCGAAGGCUUGAGCGGACGAUCGGCGACAACGGGAGCUUCGGCGGACGGUGACCAGCAGCGGACGAAGAGACGACGGUGCGACAGGGACACGACGAGCGCUCGCGAGGCUUCGCACGCGGACGAGCAGCGACGGCGACGGCGUGCGACGGCGAAGGCAACGACGAAGGCGAGCAGUGGCGACGGUCGAGCGGUGAAGGCGGACGGAAGGGGGGCGGUUUCCGCUGGUUCUCUCCUUCGGUUUUCCUCCCAAUCUCUCUCCUCUCAAGCUUGAAGAUGAUGGAGACAAGGGGGAAGUGACAUCCCCACUUUUGGUGAGCCAAUUGGCUUGUGACACUUGUCAAGCUCUCCUUGAAUUUGGCCUCCACCAUGACAUCACCUGCUGAUGUCAUUCUCCACUAAUUCAAAUCCUCCAUAACAUCUUCCAAUAGGUUCACUUUCAUUUUCCGCCGAGGUCCAAGUUCUUGUACAUUCAAUUACUUCAAUUUCCAUCAAUUCUCUUCUAAUUGAGUCCAAAUUAAAGUCCAUAAAUUAAUCCAAGGUUCCUAAUAGGGUAUGUGACAUGACCAGCUUCCAACUUCUAAGUUCAAUCCCAAUUUUUUUACGGUUGAAUUCAAUCCGGUGCUAUUUCAGCUCGCCUAAUCCAUUGAGUAGCUUUUGGGGAAAUUUUCUUGCAUCCAACUCGAGGGUGAUCAGUCCUCAAGUCCGACGCGGUAAAAUUCCUUAAUUACUUCACUCAAUAAACUAGUUCCCUCGUGAGUGGCCAACUCUAAGAGACGAACUACAUGCACGGAUGAAUUGCCCGACUCAAUUGACUGAAAAUAAAAUUGAGAAAAAUCGGGAUGUCACACUAUCAUCCACAUUUGCGCUUAAUCCUAUAAGCCCACUUACACCCAACAAGCUUCAUGGAGGAAUUGCGAGAGACCAAAGACUAGGUGCCAUUACUUAACAAGGCAUUAAAUUCAUCGGUCAUAGCUGCACUCCACUCGAGGAUUUUGUUGGCUCGGGUGGAUGAAGUUGGUUCGGUGAGGGGGGUGGUGGCUAUAUUAUUUUGAGGAGGACUAGAGCGAAGUUGCAUGGUGUGGGUGCGUGUUGGCCUAGGUGGGGGUGGCGGCAAUGGUGGUGGAGAGGAUGAUGAGGAUGGGGAACGAUAUAUGUCAUAAAGGGGCCUAGUUCUUAGGGUAGGAGAGAUGGAUGAAUUGGUAUUAGAUGACAUUAAGGGAGCUAGUGUAAGAGGUUGCGAUCUCACGAUAUUGGUAGAUGGAAGAAUGCCAAUAGGAGUCAAAGCCCACUGUACCGCAAUAGGCGUAGGAAGUGAUGAAUGAGGUGAUGGACCAAGAAAGGAAGGAAACUUAAAGGGAAAACACGUUUCAUCAAAACGAAUAUGUCAAGCAAUGUAUAAAUGAUUGUUAAGAGGGUCAAAGCAGCGGUAUCCUAUAGGAGACGGGGAUUGUAAACCAAGAAAAUAUAAGGAACGGAGUGGAAAUCCAUCGUAUGGGCAUUAUAAUGACGUGACGCCGAAAGAUUUUUAAGAAGGAACAAUGCAGAGGAUGAUUAUAAACCAUUUGAAAGGGGGAGACAAGAUUAUUGACCUUGGAUGGCAUCCGGUUGAUGAGGUCGACCGCCAUUUCGAAUGCAUAGUGCCAGUAUUGGUGAGGGACAAAGCCAUGAGCUAAUAAUGUUAAACCAGUUUCAACUAUAUACCUAUGAUGAUGUUUAACUGCCCCUUGCUAUUCAUGGGUAUGAAGGGCAGAAAUUGGUGAGCAAUACCAAUUUUCGAGAAAAAGGAGGGCAGGACAUGAAAUUCCCCACCCCAGUUUGUUUGAAUGGCUUUUAUUUUUUUUUUUUUGUGAAAAGUGACAUUCGACAAGAGCUUGGAAAGUAAGAAAAAUGAAGUAAAUAUCUCACUUUUCUUUAAGAGGAUAAUACCAAAUAAAUUUGGUGCAAUCUUCAACAAAAAUAAUGAAAUAACAAUAACCAUUAGUUGAAACAACAUGAGAAGAACUCCAAACAUCACUAUAAAUUAAAUCCAAUCAAACUAUGAGUUGGAGAUUCAACGAAGACAUUAUUUUCAAGUGCAAAUUUUUGAAUCAAAAGUAAACACUUAGAAAUAUCAGGGACAUGAAGAACAUCAUUUAAAUGUAAAGAAAGAUUUGAAAUAGAGGAGGGAAUAUAAUAAGUACCAAUAUUAGUGAUUUUGAGACCCUUACCUUUUUCGACAUGUAGUUGAUCUGAUCCAUUAUAAGCUUUGUAGGAAGAGAGGGAUUGUAUAAGGCAUAACAUGGUGUAAGGCACCCAUGUUAGGGUACCAAGGUAGGGUGUUGGUAGGUGUACGUAAAAGAGGGGGUAGGGCAUGGCUUAGGUUGGCAUUAGGAGAAUAAGAGGGUUGAGAAGAUGAAGUAGAAGAAGGGCAUGUGUAGGCGGUGGAUAAUAAGGUAUAUCUGGAGGACGAUAGUAGCAUGUGGGAAUAGUGUGAUUUGUAUGUUGACAGAUGGAACACCAUAAUUGACCAUGUUAAAAACCAUGGGUACCAUGACCAUAGCCAAAGUGGCGAUCGCAAACCCCGCGACCUCUAGACUGACCAUGGCUAGAGAAAAGAGGAACCAAGAGGGGUGGAGGCAUUUUGUCGAGUAGAGUUGGCUAUAGCAAAGUUAACUUGAGAGGAAGGCUUGUAGAUCUACAACUUCUAGAAGGCCUUAAUGCUCUCCGUAAACGAGAUUUUUUUUAGAAUGACCAAGUAAUAUAGGAACAAUGUCUUGGAGAUCAGAUUGGAGGCCGUAGAAGAUAUGGACAUUGAAAUCCUCUGGUUCAAGAGGCUUGCCUACAACACCCAUCUCAUCGACAAUGGAUUUAGCACGUUGGAGGCAAUCAAUAACUGAUUUGUCAUGUUUCUGUUGCAGAUGCUGAAGACUGAGAUGAAGAGAAAACACUUGUGUAGCGAAAGUUGAGCCAAAAGAGGCAUUGAGAGCAUCCCAGAUGGCUUUACUAGUUGGUUUACUUAUAAUUAGAGGUAAAAUGAUUCUGAGAGGGAUGCAAUUAGAAGACUCUUGAUGGAAGCGUUUUGUUAUUGUCAGAGAGCUACUUGGGGCUGCAUUAGAGGGACACAUUUUGGUUCUAUCAACAUGGUCAUAGAGGUUUUGUCCUUUGAGAUACGAGAUGACCCAUGCUUUUGAUAACAAGUAAUUGGAUGCUUUGAGACUUAGAGAAAGGAAGUGGUGAACAGAUCCAAAUGGAGGAAGUGUGGAAGCGGGGUUUAUAAUGGCAAUAAUGGUGGUGGUGGCGGGAAGAUUCUCUAGGGUCAUGAUGACCGCCCUUGUAGGGAACAAAAAAGGAGAAGAACGGUAGGGUUGAAAGUGGCGUUAGCCUUACAUGGCUCUUGAUAUCAUGUUGAGACAGAAAUUAUUGUGUAUUUCCAUUAAGCUUAAGUGAGUAUUUAUAUACCAAAAGUACGUUACGAAAGAUUUGCUUUCAAGAAGAGAAAUACAUCAAUUAGAAAACUUUCAAACUUCUAAAAAUUCCAAAACUUCCAAACCUGAUAGCUCCAUAUUUAGUUGAUAAGCAGCAGCAUUGUCAUCAACUCAGUUUGUACUUUAACAUCUAUUCCCGUGUUGUUUGCACGAGCUGAUAGACUUCUCUAGUGCCUCCGCUGCUUCGGACAAUUCGAGCAAGAACUUUUGAAUAAGGUUUUGGAUUAUCCAAAUUACUCGGUUUAAUUUGGAAAAAACAAUAUCAAAACAAAAGAUGGUCGUGGGCAUUCAAAGCAGAAAUGCGACAUCAUGAUAAUAAGUCGAAAGCUGCUAAGAUACUCGGGUGCUAAAGAAUGUCUAUGGUGCUCCUUCUUCGCCAACUCACCUCACGUAAAGAUGACGAAGCAUUCAACAAGGACCAUGCAUCAAUCUGAAAUGCACAAACCCUACUUUAAAUAUGGAGCAACUGUCUACCGGGGCUGAUAAUAGAGACGAUAUGCGAGCCAAAAGGCGGGACCAUAAAGAAGAACAUUUACAGCGGAGGCAGGAAUAAAGCUGACCAAUACUAGUGCCAAUUGUGAGAUUUUAUGAGACCGUUACGGAUUUGCUAAAAAAAUAAUCAAAGUCAAGCUUAAAAAAAAAAAAAAAUUUCUCUAGUUAAAGCGCUCUCCUCGACAAAAGGAGUCUUUGCUUGCUAUAAAUAGAUUUCUAAAUAAUACUAACAAGACAAGUGGAAGAUCGAAUUCCUCCCUUUCGAGUCCGAGCUUUCAAGUAGCCUCUGGAGUGGAGUGGUGGGAUUCGAUCUAUCAUUUCUUAUUUCUGUCCCUACGAUAUCUGCUCAGCAACAGCUAGAGAAGUAUAACUUAUCCUUUUGGUUCAGAAACUGGGUCUUUGGACGGUCGCUUCUACCGAAUGAAUUUGCUAAUAGAUACGGUGAAGAAUUCAGUUCUCAGAUCUCAAAGAUUUGACAAUUUCAAAUCCUCAUGUCGGAUGGAACCUUUCGAACCAAAUUCCGGGUAUAAAGUUUUGGUUAAUGAAGCCAGGCCACCAGGAAGAAAUUUUAUAGAAUCUUUGAAAACGAAGAGGAGUUUUUUUGUCAAGAUAGACUAAUAACUUAUAAAGUAGAUGAUUCCUAAACACUGAUUUAAUACGAUACUUAAUUCCCUUGUUAAGAAAAUAUUUGAUUAAUAUAAUACCAUCAAAUCGUCUUAAAUUAUAAAAGUAAAUAGUUCAAAUAUUUUUAUUACCUUUAGUUGUCCUAACAACUUUUAGACGCUCUACAAAGAGAAAAAUAGGAGUCGAUUACUCCUAUCUUUAAAAUAAUUUAUUAGCCCAAUAAGGUCUUCACUUAAAUAAGUUAUUUAAGAAUCACGCUUCGAAGCAAGCUUUUCACCAAGUCAAACCACUAGGAAAGUGAUGCUAGUGCUAAUAAUGAGAUUUUGUGGAAUAAUUGUCAACUAGUUUUUAAGAUUUUUUUUGGUCAUAGACUAGCUAUUAAGAUGAAUGUGUGGUUUAUCAUUAACUAGGAAGGUAAAUAAAAAGUUGUUAGAUGAAUGCUUUAUUUAUAAUUAAUAAUUCUAAUACCAAUGAUCCAUUUCACGAAGUGCUUAGAUCCAUAUGAGAAGAUAAUGUUUUGAAGUAUCUGGUUGAAUAAGACGCCUUUCUUUCCUUCUUUAUUUUUUAGAAUUUUUAUUCCCACAAUCAAUCUUUAAUGUUGUUAUUUCUUCAAUUAAAAUCUUUACUCGCUCUCUGAAUUCUAAGAAACUGGAACUAAUUAAUCGCUAAAUAGAGGGCUGGUAGCAUGUUUUACCAGCAUAUCUUAUGUCAAACUUCAAGUCUUUUGUAAUCGGUAAUUGCAUAAUUCUCAACCCAAAAUAAUAAAACUAACUAUAGUUUUCUCGUUUUAUGUUGUGAUAAUAAAUUAAUAAGAUAUGUAGGUUAGGUGUGCUAGCCUUUUCGAUGUAACUCAUCCUAUCUUUUUCCCACCUUUUUUUUUCUGUGUGUAAUUUUAAUAUUGGAGUUAAAACACAAAAAAUGAUAAACAAACGUACACUUUUCCAAGUUCCAAGCCACUUGGCAAUAGAAUAACCACAAAGUCAAUCCGUGAUUAGUUGCAAUCAAUUAUGUGCAUGCUAAAGUCUUGCGAUUCCCCCCCAUUAAUUAAUUCUUUCAAUCCGCCACUUCCAAAGUGCAUUUAAAGCAAUUCGUUAUUAUUAUUAUUAUUAUUGUUUAUACAUUGUUCUGAAAGUUGCCGCGCUUAUUAUCAGGCAGAAAUCCCAAAGCCAAGUGAAUCUUUCACCCAGUGUGUUUUUUCUCACCACAACUUGGUUCAAUUGGACAAAAUAGCGGGACAAGAAUGGCACUGUUAAUGUCUCCUCGGACAUGAGCUCUAGAGUUCAAAUUACAUUGAUCAUGCUUCAAUUUCAAGUGGUGGUCAAGGUACAAAACCUAACUUAGAGCCGAUGCUAGCCUCUCCGAAUCAUCAACUGAAUCAAACCUCUUCAAUUAGUGUCACAUAAAUUGAUUUUUCCAUGUACACGUGGAUCAGGACUGUAAACGCAAGGGAGCAUUUGGAUGGAUUGAGUUGAUGGAUCGGCGUGUUCUCAUGUGUGAUGGUAAAUAUCCGAUCUUCUUCAAGAUGAGGAUGUAUGUGUUUUCAUUUUCUUAGAAUUGAGCUAGCAAGUGCUCAAGCAAGUGUUAACCAUAAUGUGUCGCAACUGGUUGUAAUCUAUCCAAAGUCCUUUUGGCACCAUUAUAUCUUUUGCUUAUCACUAAUUUGCAACAAUUUUCUAAGAUUCACCUUUGAACCCUUUUAGAUAUGUAAUUUCAACGAAAUCAAUAUGAACUGAUAUGAGAACGAGGAUCAUCCUCUUCUGCGUUUGCUUUUUGCGAACCGCGAUGUACGAACUGCAUCUUCUUCAGUUUCAUCGCUGAUCAUUUAUGUGGUUUCAAAAAAAUAAACAAUGAAUUCUACCCUGAAAUAACCCUCUUUUGAUAGUAAUAAAUAGGAAAAAUGACCCAAAUGACUUUUAAAUUUUGACCUAUUGUGCAAUAUUAUCCCUAAUCUUCUAAUUUAUUUAAUGAAGUUCUUGAACUUUUGGUAAAUGUUUAAUGGACUUCUUCAUUGGUCAAACACAAAUUAAACAGUGUUUCAAGAAGUGGAUUAAUAUAUGCUGAGUCGGAUCAUUAAUAAUGAUGUCGACCAUGUUCAUCAUUUUAUUCAUCUACUUUAGAAAAGGAAAAAGAAUUAGGGCAUUAAAAUGUCCAGCAUUAUUUGAUAAUGUGUAUUAUUAUAUCUUGAAUUAAACUAAAUAUCUUACGUUAAAAAUCCAUGUGUGAUUUAAUUUUUUGUUCUACUGUUCAAACGUAAUGGUUUAGAAGUCAUAUUACUAGAGUUUGUUAACUUUAAUUAACGGAAGAACGACAUUAAAUAUUUUCAUAUAGUUUAGGAGCUAGAUUGAACAUUCGAAUCUAGAGACAACAUUGUAUAUUAAAGCAAAGUUUAGGGAUUAAUUGGGUCAUUUUCCAUUAUAAAUACAAUUGUCUCCUGUAUAUGAGCUUGCAACUGCAUAAAGGACAUUCACACGUCAUUAUUUCAUCAUUUUUUGCUAAAAUAUGCAUCACAGCUCACAACAUAUUACUAAGCAUUACUGCAGAUGGAGUUAUAGCGAAUUAUGGCUCUUCGUGAGAGAUUUAAAAAAAAAAAAAAAAACGGAAGCCUUUAGAAGAUAUUAAUAUGUAUUGAAUUUUCUAGACAUUAAGGUAAUUAUGCAUAUAUCUGUUAUUGCUUGCACAAAAAAAUUAGUUAGAUCGUCGACAUGAGUAGGCACGUGACUUAAGGACAAGUGAUUAUCAAUGCUAGACACAUAAACUAUUGUUGAUGAUCUCUAGCUUAAGAAAUCGAAUAAUAUAGGGAUCAAUUACUCUCCUUACUUGGAGUGCCGAUUUACUUCUUGGAUCUAUAAAAAAAAUCCAAGGUUUAUGUCGUGGUUGAGUGUCGCGACCUCUUUUUUUUCGGCGCCACAUCUGGGACGGGCGCCUUGCGGAGGCUAAUGGCUCGGUUGAAAUUAGUUAUGUCCAGACUCUCCCAAGUCCACCAAUUCACGACUUUAAUAGUCUGAGUUUUUAACCUGUAAAUCAAUUUUUAAAAUGGAGUCGCCACUAAUCGAUUUGGGGUGGGUUGAUUAGAAACCCAAGUGAAAUAUCGGGAGAAAUACUCAAUCCUGCGCAACUAGAGAAAUUAGGAUCGGGGACUUGAUUACACUAGUUAAUCACUAAUGCCCUUUCGGUACCUAAUCUUGUUUAAACCCUAAGGCUUUUUGGAUUUUUGAGGGAUUUUCCAUGCAUUUUUUGGGAGGAAAAACAUUUUCGAGUAUUUUUCUAAUUUUUUGGAUAUAAAAGGGAUUUUUUUGGACCUUUUUUGGUAUUUUUGGAAAAAAAAAAUACAGGUCUUUUUGGCUUUUUCUGAUUUUUUUUGGCUUUUUCAUGAAUUUUUGGUAUUUUUUUGGAUUUUUGGCAUUUUUUGGAAAAUAUGAAAUAUUAUUUAUUUUUUUUGGAAAAUAAAAUAUUUUUUGAUUUUUUGGAAAAUAAAAUAUUUUUUGAUUUUUUGGAAAAUAAAAUAUUUUUUACUGUUUUUCUUAAUAUUUUUCGAAAAUGAAACAUUUUUUGAUUUUUUUUGAAAAUAAAUAAAUUAUUUAUUAUUUAUUUAUUUAAAUAUUAUUUUAUAUUAAAAUAAUAUAAAAACUGACCUGGGUCGGAUCUGCGGGUUGGGUUCGACCCGGGUUGACGACCCAAAACGUGGACGGGCCUGCGUUGCGGGCUCGACUCAGAUUUUUUUUCUUUUUCUUAAAAACUCAGCCCACACACACGGAAUUGGGCCUAUUAAAAAAAGGAUGCUCGGCUCGCGGAGAAGCUGGCCUUGCGUAACCCUGGAGUGCCGGGUCACACGCCCGACCCGAGGACCCACUCCCCGCCGCGAAACCCUACCCAACCCGACUCCAGCACCCGACUUGACUUCCGCCGCCCCUUAAAUCGUAGAAACCCUACCCGUUUUCCAAACCCGGAUCCGCUUCGUGACCCAGAAAUCGCAAAUCCUAGGGUUUGCGAAUCCGCGGUGCCGAAGGGGGGGAAACAGGAGCACUCCAGCGGCGACGGCGACGGCUAUGGAAGGGGGCUACAAUGAACGGCAGGGACGAUGGCUACGGGCUUUUUACCUUGUGACAGCCUCAAUUUUCAGAAUUUGUUUUCGAUUAAAUAAAUCGGGCCUUUCAUCGAAACGCUAAUAGUGCUAUUCUCUGAGCUGAUCACUCACGAGAUAACUGGACUAUUUGGGAAUGCAAUUAGGGAAUCUAAAUGCAAUUGGACUUGAGAAUUCGACCAAGAAUCGACUACUCAACCGUGUUGAUCUGUAAGGGUCAUUACGGCAUCGUCAGAGAUCGAUCAGAAAUCAGAGAUAGGUCGAUUCGACUGAGAUAUGUGAUCAAAUUGUGGGUGAUUCCACUUGAUUGAAAAAUUCUCAUCGAUCGGCACUAAAUUGAUUUUUUUUUUAUCGUUUUGGUACUUGGUGCCCGUAAUUGAAACCUCGAGAUUUUCACGACAACUGAGAGUCGCUAAUGUGUCGAAGAUGUACUUUGUGACUCAAGAUAAAUCGAUCACAGGUCAAUUGCACCAAACAAAAAAAAUUCCUAAAAGUUACCCGGUAAACUAAGUCACGCUAAAAGCGCUGAUUGAAAAUAACCGUGAAGUUGAACCCGAUUUCAAAAAUUGAAAGUCCUGAUGUGUCACAAGCUAUUUUAGGAACGUCGACUCACUCUCCGAGAAAUUUUCAGAGAUUCCGGGAUUUUUGCGGAAAAUCGAUACGGACGUUGCGGAAAAUUAAGAGAAAUUCAUUUGGACUGAAUUUAAUCGAGUUUGGACUUUCAAGCCAAACCUGUGAGUGUCAGGGAUUUAUAGAAAAUCGUUCGGAAUUUUUCUUCAUCGAGAUUGGACCUCAAUUUGGGAAAUUGAGUGAAGAAAUUUAUCCUAAAAAUUUAUGAAAUUCGGAUCAAUAAUUGGGGAUGGAAUUUUGCACUUAAAUUGGGUUAUUUUGGUGGAUAAGUGAUUGGAAAGUAAUAGGGAACAUCCAAUUAAUGGAGUGGCUAAGGUUGUUGACUAAUAUUCCCUUUUUGGCUGGCUUCUACCUCACGAUUCAUCCCCCUCCUUCGGACGCUCACAGCCGCACACUCACCACAGCGUCCCUUCUCGUCCGUGUGCUACUUCACUUUCAUUUUCAUUGUUCAGCUCCUGCUUUCAUUUUUUUCCUUUUUCCUUCGCUCAGCAAAGUCCACUGAGCUGCUCCCCACGAAGAUCGAAGCCACAACCCACCGAUCUUCUCUCUCUCGUGGCUGUCCCCAAGCUAGUCAAUUGCAGCGAUUUUCUUCAAGUUAGUUGACCCAACUUCCUUGCCCACGAUUCCACCGUCUACUUCUUCACCGCUUCGUGCCUUCAAGUCAGCUCACCAAGGUCAGUAGCAACGGCCGUUUGUUGACCCGUUGCUCGCGCCUCCCCACCCAUCUGCCGUAGCCUCAUCUCCUUUCAUUUUUUUUUAAUCUCCACUGAAAUCCAGCUUCAAGUGGCGUGCAUGGCUCGGUCAAUCUUUUGCCAGGGAAGCCCCCACUGUUGACCACCAAACGCCCCCUUCUCCACCAGCUCUUGUCGUCCACCCACAGUCCUCACGCCGCCCAUCAUCUCCAACGAUUUCAUUUCUUUGGCCAGCUCGACGCCAACGAAUCUCUCAGCUCCGUUCCUGUUUCGGUUGUUCCCGUAUCCAGCUGCCAGCGAAGCCCGCUCGUGGAUCAGCAGUAACGCAUGAAGCCCAACUUCAUUUCUUCAGCCCGUAUCAGCCCAGCGAUUCGAGUCCAUUUAAUUGGGUCUUCAGCCCAAUUCAUCAAGGACCAAUUCCAGCAAGUCAAUUGAAGCCCAAGUCCACCGAAGUUUAGCCCGCGAAUCAAGUGAAGCCCAGCCCAAGUUGGAAACAAAUCUCAGAUUUGGGCUGAGAUUUGUUGGGCCAAGUUUAGGCCCGGCCCAAGUUUGUUGACGCCGCCGAAAAUUAAGGUUUUAGCCGCUGUCGCGCCGUCGUUGCGGUGAACCGGUUUCCGCAAUUAACCGGUGAGUUUAUACUCUAAACUCUGCUUAGUAGGCUAAUAACGUUUAAAGGGUGUUUAGAUUUAUUUUAUUAGGAAUUAGGUGGUUAGUUAGAUUAAAUUAGAAAUGUAAUUAUUUAAUUGAGCAUGUUAGGCGGUUAACAUGGUUUAGCUAAGGCCUAAAUAAAGUGUACUGUUUAUCUAGAAGGGUUCGGGAAUUUUCUGAGUCCGUAUUAGCUAUUAAUUUAAUGAUUCUGGCCUAGGUUAGUAUUUUUAGAAUUUAAAUUGAUUUAUUUAAUUAAUUUCAGUAAUUAUUUAAUUAUUAAUUAUUUUUCCGGAAAUUAGGCCGGGAUAGCCGGUGACCGGAAUUUCGUGCUGAUUUCAAUUGUGUGGUUAAUUUAUGCAAUUGAAUGUUAAAUUAUGCAAUUUGAGUACUGAUUGGAUUUUUAGUAUUUAAUUCCAAAAAUUGUGAAUUUCCAAUAUUUAUUCAGAAAAUCCCAAGUGUUGGGAUUUGACACCGAAACCGGCUUUUAGUACUAUAUGAAAUUGUGGGAUUUCAAAAAGGAUGAAUAUCACUUUUUCUGAAUCAAGUUCCCACACACGAGUAAUUUCAUGUGAAUUUCCAAUACGAAGGAAAAGGCCAGGCUCACCAUUUUAAUUGAAGCAUUUGAGUAUAAUGUACGGUGUCCUGGGCCAUAUUUGAGUGAUCGUGUGAUGGUCAAGAGAAAUCAUCCCGGGCUAUUGAGCUGGAUGUUAUCCCUAUUUGAGAUACCCCCUAAACAACGGGAAGCCGGUCGCAGUUGAUUCUGGACCCUAUGCUCCUUCGGGAAAGCCGUCUGAUAAAGAGACGUGCUGUGCUCAAUGGGGUGAGACGAAGCCUGGCAAUGCCAGAAGACCGCCGAACUGAGAGUAGGCCGUGCUAUAUGCCGAGAUCAAAUCUAGGAACGCAUGAUUAAUUGAGUGUGGCGUUUCAGUUAUUGGAGCUUAUUUGUUGCUCAUGCUCUCAUGUUGUCUGUGAGAUAAAUUGUACUGACCUACAGGGUGGAUCUGAGACGAGGUAAGUCUCAUUGAUUGUGUGAUUGUGUGAUUAGGACACUUAUGGGCGCAUUUCUCUCCUAAUUGGGGUUUAGAGCUUAGACUCGCUGAGAUGAUAUCUCACCCCGUUGUGGGACAACAUUUUCAGGGUCAUCGAGUGGACGACUUGGAGCUGAGAGGAGGUGAUCGGAAGCGUAGGUCAGCUAGGACCGCUUCUUUUUGGAAGACCAGUCUUUUGUAGUCUUUUGGCCAUAGACCUGUGUACAUGACUCAAUGUAUAUAUAAAAGCAUGUUUGUUUGUGAAUCUAUUGUCCUACCUUUCUAUCCCGAGAUGAUUACUGUCAGAGGAUUUAUUUUCACUUUCGCAUGUACAAUAAAAUGGAAAGGGUCGGCGACUCGUCCUGGGAAGUCGCAAAUUAUUAUCGACUAGAUAGGGAUGGGCACGCGCUCAGGGUUCGGGGCGUGACAUACCUUUUCUUGAACGGGGGCAACAACGGCGACGGCAGGGGGCAAUUUGCGACGGUGGAAGCCAUGACGGUGACGGCGAGGCCUGGGUUUGGUUAGAUCUGGCCGGGGCUCUCUCUCUCUCGGGCUCGGGAUGGCCCUUCGAGCUUCGGAGGAGAAGCGGCUCGUGGGGGGACAGUAGUAGCAAUUGGCGUCGGGAUCUCGUGGUGUCGGCGUCGCGGAAGGGCUGAGUCGCCCUUGAUCUGCGACGCAGCUCUCGGCCGGACCCUCCUCAGGCUUGAUCUUCUCUCACUCAGGCCAGAUUCGAGCCUCCACCGGCCGAAUCUGACCUUCUCGAAGUCGCUCGCCGCCGGCCUUCCCCGAAGUCUCUCGGUGGAGGGUAGGCUGAGCUCGCGACUCGAGUUCUCUCUCGCUUGCUAUUCGAUUCCUCCCCCAAAGUCUCUUAGUGGGAAGAUCUCAGAGCCCACUUGUGUUCUUUGACGAUGGAAGCGCUCCGCUAUUUAUAGGCGAGGAGGUCCGGUCGACGGAGAGCAUGCCGAGUAGUUCUCCUCGGCUGAACCGGCGUCCCAUCCGAGCUUAUCCAGCGAAGCGUGCUUGGCAUUGAUGGCGCUUGAGAUCUUAUCCUCUCAGGCUGACGUCAACCUACUCCCCUCGGCCGUAGGCCGUCCUUCGCACACAUCGCCGGCCACCGCGCAUGAGAUGCAGGCGACUGAGGAAGAAGAAGACAUGAGGAAGAAGAAGAGAGGGGGGGUCGGGCCAAAACUCAAGAAAACAAGGGCUGGGCCCUAGGUUCGCGCAAGGGAGAGAAAAAGAGGGGAUGGGCUGGGCUUUUGCUUUCUUUGGUUUUUUCUUGUUUUUUUUUUUUUUUGUUGUUGUUGUUGUUUUGUUGUUUUUAUUUGUUUUUUUGUUGUUUUUGUUAUUUAUUAUUUAUUAUAUGAAAAAAAAGAGAAAUAAAAGAAAACAGGGCCUAAUUAAUAACUUAAUCUAAAUUUAGGUGUCAACAGCUGCCUCUUUUUGAAAGUGAGUUCGCAGAGGUUGCAUUCAAAGACAAACCUGAUACCUAAAUUUUGUCUAUACAUAUGCAAUAGAUUAUACUUUAUUUGGGACCUAUUAUUCUAUGCAGAAAAAGAGCAAUACUAAGACAGAUAAGAAGAUACCUGUAAUUACUUACCGGGAGUGAGUGAAAUAGGGUGUGGUGUGAACCCCGAGUUUUGGCAAGUAUCAAUGCGUCAUCUUACCUGGUGAUGUGAGGAGGUUGCUUUUCCAGGGCUCGAACCAUUCUUUGGUCGACUGUUAAAACAAUCAAUGAUUUGUCUAGGACCCGAACAUUUUUUCGAUUGUCUUGACGGGAGAUUGCUCCUCCAGGACCCGAACCAUUCUUCGGUCGCCAUGACGGGAAAUUGCUUCUCCAAGACCCAAACCAUUCUUCGGUCACCUGUUAAAACAAUCAAUGAUUUGUCUAAGACCCGAACCUUUCUUCGGUCGCCUUGACGGGAGAUUGCUCCUCCAGGACCCGAACCAUUCUUCGGUCGCCUAUUAGAGCAAUCAGUAGUUUGUCUCGGACCCGAACCAUUCUUCGGUUGCCGUGAUGGGAAAUUGCUUCUCCAGGACCCAAACCAUUCUUCGGUCGCCUGUUAAAACAAUUAAUAAUUUGUCUAGGACCCGAAUCUUUCUUCUGUUGCCUUGAUGGGAGAUGCAUCGACCUUUCUCAAGGCAUCUCAUUUGUGGGUGCCUGAUUUGUAUCGAGGACACCAGUUGGUACCCGACCUUUCUCGGGAGGAUGCACCGACCUUUCCCAAAGCAUCGAUUUGUGGGGUGCCCGACUUCUGUCAAAGACACUGGUUGGAACCCGACUUUUCUCAGGAGGAUGCACCGACCUUUCUCAGGGCAUCGAUUUGUGGGGUGCUUGACUUUUAUCGAAGACACCAGUUGGAACCCGACCUUUCUCGGGAGGAUGCACCGACCUUUCUCAGGGCAUUGAUUUGUGGGGUGCCUGACUUCUAUCGAAGACACCAGUUGGAACCCGACCUUUCUCGGGAGGAUGCACCGACCUUUCUCAGGGCAUCGAUUUAUGGGGUGCCUGACUUCUGUCGAAGACACCAGUUGGAACCCGACCUUUCUCGGGCAGAUGCACCGACCUUUCUCAAGGCAUCGAUUUGGGAGAUACCUAGACAUUCACAGGCAUAUUAAAGAGUACCUGGAUAUUCACAAGUAUUAACAUGAAGGAUAUUUGGGCCUUUGCAGGCGUCGAAAUGGGUAUUUCGCUGACCAUAGGCAUUGAAGGGGUAUUUGGAUGAUCACAAUUAUGAAUUCUUGGGGCAUACUUGGACAUUCACAAGUAUCGAAGGGGUACUUGAUAAUUGGAAAUAUUGAGAACAUACCUUGGAUAUUUGUGAAGGUGUCCCACCUCCUAGUAAUUGGGAAAUAUCGAGGGCGUACCUGGGAUAUUUGUGAAGGUCUCUCACCUCCUAGUAAUGGGAAUAUCGAGGAUGGAUCUCGCAUAUUCGUGAAGGUCUCUCACCUUCUGGUAGUUAGAAUAUUGAGGACGUGCCUCAUAUAUUCGUGAAGGUCUCUCACCUCCUGGUAGUGGGAAUAUCGAGGGCGUGCCCCGCUUAUUCAUGAAGGUCUCUCAUCUCCUGGUAAAGGGGAAUAUCGAGGACGUACCUAGGAUAUUCGUGAAGGUCUCUCACCUCCUGGUAAUUGGGAAUAUCGAGGAUGUGCCUUGCAUAUUCAUGAAGAUCUCUCACCUCCUGGUAAAGGGGAAUAUUGAGGACGUACCUGGGAUAUUCGUGAAGGUCUCUCACCUCCUGGUAAUUGGGAAUAUCGAGGGCGUACCUGGGAUAUUCGUGAAGGUCUCUCACCUCCUGGUAAAGGGGAAUAUCGAGGACGUACCUGGGAUAUUUGUGAAGGUCUCUCACCUCCUGGUAAUUGGGAAUAUCGAGGGCGUACCUGGGAUAUUCGUGAAGGUCUCUCACCUCCUGGUAAUUGGGAAUAUCGAGGGCGUAUUGAGAUAUUUGUGAAUGUCUCUCACUUCCUGGUAAAGGGGAAUAUCGAGGACGUACCUGGGAUAUUCGUGAAGGUCUCUCACCUCCUGGUAAAGGCGAAUAUCGAGGACGUACCUGGGAUGGCCUCUCACCUCCUGGUAUUGCAAAUGUCGAGGGUGUGCCCCGCGUAUUCCUGAAGGUCUCUCACCUCCUGGUAUUAUAAGCUUGAAUGUGGCACGCGGCUUACCUGGAUGGCUGCAGGCACUCAAAAGGGCUAGAGCACCUGGGUAGCUACAGGUGUACAAAGCACUAGAAUACUCGGAUGAACACAAGUAUUUAAUGAUAUGAUCUAGGACCACUCAGGCUGGUUCAAGUGCUAGAGAGCAUACCUGGAUGGCAGUGCCAAGCAAAGCAAUGGAAUGCUUGAACAGCUGCUAUAUUAUUUGGGGACAACUCGGGCAGGUUGAGUGUCAUGAAAAGGAAGUACCUAGACAACGGUGGGUACUUGACGAUAUAGGGAUACCUAGACAGCAGUAGGUAUUCCAAGAGAUACUUGGUCAGUCACAAGUAUCAAUACUCUGGGGACAAUUCGAAUCGGUCGACUGUUAGGAAAAUGGAGUAUCCGAACAGUGGCCGGUACUCAAAGACAAUGGAGAUACCUAGACAACAUUAAGCACCCAAAUUCAAAGGACGACUCAAAUAGGUUGAGUGCCAAUAAGAGAGUACCUGGACAGUGAUAGGUACCUUAAGACAAAUGGGGAUAGAGAUAUGCUUACUUGGCAAUAUCUCUGAUCUCUAAGAGUAUGUUUACUAUUUGCACAAUAUGCACACAUGAUUGUAUAUGCUGUAAAUUCAUGAGUUCAAAUGAGAUUUAUGCAUGAUAAUUUUGUCAGUUCUGCAUCUUUUGAUUUCCACUGGGGAAGAUUUUGAAAGACAACCUUCAUUUAGAAUGUAGAUGUCUUGAGCAUGCUAGAUGAGGGACUUUCAGUCUGAAAAGACUUUCCGCUCACUCUCAUGGAAAAGGCUAUCCUGACCAUUGAUGUAGGAUUUAUAAGGACCACACUAUCUCACUAUCAUCAUGUUAGCAUGGGUCCGAGUAUUCUCGCAAACAGUACGACUUUACCAAUGUGAGAGGUCUUUGUUGAAACUGCGAUGAAGUCUUGGUCAGCGGCUCAUCGAAGGGGACCAUCAAGGUCAAGGCUUAUGAAUGGAGUGUCGCACGAUUGUCUCCGGGUUUGCAAGUCAAGAAUCCUGCGAAAAGAGAUAGAGUAAUCUUACUCAUACUUCUUCGAGCGAUGUUUAUAGAUAUAUGAAAUCCUACGUUAAUUGAAGUGCCCUAGUUUGAAGAGACUUUUACAAUGGGAUGUAACGUAGACUUGGCUCACAUGUAAGAGGGUGAGAGUUGGUGAUUGUUUUGGCAUUUGUCACUAGUCUUUCUUGUCAGAUGGAGGUUCUAUGGACCACAACAAAUUUUCUUUGCUGUAUUUUUUACUAGGGGGCAUUGGCCUUGCUUUUACCAGGCACGCUGCUUUUUUCAUGCCUCUAUUUUUAUUCUAGUUCUUCUUUUAUGGGCAUUGACCUUGCUCUUACCAGGUACACUGCUUUUUUAUGCCCCUAUUUUUUUCAUUCUUGUCAUUAGAGGAACUAGCCUAGGCAAGUUCAAUCACGAUACUGUUGUUAGACUCUUGAGUCUUUGUCUUCAGCUAGCGCUCCGAGCUAUGCUGUUUAAAUGGUAGUAACUUCUGUUUUGCCUCCACGUGAGGGUGAAAUUACAGACUCAAUUGGGUUGUACAAUGAAUACAAGUGCGUAGAGAAAGAAUUACUCUUCAUCAUUCUAAGGCACUUAAAUUAACGCGAGUGUUCAUAUGCAAUAAAGACACCCGAAGAUUGAUGCAAGUGCGAGCAAGAAAAUUUCUAUCUCUCUUCUCACCUUGUGAUGCUGCUUUGCCUUCGCUCUACCCCAAUGUGGGGUGGUUCUUGACGAGGGUAUGAGAGAAGCUUCACCAGUGUAUGGGGCUUGAUGGGGGUGAGCGAUUGAAUGCCUCUCACUAUUUGGUUAUCGUACCAUUCGUGAGAGAACUCUUUACCCUGCAGCCAUGGAAUCUUUUGCACUCAUCUCACAAGUGUAUAGAUGGGGGGGGGGGGGAUUGUGUGUAGGAUAUGGCUUGCCUUUCAUCAUUCUGACGCGCCUCAUCUAGCAUGCUCAAUUAAUCUUGUAUUCUUCACUUAGCUGUCUAUUCUAAUAAUCCUUAAUAGAAUCAAAGAUUUAGACAGACAAAAUUGCCAUGCAAAAUUCACCUGGAAAAAGGCAUGCGGCAUUUUAAAUGUGAUGGAGUUUGUACUCUCAGAACAAAUGAAUGGUGUUGGCUCAAAAAGUCCUUCUUAGUACCUUUAAGGGUCAACAGAAUGGUGUUUCCAAAUAUGUUAGAUUUUGAACAUCAAAAAGAUUAUUUGCAAAUGGGUGUCGAUGAUUGUCCCUAUUGAUUAGGGAUAUGACACAUGAAUGAUCAGCCAAGGAUUGGGAAUCUGAUUGGGCAUCUCUGCUUUUGCUCCUGCAGAAGAGAAGAUGUACAAGCAGAUCAAUUAGUCUGGCCAAAAUUAAACUGUGAGUUGAGGCUUGAAGAUUUUCUAUCAUUUGCUUUGGCGAUUACUCAGGACGCCAUUUCGUUUAGGGGAGUUUGUCAUGCCUCUCAUUGAUUUGUUAUUUGUGUUUUUGACAGUCAGGUGAGCCUGCAACAAAUAAGACAUGCUUCUCACUGAUUUGUUAUCCUUGCUUUUGACAGUCAGGUGAUCCUACAACAAACAAGAGGGAAUGUAUUAGUCAUGAACUCUUUCAAGAGUCGAAUAAUUGGAAUCGAUACAACUUUACCCUUCACUGGUUUGCAGAUGAUUGGGUGAGCCUAAAGUGAGAGGGAGACAUGAAGUCCUAUGUCUCUUGCUUCGUUAGGUCAAUUAUUCUCUGAAUUGACUCCUGGAUGACACGUCCUUUUACACGAAGCCAGGUGAAUUUGAUGUGGGUCAUUUCCAUGUACUAGCUUGGCCAAUAUUGAUUUGCCAAACCAUCAAAUUUGGCUCUUGAAUCCUGGUGCUUCCUGCCAAUAUGGGGAAUAUGUCAAAAGUGAAUUCAAAGAGGGGGGAGUAUUGGAAACGAUACCAAAUUACUCUUCUCCAAAGUUUGUAUUUGCUGACUCCUAGGGAUAUUUGAAUGUUGAUGACAGCCUUUUUGUCUUGGCAUAGUUUGACAUUUCUUUCAAUUGGCAUUCCUCACUCAUGGUCACGUAUGCAUGAUUAAUGUUUGUCGAUUUAUCUUCAACGCCAUCAUUCUAUGGAAUUUUCUUCUGUCUUUGACUAUAUGACCAUUAGCAACAUUGGGCAAAGUUAUGUACUUCAAGCUUCUAUGGAAUCUGAGAUGGACAAUCAAAACUUCAAAUUCUCUGAUGGAAAUCACUUCUUGGGAGAGCAUGUGUCUGGAGCACGAAGUGAGGUUUCUAGGUCCUAAGUCAUCAUUUGAGAUAAGGGGCUAGAGACUGCCUCAACUGACUAGAUUUUCUCCCUGUUGACAGUAGCCAAUUCAAGAGGAGAAAUUCUUUUUUUGUGCUUCUUGGCUUGUCAAAGCUGGAAAUCACAUUGAUGAAACCACAGCAUUUAGUUGCUCAGGCAUGUUGUGGGGAAAAGAUGUUGCUACGACUUGAGAAGGAGUUGGGCAAGAGCAAUGUGGAGUGUACAGAGCUCUUUGGGAACGGCUUGAUUUCAACCGUAUGCCUGUACCUAUUACGUCCUAUUUUCGUUUCCUGUAAAUAGAAGAGAAAUGACAUCAUUUCCAAAUUAUAUUCAGAGAAUAAGGCUUACCCUUUUUUGGUGUAGGAUGAUUCUUUCUAUUUGCCCUUGUUUUCUUGGCAAGUGUCUUUGAAUUUGGCGAGUUCACCUGAUGCGCUUGCUUCAAAUGCCCUCUGUCACACUAAGUCAAAGGGGACGUGAAUGAUCUUCUGAGACAUGAAGUGAGUGAGUCAGAAAGACAAACAUGAUUAAAUUUAUUAUCUUGUUUUAACAAAAGCUUUUGGCUAGUGAAAUAUUUUUUAUUUUCAAAAUACGUCUUUGGGGGAGAAAAAGCAUGAGGAAGCCCAGCCCUCAGUAUUCUCCUUGGAUGAUAUUUUCUUUUCAUGGUUGGAUAACAUCACCAGGCUGGUUUGGAGUACCGCCUCAUGCUCUUAAAAAAAAAUAUUAUAACAGUACAAUAGAGUACUUGGAAUAGAAAAUACAACAGUAGCACACUAGACAAGAUAAGAAACAUGAAAUUAUAAAAACAAGUAAAAUCCAUGAAAACUCCUAUGUAAGGGAGUGCUUUGAUAGUGUUGGUUCUGAAAUCAAGCGCCUUUGAGUUCCUCGCCUCCAGUAGACUAGAAGUAUUCGCAUGAGAGGACCACUUCAUUGAAGCUAUGGAAAUGCAACCCAUGCAACCAACAACGAUGCUUUCGAGGUAAAGCCCCUAUGAAUAGCUUUAUCAUUUCUUCUUCGGCCAGCUGAGGGUAAGUUUGCAUCAUAAAAUCCUCCCACCUCCUUGCAUAUGCUCGGAAACCCUCCAUUGGUCUUCUUCUGAAGUGAACUAAGUUCUGACAAGGUGCUUCAGUCCCAAUCUGGCUUUAAUACUGAAGCAUGAAUGCAGAAGACAGCUCAUUCCAAUCUCUCAUGAGGUAGAUAUCUGCUGUGAUGAACCAUUGUAAUGCAGAUCCCGUAAGACUUUCUUGGAAUGCCUGAGUUGUGAAUGACAUCGGGCCGUAGUACCGACUCAUUUCAGCGUGGAGGUACUGCAAAUGAGCCACGGGGCAAGUUGUGCCAUUAUACUUACGGAGAUUAGGUAUCCACAUCUCUCCAGGGGUCAUGAUCCUAUGAAUGCAAGACGGGCUUGAUGUAUCCUGGUUAGGCCACUGGUUUUCCCAGUGCAUAUUUGUUGUAGUGGUGAAUUUUUCUGUUUCAGGGAAGUUGGACUCUACCGAGAUUACCCCUGUCGCGACCUCCUCGAAGCAGGUUGGACCACCUAAGGGUUCGGCUAAUGGAUUGUUAAGCCUAGACUUAACUCGGGCUCUCCCAAGCCCAUACCAAUUCGCGACUUAGGUUCAAGUUCUUAAUAUGCAAAUGAUUUUUAUCAUGGAGUCGCCACUAAUCUAUUUUGGGUGGGUCGAUUAGAAACCCAAGUAAAGUAAUGGGAGAAUUACUUCACUCCUACGAACCAGAGAUUAAAUGAGUUCGGGGACUUGAUUACGCUAGAUUUCUCUAACGCCCUUUCGGUACCUUUUCCUUUUUUAUUUGAAAAAAUAUUUUGCAGGCAGCUUGAAUUGAUUUUAAUUUAUCCUCCUAACAUGUGAGGUGAUCAUGCGGAUGCGCAAACCACCAAUUUAACACCCAAGAAAGCGAUGAAUAAAUUGCAGGACUUACCUCAUAGCAACGAAAGCAUCUGCAUUGUUAGAUCAGAAUUCACAUCAACAGACCUAGAUAUGAUUUCUAAUUAACAGGCAAUUUCCCUUUUUUUUUUGUUUUUACUUAUUUAAUGAGAAUCAUGCAAUAUGCAAUGCAUGCUACUAAUCUAACAUGGAAUGGCAUGACAAUGUUUUCUAAACUACAUGAUGUGAGUAAAAUAUUUUUUUUUUUUUGUGUUUUCUUAAUGAACAUGCAAUAAUUAAGGGACAUGCUAUCUCUUCUAAAACAUGCAUUUUUUAAAAGAAAGCCUAUUAUGCAACCUACAAAAAACUAGCAUCCUAAAUUAAUUAAUUUUUCUUGGGAUUUUUUUUGUAAAAAUUUGAAAUCAAAAAUCCUAUUCUAAAAUGACACAUGCAAUUCUUAAGAAAAACUAAUAUCCUGAAUGCAUUUUUUUUUUGUUAUUUUUUAAAAACGAAAUAACUAAGUAUGGUAACCCUAGCCCUAAUCUAACUUGCAUUUUUUAAAUUUUUUAUGCAAAAUAUCCAAUUCAAUCAAGAUAAGAUUCAUACCCAAAAUUGACGAACCAUAUCUCGCGCAUGAGAUCGGGUUGGUCAAUUUUAAAUUAAAUCGCGAAUCGAAUCUCGGGCAUGAGAUUGGAUUGUCGAUUUUUGUACGAGAUCGUGCGUCGGAUUUCGGGCGCGAAAAUCAAACUCCUAAUCCCUAGUUUGAGGGGUUAUUUUACAUUGGAAUUUCAAUCAUACGCUAAUGAAUAAUAACGCUAAAAAACUAUAUAAAAACAAACUACAAACUAUAUAACAAAAAGAUAAAAUAAAAUAACAUAACUACCUAAUGUCCCCCUUUUGUUUUUUCUUUUCUUUUCCCACGAUAGGCUUGGGCUCGUGCGGCUUUUGGUGGGGGUCACCGUCGGAAUGGGUGUAGUCGUCGGAGCUCAAGCAAGGGCGGACCGGCGGCAUUGGCAGCAGCGGACUCGAGCGAAACAGCAGCGGCACUCGGACGGAAGUCUCGGGUGAGACUCGGAUCUGCACAGCAGCGGCUUCGUCGAGCGGAGUAGAGUCACUGGGCUAGCGGAGGCGGCGCGGCGGUCAGCAGCAUGUGGUCGUGUUGCGGCGCGGUGGUGCUCGGAGAAAGGCGAGCAAGGUGGUCGUCGGCGCUGGGUCGCAGCGAGGGAGACGGAGGCGCUGCAGCAGAGGAUAGAGCGGCUCGGCAGGGGCGAUUCGGCGUCUACUCGGGCUCGGGCGAAGCAGGGAGAGGCGGAGUGGUGGUGGAUGCUGGUUGUCGUGGACGGUGCGAGCUGGCGGCUGCUGGCGUCGGAGCUCAGGCGAGGGGACCAGCGGCGGGCAGAGGCAACUGCCGCGACUGGUGCAGCGGCAGAGGGCGGAGCAGCUUGGGACGCCGGGGCGGGAGUGCAGGUGCGGGCAGCGGCGACUUCACGGGCUGCUGGUGUCGCGAGGGACUGAGCGGCGGUGGAGAGCAAUGGCGUCGUGGCUGGGUCGCGAGUGUGCAGAGGCGCGGCAACAACAGGGACGGUGGUGCUGCGACGAAGGAGCUGGGGCGCAGUGAUGGGUGCUCGCGGCGUCGGGCGGUGGUGCAGGCGCGGGCUGCGAGCGUCAGGGUCGGCUCAGAUCUGGGCGACGGCAGUAAUGGUGGCGGAGGGGUUGUCGCGACCACAACAGGGGCGACGAGGGGCAGUGCGAGCUCGUGGGUGGUGCUCGCACGAGGGCGGCCGGCGGUGCGGUGGCUCGGCUGCUGGUGCACCGGCGAGUGCAGCGGCGCAGACGCGGGCGGAGUAGCAGAAACCGGUGGAAAUCCAGCAGCGAAGAACUCCUGGAGAAGAUGAACAGUAGGGGUCUUGUCUUUGCUUUUUUUCCCCCUCUCUCUCUUUCCUGUCUUCAGUCUCUGCCGUCUCUCUCUCUGUUUUUUUGUCUUUUUUAAUCUCCUCCCCCUGACUUCAUAUUUUCUUCUUUUUUGGUUUUUCUCUGACACACUCCCUUCCCUUCAGUCGUCUAAUCGAAAGAGAAGCCUUUCACAAUGAAAUUUUUUUCUUUUUCGCCCUCCCCCUUGACGCGGCUUCUUGUGGUCUUAUUUAUAGGCCGUCCAUUGCCUCUUGAAGAUAGCCAACUUUAUUGUGACAAGAUGCAGCCGCAACUUUUCCAGAAUUUAAGCUGAACUUUGCCCUUUUUUAAUCUUCUCUAGUCCUUUCUUUCGGCCACCACUCCGCUCUUCCGCGGGGAAAUCUUCUUGCAGGCACCUGUAGGAUUUUUACGCCCCCCAUUUCGUGCGUGUAUGUGCAUGCAUUAAUGAGGAGGUUUCUUCUUCAGUGAAUUUUCAUUGCGCCAUCAAAGCUGACAUAUUAUAUAAUAUUAUGGGCAUAUUAUAAUAAUACAAUAUGGGCAUAUUAUAUAAUAUAUUAUGGGCUGCUUUUGCUUCUUUCCUCUUUUUUUUCUAUGCGUGUUCAGACCAGCGAAAGAGGGACCAUCCUUUUAUGCAUGCAAUCGACCGAGAGCCCCUGCUUCUUGUUGUCCUCUUAGUACCGAUGCAAAUGCGACUACAUGAAAUGCAAUUUUACUAUUUUUUUUAAAAGGAGUUAAAGAUUAAUCCCUAAUUUUCUAUGCAAUUAAUUACUACAUGAUUAGUCAAAAUUUAGGUGUCAACAGCUGCCCCUCUUUGAAGGUGAGCUCGCAGAGGUUGCAUUCAAAGACAAUAUGAUACCUAAAUUUUGACCAUGAACAUGCAAUGGAUGAUAUUUUGGCGGGACUAUGGAUCCCUUUUUUUUUUUUUUUUUUUGAAAUGCAAUUUAUAUGAUGCAUGGAAAUGCUAAUGCCAGUGAUAAAAGGAACUUACCUGGAAUAACUUACCUUCGGGGAAAGUAGAGUAACUCGAGAUAAUUGGUGUUACAUGUCCAGGACCCGUACCAUUCUACGGUCGCCUAGAAUAGUAACAUGACUUUACAAAGAGACUGCUUUCCCAGGACCCGUACCAUUCUACGGUCGCCCAGUAUAGCAUUGCUUGGUUGUGUCUAGGACCCGUACCAUUCUACGGUCGCCUAAACGAGGAAAAUUUUUAAGACAUCCAGAUCCAGCCUGAGAUGUCAAGAAUUUGGGAACUUAACCAAUAGACACUCAAUGUUAGGUGAGAUGAAUAUUGGAUUAAGAGGGUUCGAAAUACCUAGAUCCAUACUAAGGUAAAACGAGAAAGAUCAAAAAACAUUCACAUCCAGAGUGAAAUGUUUAACGAAGAGUUUUCAGACAUCCAGAUCUAGACUGAGAUGUUAAGAAUUUUGGGACUUAACCAAUAAACACUUGAUGUUAGGUGAGAUGAAUAUUGGAUUAAGAAGAUUCGAAAUACCUAGAUCCAAACUAAGGUAUAACGAAAAAGAUCGAAAAACAUUCACAUCCAGAGUGAAAUGUUUAGCGAAGAAUUUUGACAUCCAGAUCCAGACUGAGAUGUCAAGUAUUUUAGGGCUUAACCAAUAGACACUCAAUGUUAGGUGAGAUGAAUAUUGGAUUAAGAAGAUUCAAAAUACCUAGAUCCAGACUAAGGUAUAACGAAAAAGAUCGAAAAACAUUCACAUCCAAAGUGAAAUGUUUAACGAAGAGUUUUGAGACAUCCAGAUCCAGACUAAGAUGUCAAGAAUUUUGGGACUUAACCAAUAGACACUCAAUGUUAGGUGAGAUGAAUAUUGGAUUAAGAAGAUUCGAAAUACCUAGAUCCAGACUAAGGUAUAACGAAAAAUAUCGAAAAACAUUCACAUCCAAAGUGAAAUGUUUAACGAAAAGUUUUGAGACAUCCAAAUCCAGACUGAGAUGUCAAGUAUUUUGGGGCUUAACCAAUAGACACUCAAUGUUAGGUGAGAUGAAUAUUGGAUUAAGAAGAUUCGAAAUACCUAGAUCCAGACUAAGGUAUAACGAAAAAGAUCGAAAAACAUUCACAUCCAAAGUGAAAUGUUUAACGAAGAGUUUUGAGACAUCCAGAUCCAAACUGAGAUGUCAAGAAUUUUGGGACUUAACCAAUAGACACUCAAUGUUAGGUGAGAUGAAUAUUGGAUUAAGAAGAUUCGAAAUACCUAGAUCCAGACUAAGGUAUAACGAAAAGGAUCGAAAAACAUUCACAUCCAAAGUGAAAUGUUUAACGAAGAGUUUUGAGACAUCCAAAUCCAGACUGAGAUGUCAAGAAUUUUGGGACUUAACCAAUAGACACUCAAUGUUAGGUGAGAUGAAUAUUGGAUUAAGAAGAUUCGAAAUACCUAGAUCCAGACUAAGGUAUAACGAAAAAGAUCGAAAAACAUUCACAUCCAAAGUGAAAUGUUUAACGAAGAAUUUUGAGACAUCCAGAUCCAGACUGAGAUGUCAAGUAUUUUGGGGCUUAACCAAUAGACACUCAAUGUUAGGUGAGAUGAAUAUUGGAUUAAGAAGAUUCGAAAUACCUAGAUCCAGACUAAGGUAUAACGAAAAGGAUCGAAAAACAUUCACAUCCAAAGUGAAAUGUUUAACGAAGAGUUUUGAGACAUCCAAAUCCAGACUGAGAUGUCAAGAAUUUUGGGACUUAACCAAUAGACACUCAAUGUUAGGUGAGAUGAAUAUUGGAUUAAGAAGAUUCGAAAUACGUAGAUCCAGACUAAGGUAUAACGAAAAAGAUCGAAAAACAUUCACAUCCAAAGUGAAAUGUUUAACGAAAAGUUUUGAGACAUCCAGAUCCAGACUGAGAUGUCAAGAAUUUUGGGACUUAACCAAUAGACACUCAAUGUUAGGUGAGAUGAAUAUUGGAUUAAGAAGAUUCGAAAUACCUAGAUCCAGACUAAGGUAUAAUGAAAAAGAUCGAAAAACAUUCACAUCCAGAGUGAAAUGUUUAACGAAGAGUUUUGAGACAUUCAGAUCCAGACUGAGAUGUCAAGAAUUUUGGGACUUAACCAAUAGACACUCAAUGUUAGGUGAGAUGAAUAUUGGAUUAAGAAGAUUCGAAAUACCUAGAUCCAGACUAGGGUAUAACGAAAAAGAUCGAAAAACAUUCACAUCUAGAGUGAAAUGUUUAACGAAGAGUUUUGAGACAUCCAGAUCCAGACUGAGAUGUCAAGAAUUUUGGGAUUUAACCAAUAGACACUCAAUGUUAGGUGAGAUGAAUAUUGGAUUAAGAAGAUUCGAAAUACCUAGAUCCAGACUAAGGUAUAACGAAAAAGAUCGGAAAGCAUUCACAUCCAGAGUGAAAUGCUUAACAACGAGUUUUGAGACAUAUAUCAAGAAUUUGGGAAUACCUAGGACAAACCUGGGAUAUUCGUGAGGGUCACUUACCUAUUUGUAGACAGAAAUUUUGGAACGUCGAGGAUGUAUUUCAAAUAUUCAUGGAGGUUUCUCACCUCGAGGCUUCUGAAAGGAAACAUAAAUGUCAAGAGCUCUUGGGUCUUCAAGGAAACAUUACCUGUCAGACAUGAUUAGAGCAAAAAUACAUGCAUUUGCCAAAGAAGUAAGCAAUUCAGCACACUCCAAAAUCCACUGAAGCUUUUAUCCAUUCCAUCAAGAUUUAUGCAUGAUGGUUUUACCAUAUUUACACCACCAAAUUCCCAUGGGGAGAAUCAUCGUUUAAGACAAUUUUCACUCCUGACAUGGUUUUCAAGAAUACCAAAUGAGAGACUUUCAGUUAAAAAGGACUUUCACUCACUCUCAUUAAGAAGGUUGUUUUGUCCCAACCGUUAAUGUGGGAUCAUAGGAAUCACUCCAUCUUACUUUCAUCAUGUCAAUAAGGGUUCGAGUAUUCUCGCAAGCGGUACGACUUUGUCAAUAUGAGAGGUCUUUAUCAGGAUUGUAAUGUAGGCUCGGCCAAUGGCUCAACAAAGAGGGACUCUUCGAGUCAAGGCUAAUGAAAGAACAAUACUUCGCAAUCAUCUUCAGGUUUACAAGUCAAGGAACCUGCGAAAUGAGAUAGAAAUGGUCCUGCUCGCACUUCUUCGAGCGAUGCUUUUAAGCAUAUGAAUUCCUACGUUAAUUUCGGUGCCCUAUUCUGAAGAGACUUUGUAAGGGACGUAACGUAGGUUAAGUUCAUGGGUUGAGAAGUGAAUGGAUCAUUAGGCUCAAAAUGUGUAUAGGGGGAUGAGAAUUGGUGAUCGUCUUGGCAUUGUCACCGGUCUUCUUUUUCACCAUUGGGAUUUUCCUCAUAGGUACUAUAAAAACUUGGCAUUUGGGUUCUUUGAGUACCACUCCAUUGGGAAUACACCCUUUUACAACUGAUAAUCAUUUAUCUUGACUCUUUCUUUCAUUUUCUAUGGGCAUUGGCCUUGCUUUUACCAGGCACACUGCUUUUUCAUGCUCUUUUUUUUUUUUUUUAUAACCACGUAAUGCUUUAACAUUUGGGUUCUUGAGGAGUUUUCAUUUUUUGUCAGCACUCGGGAUUUUGCUGCUUGAACAUUUGCCUUUUGCCUUGCCCCAGUGUGGGGGAUGAUCACCAAUUGGGUUUAAAUGAAACGAAUUUACAGGCUCAAGGGGCUACGCAAUGGAUAAAGUGUGUAGGAUAGAGAAAGAACUGCUCUUCAUCAUCCUAAGGCACUUGAAUUAUCGUAUGAAUUCAAUGUAAUAGCAAUACCUGAAGAUUGAUGCAAGUGAGAGCAAGAAUAUUCCUAUCAAAUUCCUCACCUCAUGAUGUCGUCUUACCUCCAGCUUGCCCCGAUGUGGGGUGGUUCUUGACAGGGGUAAUUUAAAAUUAUUCACGUGCGUGGGCUCAAAAGGGUUUAAACAAUGGAUGAUCGCAUAGUGUUUGGGAUAGAGAAUGAACCGCCUCUCAUCAUUUCGAUCAUCGUACCUUUCGCGAGAAAACUCUUUACCUUAGAAACAUGGAAUUUCCUACACUCAUCUCACCAGUAUAUGAGCAAGGGACUGUGUAUAGGAUAAGGCUUGCCUUUCAUCAUCCUGAUAUGUCUCAUUUAGCAUGUUCAAUUCAUUCCACAUCAUUCAUUAACUUGAUCGAUGGUGACAAUCCUCAGUGGAAUUGGUAAUUAAACAAGUAAAACUAUCACGCAAAAUUCUCCUUUGAAAGGUCACAAGUACUUCAUGAACUCAUCAGCUUUGAACACAAAGAGUUUGCAGCUCAAGAAAGAAAAAGGAUUGGUAAAUUUUAUUUUUUUUUGCAAACUUUUUGCCAUUUCCAGGGAUCGAACCCUGGUCGUUCUCGGACCCUUUCAUUCCCCAUGCCACCAGGCCGAGGCGCUGGUGGUGUCCUCAGGGUAUUUCUUUUUUUAUUUAAUUGAACUGAUACUGGGUCAACACGUCUGAUAUACCGAAUCAAAUGAAUUCGAUAUGUGUAUGGAAUAUGGCCUACUUCUCAUCUCAUUCAAUCCAUUCCCACACAAUUCAACGAAGAAAUGAGUACCUUCAACAAAUUCUUUCAAGGGUAAUACUUCUUCAUAGCAUCAGAGUUAACAGGUUUAGAAAACUCACGACCAUCCAUUUUUGCAAGGAUUAAGGCACCUCCAGGGAGUACCCUCUUCACCAUAUACGGGCCGCUAUAAUUUGGAGCAAAUUUGCCUCCAGGAUCAGGAAAAAUCGGCAACACCUUUCUUAGAACUAGAUCAUUAACUUCAAAGUGUCUCGGCCGUACCUUCCUAUUGAAAGACUUGGCUACUCUUUGUUGAUACAUCUGACCAUGGCAAAGAGCUUUUAACCUUUUCUCAUCAAUCAGAUUCAACUGCACGAACCUUUGUUGUGUCCAUUCCGCUUCGGACAAUUCCACUUGGGAUAAGACUCUCAAAGAGGGGAUUUCUACUGCCACAGGCAAAACCGCCUCCAUGCCAUAAACCAAGGAGAAAGGGGUUGCCCCAGUGGAUGUUCGGAUCGAUGUCCGAUACGCCACUAGAGCAAAGGGUAACCUGUCAUGCCAAUCUCGAUAAUUCUCGGCUGUCUUAGCCAGGAUCUUCUUGAUGUUCUUAUUAGCUGCCUCAACAGCUCCAUUCAUUUGCGGGCGGUAUGGUGAUGAAUUCAAAUGCCUGAUUUUGAACUCACUGAACAACUCAUCAACGAACUUGUUAUUCAGAUUUGUCCCAUUGUCAGUGACAAUUGCUUCGGGGACACCAUAACGGGCGAUUAUGUCACGCCUGAUAAACUUCACAACAUUUCGGGCCGUAACAUUAACAUAUGAUGCGGCUUCAAUCCAUUUUGAAAAAUAGUCUAUCGCCACCAAUAUGAAUCGGUGCCCAUUUGAAGCUUUGGGAUUUAUUGGGCCAAUCACAUCGAUCCCCCACAUUGAGAAAGGCCAUGGCUCAGAUAGCUGGUGCAACUCCGUUGGAGGAACAUUUAUUUUAUCUCCAUGAAUUUGGCAACGAUGGCAACUUCUAACAUGCUGUAUGCAGUCACUUUCCAGUGCAAGCCAAUAGUAACCUAGUCUCAUGAUCUUCUUGGCUAACAUGUGCCCAUUCAUGUGUGGGCCACAAACUCCUUCAUGCACCUCUUGCAUGAUGUGGGUGGCUUCUGCUUCAUCUACGCAUCUCAAUAAAACUGAAUCAUAAGAUCUCUUGUAUAAAUUCUUACCACUGACGAAGAACUUUGAGGCCAUCUUCAUUAUGUAUUUUCUAUCGGCUGGAGUGCUCCCUUUAGGAAAUUCCUGCUUUUGGAUAUAGUUCAUGAUGUCGCAAUACCAUGGCUUCUCAUCAAGCUCUUCAUUCACGACCAUACAAUAAGAAGGUUUGGCUAGAACCUCAAUUUUCAAAGGUUCAACUUCUAAACCAUCAAUGACUUGUAACAUAGAUGACAACGUUGCGAAGGCAUCGGCGAACUGAUUAUGAGAUCUAGCCAAGUAGUCAAACGAGAUUUCAUCGAACUCCUUCACCAACUCUUCGAGGUACUUGUGAUACGGCAGUAAUUUGGCAUCCCUGGUCUUCCAUUCACCUACGGUCUGGAGUAUGAUCAGUGCAGAAUCUCCAUAUACUUUCAAUUUGGCCACUCCCAUUUCAAUUGCGGCCUAAAGUCCGAGAAUACAAGCUUCGUAUUCAGCAAUAUUGUUAGUGCAUGGAAAUAUUAGUUUCGCGGCUACUGGGUGGUGUUGUCCGUCUGGGGAUAUUAGUACUGCCCCAGUACCAGAACCGGACAAGUUCACAGCUCCAUCAAAGAACAUAGACCAUGCAUCUUCGUUUAUGGCCAAAAUACGAUCAUCCAAAGGACAAUCAUCAUCAUUCAAGUUUCUAGGAUUCUCAGCCAACAUAUCAGCAAUUACUCGGCCUUUAACUGAUUUUUGUGGCAUGAACUGCAUGUCGAAUUCCGAAAUCAAGACUUGCCAUUUGGCUAGCUUACCCACCAAAGCUGGUUGAUUAAAUAAAUACUUGAUGGGAUCGUUCUCGGUCACGAGAAACGUCUGGUAAUGCAAGGUGUACUGUCGCAGUCUAUGCAAUACCCAUACUAACACAGCACAAGUUUUUUCAGCAUCAGAAUAUUUUAGCUCCGAGACAGUGAACUUUUUACUGAGGUAAUAAAUGGCCCGUUCCUUCUGAUCCACAGGACUUUUUUGAGCUAACAUCGCACCGAGUGACUCACUAUGAAUUGUGAGGUACAAAAUCAAAGGAUGCCCCGAUAUUGGUGGGACAAGGACUGGCGGAUUCAUCAAAUAUUGCUUCAGCUUAUCGAACGCCUCUUGACGUUCAUCAUUCCACUCAACUUGUACGUUUUUCCUCAAGAGUUUGAAGAACGGCUUAGCGGUCUCAGAGAGUUGGGAAAUGAAUCGUGCAAUGUAAUUCAGUCUCCCUAGGAGACUCCGGACCUCCUUCACUGUCGACGGAGGUUGCAACUCACAUAUUGCCUUGGCUUUAGAUGGGUCAAUUUCGAUCCCUUUACUACUCACAAUGAACCCAAGUAAUUUACCCGACGCUCCCCCGAACACGCACUUGGCAGGGUUUAAACGGAGCUUGAAUUCACGGAGCCGGUCGAAUAACUUCCUGAGGGUUUCAACAUGACUUUUCCCAGGUCGGGUUUUUGCAAUCAUAUCGUCGACAUAUACCUCGAUUUCUUCAUGCAUCAUGUCGUGGAACAACGUAACCAUGGCUCGCUGGUAAGUUGCCCCUGCAUUUUUGAGUCCGAAGGGCAUGACCUUAUAAUGAAAGGUUCCCCACGGGGUGAUAAAUGCUGUCUUCUCUUUGUCUUCAUCCUUCAUUCUUAUCUGGUUGUAGCUAGAAAAGCCAUCCAUGAAAGAGAAUAAUUCAAAUCCGGCAGUACUAUCCAUGAGAACAUCGAUAUGUGGCAAUGGGAAGUCGUCCUUUGGGCUGGCCUUGUUCAAAUCCCGAUAAUCAACACACACUCGGACUCGACCGUCUUUCUUCAUGACCGGUACUAUGUUGGCCACCCAUUCAGGGUAUUGCGAGACUUCGAUGAAUCCCACUUUGAGGAGUUUCAUUACUUCCUCUUCUAUCUUUUUCGAGAGCUCCGGUUUAGUCCUCCGAAGCUUCUGCUUCUUAGGGCGCAUGUCUGGAUUGGUGGGCAAACAGUGUUCCACAAUUGACGGAUCUAAACCUGGCAUAUCAGCAUACGUCCAGGCAAAGAUAUCCUGAUAUUCUUUUAACAACUGAGACAAGUGCUCGGCCUCAUCUUUGGGAAGAUUUGCCCCAAUCUUUAUUUCUUUAGGAUCCUCGUCAUCACUCAAAUUGAUGGUGACGGUUUGCUUGGAGGUAAGAACUUUGGGUUUUUCAUGUUGCCCCCAACUUUGUUGUACUUCAAUGGAGUCACCAUUUGGAUCAUCAGGGUCAUCAUCGUCAUCACACAUGGCAUUGGAUUGGACCAUUUUCACCUCCUUACCUGCCAUAAGGCUGCUCCUGAAACAUAAAAUGGAUAGUUCAGAAAGACAAACAGGGCUAAACGGCAUGGAUUUCUUAUCUAUUUUUCGAAUUUUUUUUUUUCGAUUUUUUUUUCAAAUUAUUUUUAAAAAAUUUUGGGCAAAACAUUUUGGAAAAGCUUUUUUUGUCACGAGGAAGCAUGAUGAAGCCCAGGCCUCAGAAUUCUCCUUGGAUUUUUCUUUUCUUUCAUCGGUUGGAUAUCAUCAACGGGCUGGUUUGGUAUACUCCAUCAUGCCCUCAAAAUAAAGUUUGUAAUUGUAAUUGAUAUUCAUCAACCAAAUUACAUUUAUUGGAUUGAAAAGUACGACAAAGUGAAAUGAAACCCUAACAAUCAAACCCUAGCAAACAUCCACUCCUAACAAACGAUAUGCAAAAUACGAUAAGCAAACCCUAGAAAGCAUCAAAUCCUAAAAGCGAUAAGAUUCCGCGCAGGGGAGUAUAGAAAAGUAAACAUGUUACUCUUGUGGGCUAGCACCCGUUUCCUCCGAUGGUUCUUCAUCAAUGGCUCCUAUGAGGAGAUCAUCAAAUAGAGUCGUGAUCCCUUCCAUCCCAUCAUCUGGAUCCUUUGUCUUUGAAGUUGUCGGGUCAUCCAUGCAGCUCGAUCCAUCAGGUACGAUACCUCGGGUGGCGAUCACUCCUCCUUCAUCAUGCAUCAUUCUAGUAGGGCCGGGGAAUGUCUCGCGGAUAUUGAGGAGUAAUGAGUUUUUCCUCUCUUGUUCAUGUCCUCCACCUUUUCCAUGGUACCCUAAUCCGGCGGAACGAGACCUCCGAGGGGCUUCAAUAGGGUUCCGGAUACCCUGUUCUUUUUUACCAAGUCCACGGCCAGGAAUAAAGCCAUUUCCAACCAUCACUCUUGCUACCAUAACUGCUGCAUUUGACACAUCAGGGAUAGGUGCUGUCGAUCCUCGAGAUGCAUGAAUAGUGGAUACGAGCUCAAACGAUUGGUAGCUCGACUCCUCCCUACAUUCCGGCUCGACAUAGGGGAUAGCCGUCUCAUGAUAGAUCCGAUGAUCCUCCUCGCCAUGAACAAUGACUAGCUUUCCUUUGACAGCAUUUCACGCUUUGGUGGAGACUUGAUGGCACAGCUCCAGCAGUAUGAAUCCAAGGACGCCCUAAUAGGAAAUUGAAUGCGAUAGGAAUGUCCAUCACCUAGAAAAGGACGUUGAACAUCACCGGCCCUAUUUGCAGAUCAAGGUGGGUCUCCCCUAUCACCUCCUUUCUCGUACCAUCAAAAGCUCGGACGGAGGUCUUCGCAGCACUUAUUUUUGAAGGAUCUAUUUUCAGGCGGUGAAGAGUCGCCAAUGGACAGAUAUUCAAGGCAGACCCAUUAUCAAUGAGUACUCGAGCCACAUGGGAAGCCUUGCACUUGACGGAUAUAUAUAAUGCCUUAGUAUGUCCCCUCCCCUCAAGAUGAAAUUCUUCAUCAGAAAGGCUAUUAAAUCCUUAAGAAGAAUCGAUCCUACAAAUUCCUCCAACCUAUUUACCUCGAUCGUCUCUGGUACACGAACUUCACUUAAAACCUUCAUUAGAGACUUUUGAUGUGUAGGAGAUGUUUGCAAGAGUUCAAGUAAAGAGAUCUGAGCAGGCAAUUUCCGCAACUGGUUGACCACGUUAUACUCACUUGCUUUGAUUAUAGCCAGAAAUUCUUUGGCCUCUUCGUCAGUAAUUGGCUUUGCAGGUUGGGCAUUAGCUUGAGCAUAGGUCCGACCAGACCUUGUAAUCAGGUCAACAUCUAGCUCGUAUGACCAAGGGACUGCUUUGUUAUCCUUGUACUCAUACAGCUGGGGCAUCUCAAUAAUUAUUUCUUCAUCAGUUGAAGGCACUUCCACUAUCAAACCUUCAUGGUCGGAGGCGUCCUCAACUGGGGGCAUGUCCUCGAUCAAUGGAUCUGGUUCACUCUUUUCAGCACUUAGCUUAGCUUUCAAAUUCCUUCUCCCAAUCAAUGACGACUUCGGAGAUAGUUGACACUGUUCUAGCUUGGUCAGCAUAUAUGAUCAUGUCAGCCUUAACCAUUUCUUGAACCCUUUCCUUCAUGGUAGGCAAGGGAGGAUUCUCAUAUGUCGGAUAAUAACCAACUCUAACUAAUCCGCUAUAGAUAUCUUUGACAGACACCUUCAAGUUCAUCUUUUUGCCAGCAUUGAACUCGAAGAUUGCAUUCACGUUUCCCUAAUGUUCCGGUAACGGAUUCUUCUUGACAUUCGGUUGUGUGGUACGGAAGGAAAAUGCCUUAGUAUCCAACAAAUUUUGGAUCUUGUGCUUCAAAGUCAAACAUUCAUCAGUUGAAUGGCCGACCUCUCCCAUAUGAUACUCACAUUUUUUGGAGGGGUCAUAGUUGGAGAAUUUUUCAGCAUUGGGCCACUUUGGUUCGUGGGAGAUCAAUCCUUUGUUUUGGAGUAUCGGCAAGACCUGAGAUAGAGGGCCAGGAAGAGGAGAGAAUUGCCUUUUGGUGAAUUGCCGCUGUGCAGGCACUUGGCCUCCAUCUUGCUGAUUCCCGGGGACACGAACCAUCGGAGGCUUACUAGGGGCUGGUUGCACAUAUGCAACAUUGACUUCAGUGGUUGGUUCUUUAUCUUUCUUCAUGGUGAACCUUUUGCCUUGAUGAGUUGGUUCAUUGAACCAUCCAUCCCUUAGGCCAAUCUCGAUCUGUUCACCCACUGGGAUAAGUUGGUUGAAGUUCUCAAUGUAUGUGCUAGCCAUCUGGUUACGGAACUCAUACGGGAGAGUUUUGAUGAACAACUUCAUCAACUCCUUGUUUGUAGGCUCAGGAGUGAUUUGAGCCGCCAAGUUUCGCCACCUUACAGCGUACUCCUUAAAUGACUCACUUUUCUUCUUCUCCAUCCGCUCAAGAUCCUCUCGGGAAGGUGCAAUGUCCAUGUUGAACUUAUACUGCUUUAGGAAAGCGUCAGCCACUUCAUUCCAGGUGUCGAGAAGGUUUACAUUCUUCAUUAUGUACCAGUUGAGUGCGGGCCCCGUCAAGCUUGCAUGAAAUGAUUGGAUCAUGAGAGGCUCGUUCUUGACGUAUUGGGCCAUGCGUACGUGGUACAUCUGCAAAUGAGCUUUUGGGCAGGAAGUACCAUCGUAUUUCUUGAACUCCGGCAUCUUAAACUUCUUCAGCACUUUGACUUUCUCAUAAACUGACAAGUCGAACGGGAGUUAAUUCCGCUAUUCUUGCAAUUGUUUCAGUUUCUCUUCAAGUUUGGCGAAGCGUUCAUCUUGCUCCACCUUAGGGACAUUGUCGGACUUAGCCUUUUCAGCUGUGAUGAACAGUGGGUCAUCCUCCAGUUCCGGCAUGUCAUCAUCACCCAUUUGGGCCUUGUUCGUCUGCUUUGGGACUACUAUCUCGGGGAGAGCGGAUGCAAGAGUCUGAUUCAUUUGGAGGGAUUGCAUUUGAUCUGUCAUAAGUUGCAUAGAAGUGAGCAACUGCUGGAGUUGGCUUUCCAUAGCGGUCAUACGAUCACGCAUUUCGAUUUGGUCGGCCAUUUUUGCUCUCGAUCGUGUAAUGAUGGGCGAACGUGGAGGAUCCGUUAUCACCUAAUUUGAAGAAACGGACAAAAAUAAGUAUCUCAUAUGAAAUACACCGGUCCAUGGCAAUGGUCUAAAACUUUUAUUCAUUAAUGGAGUUUUUGACAAUCCUAUCAAAAUAGAAGCAAGAUUGAUUCAAGCACUUCAUUAAUGAAAUAGAAGCUCGAAAUGCCCUAAACAAAAAACUAGGAAAGUAAAUGACUCAACUUCCUAAACAUUAAUCUAAAAAUGAAAACAACAAGAUAGAUUCAAACACUUCAUCUAGCUUGAUCAAUAUACACUCGGGACACCACUCGGCGCAAUCGUUUAUUCUCCUCUUGAGCUUUUUCAGCAACCCUUUUGAGGCGUUUAUUCUCAGCGCGGUUGGUGAUCUUCAACGGCACCUCUGGUAUCUUUGGAAGUAACUCCUCUGGAAUCUCGUGUUGUUGAAUGUACUUAAUUGAGGCAUAGUACUUCAUUCCUUUGCCCUUCAACUCCUCCUCGGGCCACUUGAGUUUUCGUGGCUGGCACAUAUCCCACAUUGAUUUAAUUGUGAGAAUGGAAUCUUCAUGGUCUCGGUCUCCAUCAACGAAGUUGGCUUGAAGUGGAUUUGCUUGCAAUGCCGGGGGAAGUUCUUGCACAACUUGAUACUGAUGGGUCACUCUAGUUGGAUAGUACUCCGUUGCUCCGGUGAAUCCCAGUAGAGGGAUUGGGCCAACACCUCCACAUGAAAGUCUCGCCGCACGAACUUGGAACCACUUAGCAUGCCAUAAGAAACCCUUAGAAGUUGGUUUUUUCAUGAAAGCUAGCCACCUAGAAUAAUGGUAAUCCGGUGCAUGUUUUUGGUUGUUCUCAAAUCUCAUAAUAGGGUGAUUGGAGUUAUUAACAUCAUGUAUAGUCAUUAAACCACCAAACCCUUUUAUAUGAGAAAGAAACCAAAUUUGCAAAAGCUCAGGAGAGGAAUGGAAAGUCUUAUCACUGCUUCCUUUAAAUCGGGUGAGGGAAAGAAAGGUUUCAGCCAUAAUAGUGUUUACGAAAUUUUUUCCUCCCAACACUUGUUCAACUAAGUGAGCCAUCAAAGGGUUAAUAGCAUUCUUGCAAUGAGGAAAAAUUAUAAACCCAAAGAAAGCUAAAAGGAAAACCCUUCGCAUUUGAAAUGAAUUGCCAUUUUCAAAACAUUCUUUUAGAAAAGAUAAAUGACAUGUAUUGCGGUGAGCUUUUAAAACCUUUCUUACAUUGUCCUCCUUAAUUCUCAGAAAAUCGGAUAAGGCCACAAUGGGGUCUAUUCCGAUAGGUGGACUAAUUAAUUCAGCUUUCAAAGGUUUCCCUAUGGCAAUGCUAUACUCUUCCAAGGUGGGCGUGAGUUCAUGCUUACCGCCGAAGAUGAAAGUAGAAGUCUCAGGGCACCAACAAUGAGCAAGUGCUUGGAUGAGGCCGCCAUGGAUGUUGACACGUAGCAAUGGAAGUAAUCGACUAACGUACGACUCUACAAAUUGACGGCCAGGUUGGUCUAACUUAUCCCAUCAUGCGCUAAGCUCUUCCUUUGGAGGGAGAAUAAUUCGAAUGUCCGGUAUUCCCAUUGUAUAUUGAUCAAGACUCGGGACAAUCCUAGUGCCAUGGACCGACAAAUAAUACGGUAAAGUAAGUAAAUUGCAAAGGUGAGAAUUUAGAGAACUUACUUUACCAAUAAACAAAGGGCAAACACAUAGACAUGCGCAUGCUAAGUGGCUCGAUUUCUAGUCUAUGAGGCUUAACAAAGUGAAGCCACAAGGAUGAUCAGACUAGCUGCGGGCGUGCGGACUAAGUCGGGUCCUCAUGACUUCGGCUUGGUCAAAGAGCCGUCCUGGGUUGCGGGCAUGCGAACCGAGGUGGGUACUCUUGACACCAAAAAAGAAACUUCGGGAUUGGGAUGGGCGACUCGUACCGCGGGCAUGCGGUCGAAGUGGUAUCCAUCUCAAUACCAUCCUAGAUGAUCCUAUGUGGCCCAGGUCCGGCGGCGGGUUGUGUGUGCAAUAGUGUAGUGUAAAUGCAUAGGCAUGCACAACAGUUUAUAUCAAACAACGCUUCGUUCAUGAAAAUAAACCAUACAUUCCUACACCUCCUUGCAAAACAAAGGUCAGCAAACACUUCCCCUUAUACCUCCCAUCAUGCAAAAAAAAUUAACACCUUAAAUGUUAGGGACGUACCUGGAAUCCUCGCUGCCAAACAAAAACAUUUUUCAAAAGAAAAUAAAAAUUGGCCUAAGUCCACUAAGAGUUUUAACUUAAGUCCACAGUGGAGUCGCCAAGCUGUCGCGACCUCCCCGAAGCGGGUUGGACCACCUAAGAGUUCGGCUAAUGGAUUGUUAAGCCUAGACUUAACUCGGGCUCUCCCAAGCCCAUACCAAUUCGCGACUUAGGUUCAAGUUCUUAAUAUGCAAAUGAUUUUUAUCAUGGAGUUGCCACUAAUCUAUUUUGGGUGGGUCGAUUAGAAACCCAAGUAAAGUAAUGGGAGAAUUACUUCACUCCUACGAACCAGAGAUUAAAUGAGUUCGGGGACUUGAUUACGCUAGAUUUCUCUAACGCCCUUUCGGUACCUUUUCCUUUUUUAUUUGAAAAAAUAUUUUGCAGGCAGCUUGAAUUGAUUUUAAUUUAUCCUCCUAACAUGUGAGGUGAUCAUGCGGAUGCGCAAACCACCAAUUUAACACCCAAGAAAGCGGUGAAUAAAUUGCAGGACUUACCUCAUAGCAACGAAAACAUAUGCAUUGUUAGAUCAGAAUUCACAUCAACAGACCUAGAUAUGAUUUCUAAUUAACAGGCAAUUUUCCUUUUUUUUUUGUUUUUACUUAUUUAAUGAGAAUCAUGCAAUAUGCAAUGCAUGCUACUAAUCUAACAUGGAAUGGCAUGACAAUGUUUUCUAAACUACAUGACGUGAGUAAAUUUUUUUUUUUUUUUGUGUUUUCUUAAUGAACAUGCAAUAAUUAAAUAUGCAAAUCAAAAUGAUCUAAUUAUAAUGACGGGCAAUUUUUAAUUAAAUGAGCCUAAUCCUACAUGACGUGCCCAUGAUAUUUCUAUUCCUAAAAGUGCAAUUUAUCCUAAAAAUUGAAAUUAAUUUAUCUAAAGACAAAUUUAUGAUACUCGAAAUUAAGACAGAUGCAAAAAUUACCUAGCUAAAUUAAAAUUCCAUCCAAUUUAAACUUAGGAUUAAGUCAUGCUAAAUCCUAAUUUAAACUAAGACGUUAUUUUAAUCUAGCAAUUUUUAACCUAAGAUGCCAAUUGAUCUGAACUUAAAAUGAGACAUGCAAUUCUAUUCUAAAAUGCAUGAUGAUUUUUUAUGAAAAUUCGUAAUUAAAAAAAAACACUAAAAAAAAAACUACUAGAGUGAAAACUAAAGGGACAUGUUAUCUCUUCUAAAACAUGCAUUUUUUAAAAGAAAGCCUAUUAUGCAACCUAUAAAAAACUAGCAUCCUAAAUUAAUUAAUUUUUCUUGGGAUUUUUUUUGUAAAAAUUUGAAAUCAAAAAUCCUAUUCUAAAAUGACACAUGCAAUUCUUAAGAAAAACUAAUAUCCUGAAUGCAUUUUUUUUUUUUGGUUAUUUUUAAAAAAUGAAAUAACUAAGUAUGGUAACCCUAGCCCUAAUCUAACUUGCAUUUUUUGAAAUUUUUAUGCAAAAUAUCCAAUUCAAUCAAGAUAAGAUUAAUACCCAAAAUUGACGAACCAUAUCUCGCGCAUGAGAUCGGGUUGGUCAAUUUUAAAUUAAAUUGCGAAUCGAAUUUCGGGCAUGAGAUUGGAUUGUUGAUUUUUGUACGAGAUCGUGCAUCAGAUUUCGGGCGCGAAAAUCAAACUCCUAAUCCCUAGUUUGAGGGGUUAUUUUACAUUGGAAUUUCAAUCAUGCGCUAAUGAAUAAUCAUGCCAAAAAACUAUAUAAAAACAAACUACAAACUAUAUAACAAAAAGAUAAAAUAACAAUAAAAAACUACCUAAUGUCCCCCUUUUGUUUUUCUUUUUCUUUUCCCACGCUAGGCUUGGGCUUGUGCGGCUUUUGGUGGGGGUCACCGUCGGAGUGGGCGUAGUGGUCGGAGCUCAGGCGAGGGCGGACCGGCGGCGUUGGCAGCAGCGGACUCGGGCGAAACAGCAGCGGCACUCGGAUGGAAGUCUCGGGUGAGACUCGGAUCUGCACAGCAGCGGCUUCGUCGAGCGGAGUAGAGUCGCUGGGCUAGCGGAGGCGGUGCGGCGGUCGGCAGCAGGUGGUCGUGUUGCGGCGCGGUGGUGCUCGGAGAAAGGCGAGCAAGGUGGUCGUCGGCGCUGGGUCGCAGCGAGGGAGACGGAGGCGCUGCAGCAGAGGAUAGAGUGGCUCGGCAGGGGCGACUCGGCGUCGACUCGGGCUCGGGCGGAGCAGGGAGAGGCGGAGUGGUGGUGGAUGGAGCAGGGAGAGGCGGAGUGGUGGUGGAUGCUGGUUGCCGUGGACGGCACGAGCUGGCGGCUGCUGGCGUUGGAGCUCAGGCGAGGGGACCGGCGGCGGGCAGAGGCAACUACCGCGACUGGUGCAGCGGCAGAGGGCGGAGCAGCUUGGGACGCCGGGGCGGGAGUGCAGGCGCGGGCAGCGGCGACUUCACGGGCUGCUGGUGUCGAGAGGGACUGAGCGGCGGUGGAGAGCAAUGGCGCCGUGGCUGGGUCACGAGCGUGCAGAGGCGCGGCAACAACAGGGACGGUGGUGCUGCGACGAAGGAGCUAGGGCGCGGUGACGAGUGCUCGUGGCGUCGGGCGGUGGUGCAGGCGCGGGCUGCGAGCAUCAGGGUCGGCUCAGAUCUGGGCGACGGCAGUAAUGGUGGCGGAGGGGUUGUCGCGACCACAACAGGGGCGACGAGGGGCGGUGCGAGCUCGUGGGUGGUGCUCGCACGGGGGCGGCCGGCGGUGCGGUGGCUCGGCUGCUGGUGCACUGGCGAGCGCAGCGGCGCGGACGCGGGCGGAGUAGCAGAAACCGAUGGAAAUCCAGCAGCGAAGAACUCCUGGAGAAGAUGAAUAGUAGGGGUCUUGUUUUUUGCUUUUUUUUUUCCCCCUCUCUCUCUUUCCUGUCUUCAGUCUCUACCGUCUCUCUCUCUGUUUUUUUUCUCUUUUUUAAUCUUCUCUCCCUGACUUCAUAUUUUCUUCUUUUUUGGUUUUUCUCUGACACACUCCCUUCCCUUCAGUCGUCUAAUCGAAAGAGAAGCCUUUCACAAUGAAAUUUUUUUCUUUUUCGCCCUCCCCUUUGACGCGGCCUCUUGUGGUCUUAUUUAUAGGCCGUCCAUUGCCUCUUGAAGAUAGCCAACUUUAUUGUGACAAGAUGCAGCCGCAACUUUUCCAGAAUUUAAGCUGAACUUUGCCCUUUUUUAAUCUUCUCUAGUCCUUUCUUUCGGCCACCACUCCGCUCUUCCGCGAGGAAAUCUUCUUGUAGGCGCCUGUAGGAUUUUUACGCCCCCCAUUUCGUGCGUGUAUGUGCAUGCAUUAAUGAGGAGGUUUCUUCUUCAGUGAAUUUUCAUUGCGCCAUCAAAGCUAACAUAUUAUAUAAUAUUAUGGGCUGCUUUUGCUUCUUUCCUCUUUUUUUUUAUGCGUGUUCAGACCAGCGAAAGAGGGACCAUCCUUUUAUGCAUGCAAUCGACCGAGAGCCCCUGCUUCUUGUUGUCCUCUUAGUACCGAUGCAAAUGCGACUACAUGAAAUGCAAUUUUACUAUUUUUUUAAAAAGGAGUUAAAGAUUAAUCCCUAAUUUUCUAUGCAAUUAAUUACUACAUUAUUAGUCAAAAUUUAGGUGUCAACAACCCCAUUGCUUUCUUCUUGGUCAAAAUUUCCGAAUGAGGAUGAAGUAUUGAAGCUAUCCUCAUGGUCAGAGGACGAGCUUAGUACUUCGUUAGGAUCGUAGCAGAUAAAGACAUAUGCUUCCUCUUCUGACAGGCCUUCAUCCCCGGGUGAGAGUAGGAAACAGUUAUACGAUGAAUCGUCAGUUUCAUUGUCGAAAUAACACUGGAAGUCCUUGGGAUCGUAUUCCAGGGCCGGGAAGUCUUCAGGGUUGUACUCUAGAGGAUGGUAGCCUUCAAAGUUGUAUUCUUGGGAAUGCUCGAAGCUUUGGUGUGGUAGCUCGUCGGCAGAUGCUGAAUUGAUCUGCUUAGGCUUUCUUUUCUUGGCCCUUGGUCCAGAUCUUUUGAGUAGGGCCAUUCAUUUUGCCAGCUCGAUUCUGUCAAGGGAAGUGAGAUAUAUUAGAGUUUCACUGUCUGAUUCACUUUCCAGAUUGAUAGGGGUUGGUAUUCUUUGGACCCUAGCUUUUGGAGUAAGCUUAGGGAGUUGUCUAGUCGUGCCCCGCUCUUGAACAGGCUCUAAGUUUAUGAUUUCGUACAAAGGCUCGUUGCCUUUCCUAGUGGGAAAUUUUCCAGUAACAGGAUGUUGCUCAGCUGCCCAUUUAUCAUGCAAGGCUUCAUUGACAUGUUUUUCUCCUAUCUCAGCGACUAAUGGCUCCUCGUGCUCUGCGAUCAUCGGCUCUUCGUAGGGCAAUGUGAUGUCAGAGGUGAUGUCAAUAUCAUACUCUUGGUGAAAAACAUGAAUUAGUUCCCUCCAGGUUUUAAGAGGACUAAUCUUCCUAACAAUGUACCAUCGCAAGGCAGGGCCAGUCAAGCUCGAUUGGUACGAUUGAAUCAUCCUUCGAACCAGGUAGGCUUGCAAGUAGGUCUUUGGGCGGGAGGUAUUAGCAUACCUUUCGCAUUCAGGUGCUUUGAAUUUUUUAGGGAUCUGGUGUAAUUGGAUAGGCCCAUGGGAUUCUGCUCUUGCAGCUGGCUUAACUUUUUCAUGAUCCUUUCAAACUGCCUAUGGUACUAGCUAUUUUCUGGCAAAUUUACGGGUGUCAUUAUGAUGUUUAAGGCAACUACAGAGUUGAGCUCAGCUUGAAUAGAUUUCAUUUGUCUCGAGAGUCGUUGAAGGACAAUAGACAUCUGUCUUACGUCGUCUUCAAUGUUAAUGAGGCGAUUUUGUACAUCAUUCUGAUCGGGCCUUAUUGCAUGAGGCCAUUCACGGGCGAUUGAUGGCCGUCAAUUCAUAAUUACAUGUUCAUUGCGAAAACAAUGAAUGAGCACGAAAGUAAACGAGGAUUGACCCAUGGCAAUGGUCUAACUGCUUUUUUAUUUAUCAAAAUAGGAUUUUAUAGACCACAGACUUCUGACAUCUAAAACUUGAAAUUGAAAAGACAAAAUGAAAUACUAGAUAUUAAACAAAAGUCCCUAAACAAUAGGACAAAACUUUCACACUAUUUACACUAAGGGGCACAUGAUUGCCAAUUUAUAUGUGACGGGGAGCCUUGUUCUUGUGAGGACGCCUGCUUCCUUGAACUGGCUCUGAGGUGUGUAUCCAGUUCAUUCCCAAAUCCCUCUCCAUGAGCUCUGCUUGCUCGUGUUGGUUGCUCUCGCUGAUUGAGUGAGGGAUUGACGGCUUCCAUUUUGUUGGGAUACGAUGGUUGUGGAUGUAGGACAUGGAGGCGUGGUGGGCUUUUUUUUCUCCUUCAAGCCCUUCAGGUAUCACGAUCCUUUUGUGAUGGCACUUGUCACAGGUUUCCUCAGCGGUAGAGAUUUCGAAUGCAUAGUCACAGCUUGUGUUGAAAAGAACUGGAGGGAUCAUCAUCUUGAAAGGCGGUGGGAUCUCCUCAAGGGCUCCAUAUUGUCGUGUUACCCGAUAUGGGUAGUAGGGAAUGGCGCCAGUGAGGCCGAGCAACGAAAUUGGGCGAGUGCGUAUGUAAGCAAAGCAGACCCUCUUUUCAUGGAACCAACCGGCACACCGUUGGAAUGCCUCAGGAGCUGGGUUUCUUAGGAAGUUUACCCAAUUUAAAUAGCUUUGAUUGGGAAUAUACGGUUCUAAAAUCAUAAAUUUUUGUAACGGAUUCUCAAAAGCAUUUAUUUCAGACGAUCGCAUGAAGUCUCGAAAUUCGCUUAGGUGAGAAAAGAACCAGACUUGUAAAAUUUCAGGAGAGGCUCACAUGAUUUUCUCUGAUUAUCUUUAAAACGAUUAAAGGACAAGAAUGUUUCAGUUAAAAUCAUGUUGACAUAAUUCCCCCCUCUUAAGAUCUGAUCAACUAUCCAUGCCAUCUUGGGACUUAUGACAUUUCUUUGAUGGGGGAAGAUGAUGAGCCCGAAAAAGGCCAGGAGUAAAAUCUCACUUUUCUGGGUCAUAGGCUGAUUUUGGAAACAGACAUUCAUAAAUUCUAGUGAGCAGGUAUUAUGGUUGUCUUCAAGAAUUUGUCUCAUGACAUGGAUUUUGGUUCCUAAAAGUCGUGCUAACCUGCGCCAUGGGAGGGCGCCUAUCGAUGGCUUGACAAGCUUUUUCUCAAGAGGCAUUCCAGUGAUGAUAUUGUAUUCUUCCAGGGUUGGGCUUAGCUCAAACCUACCAAAUAUGAAAGUAAUUGUCUUCGGGCACCAAAAGUAUGCCAUGGCUUGUAUGACUUCAGGACGAACAGUGAUUUGGAUCAACGAUAGGAGAUGACCGAUUUUGGCUUUCAUGCGCUCUUGGGCAAACUGAUCCAAUUGACCCCACCACAUAUAGACUGGAACUUUGAAAAGCUUAUCCUAAAUUGCCAUGGGCCAAUAAAAAGACUAAGUAAAAGUAAAGAAAUCAAUUUGCUUUUAAAUAAAAUGGCAAGCACAAAGACAUGCGCAUGGGACGUGCGGCUCGAUUUCUAACUCCGAAGGCUUGAUGAAAUUAGAAAGGUAUCCGCCCGUCGCAGUCUCGCAUUAACAGCAUACCCCCUUAACCUCGGCUAAGAAAUUCGGGGAAAAGAAAGGCAACCUCUACAUCGCAGUCUCGCGUUCGAAGUCGUAUCUUUCUUAACACCAUCCUAGAAAUCUUAUGGUGGCCCAGGUCCGGUGGUCGGGUUGUGUGUGCCAUGUGUAGUGUUUAAAACAGUAAAGCAUGCACAACAGUUUAUAAUCACAAGAUAAUCUAUUUUAAGCAAAAAUUAAAAUAAACUUCUAAGCUACUGACCUGCAUAAAAAAACUAAAAUAAGUCAGUAAAGUGUUUAAACAAGAUAGAAUGGCCUAAAUCCUCAAAUGUCCCUAGCGGAGUCGCCAAGCUGUCGCAACCUCUUUUUUUUCGGCGCCCACAUCUGGAGCGAGUGCCUUGCGGAGGCUAAUCGCUCGGCUGAAAUUAGUUAUACCCGAACUCUUCCAAGUCCACCAAUUCACGACUUUAAUGGUCUGAGUUUUUAACCUGUAAAUCAAUUUUUAAAAUGGAGUCGCCACUAAUCGAUUUGGGGUAGGUUGAUUAGAAACCCAAGUGAAGUAUCGGGAGAAAUACUCACUCCUGCGAAACCAGAGAAAUUAGGAUCGGGGACUUGAUUACACUAGUUAAUCACUAAUGCCCUUUCGGUACCUGAUCUUGUUUAAACCCCAAGGCUUUUUGGAUUUUGAGGGAUUUUCCAUGCAUUUUUUGGGAGGAAAAACAUUUUCGAGUAUUUUUCUAAUUUUUUCGAUAUAAAAGGGAUUUUUUUUUCGGACCUUUUUUUGUAUUUUUGGAAAAAUACAAGUCUUUUUGGCUUUUUCUGAAUUUUUUUUGGCUUUCAUGAAUUUUUGGUUUUUUUUUUGGUAUUUUCUGGAAAAUAUGAAAUAUUUUUUAUUUUUUUAUUUUUUUGGAAAGUAGAUAUUUUUUGGAAAUAAAAUAUUUUUUGAUUUUUCGGAAAAUAAAAUAUUUUUUACUGUUUUUCUUAAUAUUUUCGAAAAUAAAACAUUUUUUGAUUUUUUUGAAAAUAAAUAAAUUAUUUAUUAUUUAUUAUUUAAAAUAUUAUUUUAUAUUAAAAUAAUAUAAAAAUUGACUCAGGUCGGAUCCGCGGGGUGGGUCCGACCCGGGUCGACGACCCAAAACGCGUUGCGGGCCCGACUCAGAAUUUUUUUUUCUUUUGCUUAAAAACUGAGCCCACACACACGGAAUUGGGCCUAUUAAAAAAAGGAUGCCCGGCCCGCGAAGAAGCUGGCCUUGCGUAACCCUAGAGCGCCGGGUCACACGCCCGACCUGAUGACCCGCUUCCCGCCGCGAAACCCUACCCGACCCGGCUCCAGCACCCGACCCGACUUCCUCCGCCCCUUAAAUCGCAGAAACCCUACCCAUUUUCCAAACCCGAAUCCGCUUCGUGAUCCGGAAAUCGCAAACCCUAGGGUUUGCGAAUCCACGGCGCUGAAGGGGGGGGGGGAAACAGGAGCACUCCGACGGCGAUGGCGACGGUGGUGACAGCAACGACGACAACAGCGACGGCUAUGGAAGGGGGCUACGAUGAACAGCAGGGACGACGGCUAUGGGCUUUUUACCUUUUCUUGAACGGGGGCAACGACGGCGACGGCAGGGGGCGAUUUGCGACGGUGAAAGCCACGACGGUGACGGUGAGGCCUAGGUUUGGUUAGAUCUAGCCGGGGCUCUCUCUCUCGGGCUCGGGAUCGCCCUUCGAGCUUCGGAGGAGAAGCGGCUCGUGGGGGGAUAGUAGCAGCAACUGGUGUCGGGAUCUCGUGGUGUCGGCGUCACGGAAGGGCUCGGUCCCCCCUGAUCUGCGACGCAGCUCUCGGCUGGACCCUCCUUAGGCUUGAUCUUCUCUCACUCAGGCUAGAUCCGAGCCUCCACCGGCCGGAUCUGACCUUCUCAAAGUCGCUCGCUGCCGGCCUUCCCCGAAGUCUCUCGGUGGAGGGUGGGCUGAGCUCGCGACUCUAGUUCUCUCUCGCUCGCUCUUUGAUUCCUCCCCCAAAGUCUCUCAGUGGGAAUAUCUCAGAGCUCGCUCGUGUUCUUCGACGACGGAAGCGCUCCACUAUUUAUAGGCGAGGAGGUCUGUUCUUCGUCUCGCCAUUUGUUCCAUAAAAGCCUGUGAUUCUGCUUCCGGUUGAUGGAUACCAAAAGUACUUCCCAUCGCCCUCCUUGCCGUAGCGACCGCGUGUUCCUCUAUUACUGUAAAAUGUGAGCGAUUUGAUGGCACCAUCCUCUCCCACAUAACCAGAGAUCGAUGUUAAGUACUCCCGUGGAUAAUCCUUCAAUUGAACCUGCGCAAUCUCAAUAGAGUCUCUUGGUGUGGGACAGGAGGUGAAAACAAGACCAAUUUGUCGAGUUUAAUUUACUAAAUCACAUGACCGGACACAUACUCAGAUCAUCUCCGCCGAUGAGAUUAAUGUAAAAGUGAGAAAAAGAAACCUGUUUUUCCCCGAAGACUUCUCCAGUCCACUUACCGUGAAUACGUUCGAGACCUUCUUCACUACCGUUAUCAAACAGAAACCUGAUAUAACGGAAACCACUUUGGUCGGGCAUGGGCAUUACGUAAAUUUCCCUCACACCGUCAAAUUUAUUUUCCUCCCGAUCCUCUUCACCUGCAAAUGGCUGCCCUUCGAAAUAUGCUCCAAUUCCACGAAGCUUUCCAAAAUCCCACCCGUAGAAUCCGACAAUUUUGCCACCCGUUGGGAGACAGACUCUGUCUCCCUCGUCGAUUCCAUUCUCAUCACCAAUAGUUUUGGACCUAUUUUUGUUAGUCCGAAACCUGAGACGUUUAAUGCCAUGUUCCGUCCAAUAUCCGGACAUUAAAGUCAGAUACUCCCCUGUACCCUGCAAUAAUAGACAUAACCAUCAAAACUCAUAAAUAAAUUCUCGAAAUGUUCUCCCACCGUCAUCGUAGGUAAUGCGAGUUUCUUGAGAAUUCUAAAAAGCAUAUGUCCAUGUGGGGGACGUACCAUUUCAAUCGACUUCUCCUUCUUUCCACCCUUGACCCCAUGCGUCUCCGAUUGCCACGUUCCUCCAUCCUUCUCUUGAUACUCAAACGUGAUUGACUGGAUGAAUCGCCCUCCCUCUUCAAGUUCAUAAAUGAUUUUCCUUACGUCGGUGUGUUGAUUGCCAUCAUCCCACUUUGAAUAGAUUGACCUUAUUUUACUCCCGAUUAAACCCACAGACUGGAUACUGGCGGCACAGGACUUAUCAGACUGUAGCUCGACACGUGCUCCAAUAGAUGUGAUAAAUCCAUUAUUACGACUCACCAAAAGCUUUACAACUUUCCCUCCUUUGGAUGGUACGGAAAAGAAUUCCCCUUUGAAUUUCAUUUUAUUAGUAGGUCCCAAUAUCCUUUUAUUGGUUCGAAAUGUGAGAGAGUCGAUUCCCUUAUAAACACCACACACAUUUUCGAAAUAUCCAGAAAAAGAAGUUAUGUACUCUCCUUUUUCUAAUUUAACCUGCAAACAAGCCGCAAAAAGACAUUCGACUUGAGGGAUUAUAAGUUCCAUCAUUCAAUAAGCAAAAUAAAUCAGCAGUUCAUUUUUGAAAUACGGUUCAUUAUCGGUACAACAGAUAAUAUCCUAAGAUUUGGGUAAAUUAUGUUUCCUAAUAUUUGGUAGUAAAUUUCAAUUUGUACAAUCAGAAGUUAAUUUACUCUUUGUUUGUGGCUGGAUUAAUCUUGUUUUCAAACAAUCAUAUUGAUCCUCAUGCAUCGCGGGUAUGAGAAUUUCAUGUCGAUUUGCGCAGUCGUUAAGAAUCUCAAGCUUCAUAAUUCCACGAUUGACUAAUGUUUUGAUAAGUUAGAAAGACGAACUUAUGACAUUCAAAUAGAAACGGAAAAAGACAAGAAGGAAAGAGUCUAGAUGCAAACCAUGAAAGGACUCUUCCCGUCAUUUUGCGGUUUGGAGCUGAUCUCCUCGUGGACUUUAACGGACUUAAUGAAGUCUCUGUACUCAACAUGAAUCUCCUUUUCAUCAAUCUUCUCUGUAUCAACAGUUUCCCAUUUACUUUGACCUUCGCCUCCGAAAGGCCCGAAGGUGAAAUCCUUACCAGAAUAUCGAGAAUGGAUCUCGUUGACAAGGCGCUCGACUAUUAUGUCAAUGAGCUUCGAUUCAUUGCUGCCGUAAAGUGUUAAAAAAAAAAAAUCAUGAGCAAUAUGGAUAACUAAAAUGAACAUAAAAAUAUACCCCAAGAACCAACAUACGACAAACGUUCUACGGAAAUUUUUACGUGGGUAUAUGACAUAUGAAUAGAAAAGAUCGAGCUUGACUAGAUCACCAUAGGCAUUGGCAUGUGUAAAAAAGAAACGGUGAUUGACUUAAGCUCUACCUUCAAUAGUGAACUCAUCCUGUGCGGCAGAAGAGGGUGCAUCGUAACAUGCAUGUAACACGCCAAGAAACAACACAUUUCUGAUUGAGGCCGGUAAAACAGUAAAUAUUAAGAGUGCGCUCAUUUUGCAUAACCAUCAAGAUUUGGAAAAUAUUUUUCAAAAUAUAAUCACUUAUUUUCCUUACUAAAAUGAAAGAAUGAAGCACAUUUGCGUCAUCAACGAAAAUAUUUAGACAUAAAUUAUUGUCAAAUGAAAAUAAUUUCCAUUGACUAAUUUUUUAAAGCAAUAUAACUAAUCAUUUUUUUAUUUUUCUUUUUUUUGAAAUCUUGAGUUUUGGUGAAAUGAACUCGCCACAAGUGAAAAAAAAAAGACAAAAGAGUUUCGUCAAUACUUUACUCAAUUUCUACUGCGUUAUCAUGUUUAUGGGCAUAAAACUCCAAAAUAUAGCCCACGAAACGUAUGAAAGCUAAAAAUCCAAAAUAAUCUUAGCGGAAGAAACAUAGCUUACCCCCAUUAUACAAUUUUUUACAUACGUCUCCCUUUAUAGUUCUCAUUUUAGUUUACCGAUUUUCAACAAUGUGCGCUGCAAACUUGGGGAGUAUUUAACACGUUUUGCUUUGGCUUUCUUAAAAUUUCACGGCAAAAUAUGAAAAAGCAUCUUUAUAUUUCAGCUUCAUAUUAAUUCGCAGAUUAAGUUUCGUAAACCUACCAUUAGCAUUCCGAUUACGUGUAAGAGCUGGUCAUAUCUACGAAUUUGUCAUUUUCCGUCCGAUCUUGCCACUUUCACCAUUUCAAAUUCACUCAAUAAAACUUCACUUGCUAAAGCCCUAACCUGUCGACCCACCCACUACGCCACUCCUCCCUUCCCAGCAUUGCCAAUGCAAGCUGCGCCGUCGCCACCCACGCCAACCCCGCUGAGCCACAACUUAGAUCUGUUGAGUUCGACUCAAAUCUGAGUCUCCAAAUCUAAGUCGAGCUCCAUGCCGAUCGUCGCCAAGAAGAGGAAUACAGAGAGAGAGAGAGAGAGAGAGAGAGAGAGAGAGAUGCACAGAGAAUUCAGUAGGGUUCGAUGCCGGCAUAGCGUUGGUCAGAGUCAAUGGUGAGAGCCCAUUGCAGGGAGAGAGCAAGGUGGGAGAAAGCCAGAGCAAGUGCGAGAAAAGAAAGAGGGAAAACGGGGGAAUGGUUCAAAGGUUUGGAUUAGCCAGAGGGUGGAUUGAUCUUUUUGAAUUCGAAGAUUUUUAUUUUCUUUGACGGAAUUUGAGGAUCAUGCUAAGAGGUGCAAAUUAUAGGUUUUCAAAAUCUAGGAUGAAAACUGAUAUUAUUUUCUAUUGUACAUCUAAAAUCUUGAAAUUAACAGGUAAAGUCACAUCAUGUUUUACAUAAUUUUUCUCAAAAUGGUAAUAAGAAUUUUCA
rnacentral:lncRNA from 1 species